AGGCAUGAAACUAAACGAUUUUCCUCCAUGCAAUUGACUUCGAGUUCUCUGGCGUUGUCGGCAGUCGCCUCGUCGUAGUGCUCGAUUCUAGGAGAUCCGAAGUGUAUGUCAGCCGGCAGGACCGCCUCUGCACCGUAUACCAUGAAGUAGGGAGACACCCCUGUGUUUCGACUGGUCUGGGUUCGGAGGCCCCAGACUACUGCCGGCAAUUCUCUCAUCCAUCGACCGGGUGCUCUGUCGUUUUCGGUGUACAGCCUCUUCUUUAGGGCAUCAACGAUCAUUCCAUUAGCACGUUCGACUUGACCGUUAGCACGUGGAUGUGCUACUGACACAUAUUUUAUGACUAUGCCUCUGUCAUCGCAGAAAUCCCAAAAAGUGGUGCCAGUAAACUGAGUGCCCAGGUCGGUGAUUAUGCUGUUCGGGAUGCCGAAUCUGUGUAUGAUUUGAUUGAGAAACUCCACGGCCUUCUCGGAGGUUGCCUUGACCAAGGGCAUGUAUUCGAUCCACUUGGAGAACUUGUCGAUUAGCACGAAGACAAACUUGAAAUUGCCCGGGGCUGGUUUAAAUGGUCCGAUCAUGUCAAGCCCCCAGCAAGCAAAGGGCCAAGACGACGGGAUAGUCUGAAUUUCAUGGGCAGGUACGUGGGUCCUCUUAGCGAAAAACUGACAUCCUUCGCAAUGCCGAACCAGUUUUUCUGCGUCGCCGACCGCGGUUGGCCAAUAAAAACCUGCUCGGAAAGCCUUUCCGACCAGCGUUCUAGAUGCGGCGUGGUUGCCGCAGGAUCCAGCGUGUAUGUCUUCCAAGAGCUUGAUACCAUCAUCUUGGGGUAUGCACUUGAGCAGUACUUCGGAGCUUGCGUUUUUCCGCAUGAGUUUUCCGUCGACCAGGAUGUAGUUCUUUGAUCGUCGGAUGAGGCGCUCGUUUUCUGUUUUGUCCUGAUAGCCUGUUCCGUCUGAUAUGUAUUUGAUGAACGGGGUGCGCCAGUCACGCCCACCGGUUGCCGGAGUGGCGUCAUUUAUGAGCAUUGCCUCGGUGGGUUGCUUGUCGACCAGGGGAGGGCUUACGCUUGGCUCAUGGAUGUCCUGGACAAAAGUAUCCCGCGGGAUCUGGGCCCGAGAUGAGCCUAACUUUGACAUCGCAUCUGCUGCUUGGUUCUUGUCCCGGACCACGUGGAUGUACUCUAUGCCAUAGAAGUUAGUUUCCCAUUUGCGAAUUUCUUUGCAGUAGAGAUCCAUCUUCUCGUGGGUUGCGUCCCACUCCUUGUUGAGCUGGUUGAUGACCAAGGCAGAGUCGCCGUAGACAUAGAGGCGCUUGACCCCCAGUUCAACGGCUAGUCGUAUGCCGUGUAAGCAUGCUUCGUAUUCGGCGACGUUGUUUGACGCCGGGAAAAGGAUCCUAAGGACGUAGCGGAGUUUGUCCUUGUUGGGUGAUACGAACAGUAUCCCAGCGCCUGCACCGUUGAUGUUCAAGGACCCAUCGAAGAACAUAGACCAGUGGUCUGAGACAUCGGGAACGGAAGGUUCGUUGAGAUCCGUCCAUUCGGCAAUGAAAUCGACCAGGGCUUGGGACUUGACAGUGGUGCGACUCUGGAACUCCAGGGAAAAUGGACAUAAUUCCAUUGCCCAUUUCACGAUUCUGCCAUUGGCGUCUUUAUUGCGCAGGAUGUCACCGAGAGGAAAGCUGGUUGUCACCAGGACUCGAUGGCCGUCGAAGUAUUGCUUCAGUUUUCUUGACGUUAUCAGGAUGGCGUAUAUAAGCUUCUGUAUUUGUGGGUACCUGGCCUUGGAUUCGUUUAAAACUUCGCUUAUGAAGUAAACGGGUCUCUGGACCUUGAAGACGUGACCUGGUUCAUCUCGCUCGACCACUAUUGCCGUGGAAACAACCCUGUCGGUUGCAGCAAUGUAAAGGAGCAGGUCUUCAUUAGGCUGAGGCGCUGUGAGGACAGGCGGUGAAGUGAGGAAGAUCUUAAGCUGAGUGAACGCAGCGUUGGCUUCUUCGGUCCAGGAGAAUUUUUCUGACGCUUUUAAUAGUUUGAAGAAAGGGAGGCCUUUUUCUCCCAGCCUUGAGAUGAAACGACUGAGGGCGGCCAUGCAUCCGGUUAGCUUCUGAAUGUCCUUGACGUUCUUCGGUGGUCGCAUGUCGAGUACGGCUUUGACUUUUGAAGGGUUUGGUCGUAUGCCGUCGCGACUGACGACGUUGCCGAGCAGUAGACCGGAAGGAACGCCGAAAAUGCAUUUCUUGGGGUUGAGCUUCCACUUGUACCUAUUGAGUGCCUUGAAGGUUCGGUCUAAGUUGUCGAUCAGGGUGCUCGGGUCCCUUGUUUUUACGACCACGUCGUCCACGUAGGCCUCGACGAGGUCGUCGCGAAUCUCGUCGUGGAGGCAUUGCUGGAUGGCCCUUUGAUAAGUGGCCCCGGCGUUUUUAAGUCCGAAAGACAUGGUAGUGUAACAGUAUGCGCCGAAGGGUGUGAUGAAGGAUGUUUUGAUCUGAUCUUCUUCCUUUAACGAGAUCUGGUGAUAACCAGAGUAGCAAUCUAGAAAGGAGAGGAGUUCGCAUCCGGCCGUUGAGUCGACCACCUCGUCGAUGCGAGGAAGACCAAAAGGAUCUUUAGGACAGUGCUUAUUGAGAUCGGUGUAAUCAACGCACAUUCUCCAUUCAUUAUUCUUUUUGCGUACAAGAACCGGAUUGGCGAGCCAAUCGGGAUGAUACACCUCUUUUAUGAAUCCGGCUGCUAGAAGCCGUGUUAUCUCUGUCCUAAUAGCCUCCUUUUUGUCACGAGCGAACCGUCGCAGUUUUUGCUUGAUUGGUCUUGCGGUCUUCGAGACGUUUAAGGAGUGCUCGAUCAGGUUUCGUGGGACACCGGGCAUGUCUGCGGGUUUCCAUGCGAAAACGCUCACGUUGUCCCUUAGAAACCUGACGAGCGCGUCUUCCUAUUUUGGAUCCAGAUUAGCCCCGAUGAGGGCUGUCUUCUCGGGGUUACCUUCGACCAGCUGCACUUCUUUGUACUCCUUGGAUUUCGAAUUCUUUCUGGCUGUCUCUUGUUCGGGUAAUCGGAGCUGGUCGGGGGGCAGCUGUGCGGCUUGGGUUGCUGUUUCCGCCAUGCGGAUUGAGAGGUCAAUUGCCUCGGUGAUCUUGAAGCUUUCUUCUUCGCAGGUGUACGCAGUAUAGACGUUGCCUCUGACGGUCAGGACGCCCUUCUCCGUGGGCAUCUUAAGCACCAGGUAUGAGUAGUGCGGGACUGCCAUGAACUUUGUCAGUGAUGGGCGGCCCAGUAUGGCGUGGUAGGUCCCGUCGAAGUCCGCGACUACGAAGUUGAUGAACUCCGUCCGGAAGUGAUCGGGUGUGCCGAAUUGGACAGGCAAUGUUAUCUGUCCGAGGGGCACCGAACUUUGACCUGGCAAAACCCCCCAGAAUUGGGCGUCGUAAGGUUUUAGUUGCGCCAGUGAUAUCUUGAGGGCGGGCAGGCUGUUGCGGAAGAGGAUGUCGAUGGAGCUUCCCCCGUCCACGAGCACGCGCUCGAAUCUGAUGCUAUUGAUGCAGGGAUCAAGAAUCAGUGGGAAACGACCCGGCUCUGGGAUAGCGGCCCACUGGUCCUUCCUGCUGAACGCGAUCUCCCUGUGGGACCAGGCGGGAAAUUUCGGGUCUGCGAUCAGCCCGUCCGUGAUGUCUAUGUUGAGGCAGGCUCUCUUUAACAGUUUUCUUUCUCGCUUGGACUCAGUGGAGACCUUGCCCCCGAAAAUGGAGUGAACCACGUCGGUAGGGCUGACAUAUUGGUGUCGGGGGUCCCUGUCUUGGUCCUCAUCCUCAUCUUCGUGGUCGUGCCCGUCGCGUUUGCUACUUUUCUUGGCGGUGUCUUCUUGGGCGGCCCGCCGUGUAUAGAUACUUUUGAGGACGCGGCACUCUUCCAUGGUAUGGUUAGACUUCGGGUGUAGCUGGCACGGUCCCUUCAACGUUUUGUUGUAGUCGUCUUGGUAGUCCCGUCGUCCAUUGGGACGUUUGACCGUGUUUACUUCGUGGUCGUAUUCGCGAGGGCGCUUUCCUCUGAAGUCGUCGCGGCUGUCGCGCCGCCGAUCCCAACCUUCUCGGUGAUCGCGGUUGUCGGAGCGGCGAUGAUUUCUAUUGUCGUAGCGACCACGACCGUCGUGUCGCCGGGAGGGCUGGUCGGUGCCUCUCGCAUCGUCUCGGAUUAGUUUUUCUGCGUCAUCAGCAUCGGCGUAGUUUUUAGCCGUGGCGAGGAGCUCUGCUACUGUUGAUGGGCGCUUACGCAAUAGCUUGUUCCUCAGCGCUUCAUGGAAACGCAAACCCUUGAUAAAGGCUGAUAUGGCCUCGUCAUGAGAAAUCUUCGGGAUUUUGAGACGCAUAUCCGAGAAUCGUCGGAUGUAAUCGCGCAGAGGUUCAUUCUUCCUGUCUCUUAUCCUUUCAAGGUCAUACUUGUUUCCGGGCUGCUCGCAUGUGGCGAUGAAGUUGUCGAUGAAAGCCUGACGUAGCUCUUCCCAAGAGUCGAAGGAGUCCUCGGGCAAGCCGAGAAGCCACUGAUGACCAGCCUGGUCGAGGACUACGGGGAAGUAAUUAGCCAUGACGUGCUCAUCUCCUGCCGCUGAUCGGACGGCGAUUUCAUAGAGAGUGAUCCAGUUCUCUGGAUUUUCCUUGCCGUCGUAUUUUUUAAGUUUUUCGAGCUUGAAAUUGCGGGGCCACACGACUUGGCGGAGGUGUGAAGAGAACUGCCUUAGGCCCGGAGGGCCGUGGGUCGCGUCGUACUCGAUGCGGCGCAGGUUUUCGUGGACUGCUCUUUCUGCGGCGCGCCUGUUGAUGCGGUCCCGGGCAUCUUUGGGAGGGAUGUUGUGGCGGAGAUCCCUGUGUUGAUCUUCUUCUUCUUGGCCGCGUACGCGGUCCUGCUGUCGGCGGCCAUCGGUGUCCCGACCACCAUCAUCGCGCCGUGAGUCCCCUCGACGGUUGUCGGGGGAGCGGCUGCGGCGACGCCUGCUGGGUGAGGCCCGGCUACGAUGAGUCUGGUCGGAGGCGGCUUCCGUAUAAGAGGCGUCCUGGACUCUCUUGAGCAGAGUGGCUGUCUGUCCCAUUGCGGCGAUCAGGUGUGCUCGGAUACUGGUCCGGACUCCCUGGCAUUCGGGGGUGUCAGGAAGCCGGUCCAGAUUGGCCAUGGCGACAGCCACGUUGGCGCUUGGCGUUUUGUAGACCGGCUGGUCCCCGACCAUGUCGAAGGCGUCGUUGAGGUUGCCUGGCGGCGUCUGCUGUUGCUCGUCUGCACGCCGUCGGGCGCGCUCGGCGUUACGCUGUUCGCGGAGUUGCCUCUGGUCGUCUGUUUCUCCGUCAACGGCUGGUUCGUCGGCGCUGACAUUGAAUACAAUAUCCCCUCGCCGGGGGGGGAAUAUCGGGAAUCGGUCGAAACCCGGAGGGUGUGAAGGAAAAUCCAGGUCAUAGUCCUCGUCUUCGGUGUUCACAACCUCGGUGGGGACGGAGCCGGUGCUUGAGUUGGUGCUGGAAACCUGGCCGUCCCGUAGCUCUCGGAUGGUCACCAUGUUGACAUGGUGACGAUUGUUCCUUGUCGGCGACCAGCCCGCUUUGGUGAAAACGGAUUGGACAUGCUGUGAAUAAACAGAGGCCGAGUUGUUCAGGCCGCAAGGAUAGUCAUCCUUUUUGAGCUCGACGGAUCGUCCUGAGGGGGUUGAGGUUAUCGUCAGGGAUGUUCCCAGCCGUUCGUGUGUGGUGACACGAGUUGGCCGGCGGAAUUUCAAAGAAUCCGCUCGAGCGGCUUGGUCGGGCCGGCGCAGAACUCCAUCUAUUAGUUGGGAGACUUCGAAUAGCUUGGAGUCAGCGCGAUCGAGCGCUUGGAGGAGGUCCGAGCAGUCGAUCUCCCUUCCCUUGUAGAGCGGGAACGGUGGUCGGGAGCUUGGUGUCGUCACGCGCGUGGUCGGAGACGACGUGAUCUCAGAUUGGAUCUGGAUCUCUUUCGGAACCGUGGUCGCGAAACCGCCGCUGCGCGUCGUCCACGUGAUUUGGCCGACGGUGAACGUGAGGCCUUCGGGCACGGUCGCGGAAGCUGGGAUCGUGACCAUCUUGUUCGCCGGAAAAGUUGCACGCACACCCCCUACCUGGCGCGCCACUGUCGACGAAAGCUGGUCGGCAGUCUACCUUGGGGUAUACCCACGGUAGUAGUUUAUCGGUAGACGGUGCGCAAACUACGAACUCGAUGGUGACGCAAGACACGGACAAGCUUUUUAUCCAGGUUCGGCCGCCGAGUUGGCGUAAUACCUACGUCCUGCGUCUGGUUGUAUUGGAUUGUGUUGAGAGAUAAUCUGUCCUAGGGGGGUCCCUUGCCCCUCCUUAUAUAGUCUGGAGGGCAGGGUUACAGAUCUAGAAACUAAUCCUAGUCGGUUACAAUUACCAUAGAUAAUUCGAUAUCAAUUCCUAUUCUAACCGACUAGAAUCCUGCUUGAUCUCCACGUCUUGUUUCCUUGCACGAAACACGGGCUGCCGAGAUCAAGCCUUGAACUCGUCUCGUAGUGGGCCAAGCUUCCUAGCUGAAGUCUAGCCGUAAGGGUAUAGGGGUUUAUACCCCCACAAACAGUCACUUCAACGUUAACGCACUUGGUCACGAGGCGUUAGACACGCCAGGUGCUACACACCGGAUGCUCCUCCCUCACACCGUACGCUACUCAAAGAGUUUCAAAAUUGCUCAAAAGACACAUCGGACACGUCCAAUAAUAUGCCAUUGGACGUGCCUCAGUAUGCGACACACACUACCUAAAAACAAUGCUCACGACCCUGCUGACAUCACAGCUCCUUGGACGCUCAAUAGUGUUUCAGCCGUGUUCGUGCUAGAGCAUUGAAUGCGCCAGUGACCCACUGAAAAACACACAAAACUGCCAACACACGUCGAACGUAGGUCCAACAUCCAAUGUUGUCGACCUUAGCGUUCGAUAAGUGUUUCCCGCUGCAAAUACUCCAUGUAAGAGCGGAUUCCAUGCACAAUAUAUAUGGUUGUAGAUAUAUACGUAUGCACACAGCACUACAAAUUAGAAGAGAUAAGAGCAUCUCAAAGAGAUUAGCUAAAUUUAUUUUAUAAAGAUAAAGUUGGCUAUUAUUAAAGAAAAAAAUCUCCGACUCUAUAAAUGACUCUUCAAUUUUUGUAGCUCUCCAUCCUACCUCAUUCGACUCUUUAAAUGACUCUCCAAAUUUAGUAGCUCUUUAUCCUACCUCAUUCUCUCUCUAGUUUUGGAUAACCUACCUCACUAUCUAACUUCUUGUUUUUAUAGAGUCUGUUGGACUACACUAGUAUUUUUUUUCAAAUUUAUUUUAGAGAGUAGCUAAAUCAGUAAAUUUGGCUAAUUUUUUCUAAUCUCUUGGAGAUGCUCUGUCUCCAACAAUAGUGACCCAAAGUACAUGACCCAUUCAUCCUUUGGGUAGUGCUACAUGUAAAAUGUUCAAUACAUGUUUUUGGUCUUCUCCAAUAAAAAGACCCAAAAGAUAACUCUUUCUGCAAAUAGGUCUCGAGGAGGAAGGAUGGGCCGGCUCUACAAGGAUGGAGGAGGGCCUAGCGUCGCGAGGUGGACGAGGUCGUACGGAGGGAGGAGGGGGUCACCACAAGGUGCUUGGUGUUGUGCCUUGGGAGGAGGCGCCACUAUCACGCCGAGGAAGGAGGGAGUGUGUGAGAAAGUGUGAGACAUGAGUGAGUGAGAAACCCUAAUUGGUUAUAUUUAUAUUCAAAGCGGAUAUCGGGCUACAUAUGGGCCUGUUGGACCAGACCUUUUUCGGAGGGAGGCUUUGUAGCGUGUUUGCCUCUCAAAAUCGAUUUACGGAGGCGAUCACAUUAAUAUGACCACCUCUGAAGUGCCUGUCUCCGAAAAUCGAUUUAUGAAGAUGGGCACUUUAAGACAACCGCAUGCGAGAAUAGGUUAAUUUUUAAGGCGGUUGUCUUAAGAUGUUCGCCACUAUAAAUAAAUUUUCCGGGUAAAAAUGCCUACCUCGGUAAAUAAAAAAUACCUACCUUUGUUAAUUGUGGGCAUUAACCGAGCCGGCCAAAAGGGGAGCCCGCUCAGUUAAGUUUUUAGAGUAAAAAGUAAUAUUUUUCUCUCACAACAAAUCAACGAAUAAUACUUGACUUUUUAGUCGAGCGAACAUGCUCAUAAUAGGCCCACCUUGUCGCCAUGUACGCAUACAAGCAAGAUCUGAUAGAUACUACCAUGUACGUAUAUACAUGCUACACGUGCCGCAUGCGCUUCAACGACGACGUAGCACGUACGGCGAGCAGCAAUAAUAGUGAUGUAACUGCCUAACGGGACGUUGGUUGAAUCCUUGAAGCAAGAAAAUCUCGCUUGAGGUGUGUACGAUUUUGGCAAGAAAAUCCUAUGUCCGGUCCAUUUUGUCAAAUUAAGACGAGAGCGAUAUAUGCUAUAUAUAUCUAGAUGGAAGAAAAUCGGAGAGGAAGAAAAAUCUCGAGCAAGAUAGGUGAUAAUAUUUUUCCGUUUUGGUUGCACGAGAUAUAUAUCGGGAUUCUUCCCGUCCAGUGGCGGAGCUAGAAUUUGAAAUUUGGUAUUCCUAUUUCCACAAAGUCGAACCUAUAGGCUUAAAAUAUAGCUAAUUGCACUACAAGUCAGCAACUUUAAACCAAAAUUUGCUUUCUAGAAUAUAGAUUUCUAAUUAAAAUGCCAGUUUUUUACAUGUUUUGAGCUCAAAAGUGUAAAAAUAUUAUAUAUUAUAGCAUUAUACAUUUAUAUAUAUAAAUAUAUAUACAUAUUUAUAUAAAAGUGUACCAAAAUAGUUGGAUAUUCCCGGGAAUACCGGGAAAUACCCCUAAAUCCGCCCACGUUCCCGUCCGAACGCUUCAGACGGCAACCGUCCGCCGAUGAUUUUUCCCGCGCGUUGGUUGUUCGAAUCUGAGUCCACGGUGAUUUUCCCAGCGCGUCAAUACGGUGCAAAGAGCGAGAAAGAUGCAUUAAAGUACGGCCCACCAUGUGGCUCAGCGAGCGCAAGCGCCUCACACACACUCGGACCAGUGAGCACGCUACACAAAAGAAAACUUAAUAACUGAUAUUGUAAUAAAUAUAAUGAUGUAAUUAGAAUUUAAUUUGGAUUUUUAGUUUAGCAGUUAUUAUUUUUUUAUUGGUUAAAGUUAUUUACAUGCAUUAGCUGAGAGAUGAUGUGGCCACGUGGGUGUGGUGGGCCAUGUGCUGCCAGAACCCACUAUGUGCGCUACCGGCGCGGGGUUUCCGCGUGAGAGCAAGUUUAAUAAUACAGCCCACUUGCUGUAAGGUUCCUUAUAGCUUUCUCCCAGCCCACCCAUACAAUAGUUAGCUAUUCACUAUUAAUACAUGGCCCACUUGUCUCUCUCACAAAGUUUCUUGGUUUCUGUGUUCACGCUGGCUGUAAGCUUACAGCCCGCUUCUCCUCUCUCUCCUCUCUUCUCUCCUCAAACUCAGCAUCUAGCCAGCUUACAGCCCACUAUAAUACUUGCGCUCUGACGGCACCGAGGUGGGCGGGAGACAGCACGCAGACAGAAACGUGCGCGGGAAUCAUCGGACCGGGUUUACCGUCCGAACGGGCCGACCGUAGCAUGCCCCGAUAUAUAUACAUAUAUACAUCACGUGCGUUUCGGUCGUGUCAGCCAUUCAACACUACCUAGCUAGCUGCCGCCGGAUCCACCGUACUACCAUUUAAUGGCUUGUUGGGACUAAACAAAACGGUCACGAUCGGGCGCGCGCGGCGUCUGAUCUAUACACGCGGCCGGUGCACUGGUGGUCCGGUGGCCCUUCCGAUGGGGAUCCCAUCCGGGAGAGGCACCCCGCGGCGUCACGCAACCACACGCGUGCCCUCGUACGUUUUAUAGCUUCUCCCAGUGCCUGCUACAUCUCCUCAUCAGCUGGCUUAGCAAAUUAAGCUUUGCUUGCACUUGCACCACCUCCUUCUCCUCCUCACGCACUCCUCUUCUUUCUCUUUCUCUUUCUCUCUUAAUAAAAUCUGACAACGGCGGCACAUACGCAGCUACCUCACGUUUGCUAGCUAGUAGCUGCAUUUGGUCCAUGCCCUAGGCGCAGCUGGUGCUCCAUCCAUGGCGACGGCGGCGGCACCGGUGGCGGCAACGGUGAAUGGGAUGGCCGUUGAUCGGGUGGUGUUCGCCCUGAACGGGCAGCGGUAUGAAGUGGCCGGAGUCGACCCGUCGACGAGGCUGCUGGAGUUCAUCCGCACCCAGACGCCCUUCAGGGGCCCCAAGCUCGGCUGCGGCGAAGGUACAUACGUCUAAUGAUCUUAAAUAUAAAGUACAUCGGAUAGUUUUAGCUAUACUUCUCGGUUUCAAAUUAUAAAAUAUUUUAGCUUUUCUCUAAAUACAUAUUGAGUGCAAAGCAAAAUCUACAUCUAAAUAAAUCCUAAAUGUUUCAUAGUUUAGAAUGGAGGGAGCACGUACUGUUUUUAACCAUGGUCUAGUUGAAGACCGUGUAGAAUAAUGACUGGUUAGAGGGUCGGGUCGCUCUUUCUUGUUUUUUUUUGUCUUACUUUAUUGUUUUCUUUUUGGGCCUUGUUUAGUUCCAAAAAAUUUUGCAAAAUCGACACUGUAGCACUUUCGUUUGUAUUUGACAAAAAUUAUCCAAUCAUGGACUAAAUAGGCUCAAAAGAUUCGUCUCGUCAAUUUCGACCAAACUGUGCAAUUAGUUCCUAUUUUCAUCUAUAUUUAAUACUCCAUGCAUGCGUCUAAAGAUUCGAUGUGACGGAGAAUCUGAAAAAUUUUACAAAAUUUUUUGAAACUAAACAAGGCCUUGGGCCUUGUUUAGUUUCAAAAUAUUUUGCAAAAUGGACACUGUAGCUCUUUCGUUUGUAUUUGACAAAUAUUGUCCAAUCAUGGACUAACUAGGCUCAAAAGAUUUGUCUCGUCAAUUCCGACCAAACUGUGCAAUUAGUUUUUAUUUUUGUCUAUAUCUAGUACUUUAUGCAUAUGUCUAAAGAUUCGAUGUGACGGGAAAUCUGAAAAAUUUUGCAAAACUUUUUGGGAACUAAACAAGGCCUGGUUGUGGCGUUGAUAAUGAUUUAUAGCUUUAAACUCAAAAAGAGAAGAAUGAGAGUGAGGCAGUGAGGAGUGAGAGUGAGAGACGGAUGAACGAUGUAAAGAGAAGGACAAAAUAAAAAAAUUACUACUUUAAAUACCAUAAUAGAUAAAAAGAAUACCCCCUCCUAGUUUUUCUACCUUUUCUAAUUAGGAACAUAGUUUUCGUUAUAUAACUAAAUAUACAUUUAUGUCUAAUUUCAUAGUAAAACCUGUGUAUAUGAAAAACCCUUACAAUUUACUCUUUCCAUUUCAAUUUUUAUUGUAUUUUAACUUUUCUAGAUAUAUCUUUUUUGCUAUAUAUUUAGAUAUAUGCUAUGUCUAAAUAUAUAGUACUACUUUCAUUCUAAAUUAUAAGUUGCUUUGAUUUUUUGCUACAUCUAUUUUGCUACGUAUUUAGAUAUAACCUAUGUAUGUCUAGAUACAUAUAUAGACAAUUCUAUGUAAAAAAAUAGGAGGAAGUAAAAAUUAAGAGAAGUGGGAAGUCUUUGCAUCGAAAUAGAGGAAGUGGAAUCAAGUGUAGGGAUGAAAACGGAUCGGAUACGAACGAUCGAUAUUAUAUUUGCGUUCAUAUUUCUGGUCGGAUUCGGAUUUGAAUAUGGAUAAUGUUAACCAUGUCGGAUAAGAUACGAUUGGAUCGACAUCAUAAAUAUACUAUUUAAAUAUUCAAAUAUGAUAUCGGAUGUUAAAUAUUCGAAUUUGAAUACGGACGGAUCUAUUUAUACCGUUUUCAUUGUAAUUAUCGAGGGUCCACUAUCCGCGUGAGAAAAGAGGGUCCACUGCAGUCACUGGUCCACACUGUAAUCCGGUUGUCCGCAUCUCGAAUUGGUCCAUUGUCUGCAUGGGAGUACGGGGCUCCAUAAUACCUCGUGCUAGCACUCUGUACAUGAGGAAUCAUGCAUGCAUUCGUGCGUGCGUACAAAACUGCAGAUUUGCAAUCGGAUACGAGGUCCCGGGUACAUAAAAAUCCGUAUAACCACUAUUCUCACAUACACGCAUUCAAAAAGACGUUAGGUAUAUUUACUUAAUGAGUGAUAGAACAAUGGUAUAUAUAGUACUUCCUCCAUACCAAUUUAUAAAUCAUUCUAAUAAUCUUGGAGAGUCAAAGUAUUUCAAAUUUGACCAACAUUAUAGGAAAAAUAGAAAGAUUUAUGAUAUCAAAUAGAUAUUAUUAUAAAAAUAUAACUAAUAAAGAAUCUAAUCAUACUUAGAUGGUAUCAUAAAUGUUAUUAUAAUAACAUAUAAAUUUGGUCAAACUUAAAAUGCUUUGACUUUCCAAAAUUAUAGAAAUAACUUCUAAUUUGGGAUGGAGCUAGGGAGUACAAUAGAUUCGAGAACGGUAGAAUCAAAUAACAGACUCUCGAGAUUUUGGGAACCAUAGAUAUACAUGCAUCUGGAGACAAACUAAAGCAAUUUUUUUAUUUUUUAAAAUGUAACUUACAGUUAGCAACGGUUUUUUUUCCUGCAGAAAAAAUUAACGACUAUAUAUAAUGAACAGAUCUGAAACUAAAUGCGUUAUAGUUGUCAUGUUACAACACACAACAUUCUAGGCAACAGCUAGCUAGGUGUGGAUGAACAUGAGACUGAAUUCAAGCACUAGUAUAAAGUGUGUCCAGACAAAAGAUGAAGAUCACGCGAUGGUGGGUGACCGUACCUGUAGUAUGAAGAUCACGCGAUGCGUGCGUAGCUAGCUCGCUGUUUGCAUAUCUUGCAUGCAUGUGACUAUUGCCCGACAGCAAGGACGACGAAGGACACCGUGCCGGGUCGACGUCCGAACAGCCAUGCUAUAGGCACGCACUACCGCACUAGCGAUUAACUAGCGUGGCGCCACGCGCAACCAUGCAAUGCAAGCAAGCCCGUACCUCCCUGCUGGAUCCUCAACUCUAGCUAGGGGGUCGUAGUAGCUACCUUGAAUAAAAUUAAUGUUGCGGUAGGUGUAGGUGAAGGAAGGAAUAUUCGGUACCACUGAUAGGGCAUUGUUUGCAUUGGUUAGUGACCCAAAUAGCCCUGCCGGGCUGGCCAAACAAAGGCAUGCCUAGGCCUUGUUUAGUUCACCCCGAAAUCCAAAAAGUUUUCAAGAUUCUCUGUCACAUCGAAUCUUGCGGCACAUGCAUGAAGCAUUAAAUAUAGACGAAAAUAAAAACUAAUCACACAGUUUGACUGUAAAUCACGAGACGAAUCUUUUGACCCUAGUUAGUCUAUGAUUAAACAAUAUUUACCACAAACAAACGAAAGUGCUACAGUUCCGAAAACUUUUCAGUUUUCGGAACUAAACAAGGCCCUAUAUAGUUUUUAGCCUGGUAUAUAUAUAUAUAUACACACACACACCAGGCUAAAAAUUGACCAUGACAAAAUUGAUGAUGAGAAAUAUGUGUUUUAUAUGGAAGGCCAAAACUCUAUGUAUGAUACGUGGGACCCAUAUGUAAAUAAUUCUUGUUUUGUAGAUUUAGUUACAAAGAUUAUUUUUGUCUGAGGUUGUCAAUGGGUGAGUGCAGUGGUGAAGCCAGAAGUUUUUUUUUUGAGUCCAGGCAAUCCUCAUUGCGCAAAAGAAAAUAUUUACCUAGCAAAUUAUAACACUUUUCUUUGAUAUAUAGAAACUUUUCUCUUGAAGUUUAUUGAGGGGCCCAGCCAGCCGCUCGGGUGGUUAGGCGGUGGCUCUGCCACUAGGUGAGUGUCGGGACCGGUGCUGAAGAGGAGAGAAGAGAUAAGGCUACUAUUAAAACUCCAUCCAUCCCAUUUGAUAAGUUAUCACCCUAACCAAAACAAAAAUAAUUAGGAUAAACUUCGUCCCUCUCAAGCAAACACUAAAUAGGACGAUCCUUUUCCACUCUACCUGGUCUUGAAACCAAAUAGUACACGCUAACAAUCCAAAAGCAACAUUUUAUAGCAAGGACUGUAUUUUACGCCGUUUUUAGGUUCGAAGACGGCUUCCAAAUUUAAACAGCCCUGAAGCUUGCAAAAAUAAUCUUCGGCGACAGCGAUUGGGCUAGAAAGUAGCGUGUAGCGGAUGCGUGAUGGCGCUAUGGCAGUGGAGCGAUGUAAACCUGCCGCCGUAGUCCAGACUCCAAAAACGUUCAGUAGUUGCCAAUUCUUCCUUUUCCAUUUUUGUGCUGAUGAUGCAUAAUAAUAAUACUCCUGGAAAAAAAACCACUACUUUAGCGACUAUUUGCAACGCAUCGUUUCGUACUGAUUUGAGAAACAUAAUGCGUGCUGUACAUACUCACAUUUUGACACACAAACAUUUGAGGAACUUCAGCCAUUGGCCGUGAGCAACCACUAAACAAGGCGUGUGUUUGGAUUGUGACUGAUAUUUGGCUCACAUGCUCACGUGCAAUUUAUUUUUUGGUAGAAGAAGUUCACUUUAGGUCCCUCAUUUUUUGCGAAAGUCUGUUUUUCAUCUCUGAACUUUAAAACUGGGUAAAAUACAUCCUUUAACUUUUGAAAUCGUGCAUAUUAUGUCCCUGACAUGAUUAUGAGCGGUUUUGAAGACAGUUUUGUCUUUUUUUAUUUUUAUUUAUUUUCAGCUGAAUAUUUGUAAAAUUAUAGUAAAUCACAUAAAAUUCAUAAAAUAGUAAAUCUAAUUUUGUUGGACUUCAUAUAAGUAGAUCUACACAGUGAACAUAUAAUAUGAUAUGCUUUAGUAUAAAGUUUUUGUUAUAGCUUUAGAUCUGUGUUUUUUAUAAUUAAUUAGAAUAAUUCAUAGCUAUAGUUUAUAUGGUCCAAUUGUGGUGAACUUUUUAUGUUGGGCUAAUUAUUAUAUGUUUAAACUGUGGUAAAAAUUUCAUAGUCAUUAGAUCAUGUAUAACUUAGUUAUAGAUUUAUUAAGAUUUAACAAGCAUAAACCUAAAUAAAUCUAUAACUAAGUAAUACAUGAUCCAAUGAGUAUGAAAUUUUUACUAAAACUCAGUCAUAGAAUAAUUAUCCCACCAUCUAAAUUUCAUCAUAAUUGGACCAUAGAAACUGUAGCUAUAAUUAGUUUAAUUAAUUACGAAAAGCAUAGAUCUAAAGCUGCAUCAAAAAAUUUGUACUAAAACAUAUUAUAUUAUAUAUUCAAUGUGUAGAUCUACUCAUCUGAAGUCCAACAAAAUUGAGUUUUCUAUUUUAUAAUUUUUAUGUGAUUCACUUUGAUUUUUGAAAAAAUUCAGCCGAAAUAAAUAAAAAGAAAAAGACAAAACGGAUGUAAUAUGCACGGUUUUAAAAGUUGAGGGAUGUAUUUUGUUCAAUUUUAGGGUUUAAGAAUAAAAAUUAAACUUUUAUGAAAGUUGAGGAACCUAAAAUAAAUUUUAUCCUUUUUUUUGGUCACAUGGGCCAAUUUCUGAGUGGUCGUGUCAGGAGGUAUUGGGCCGGAGCGACGUCCAAAUGCACCCUUACACAUGUAUGAUUUUGUUGAUGUUUUUUUUGAGGAACUUGUAUGUGGAGUCUACAUUCGUUGAAUCAACUAUAUUUAUGUAUAUGUAUAUUUAUGUUUCCUUUAUUUAAAAAAGAACUGUAAGUACCAAAAUAAGAAAUCUAUUCUAGUCGUUGUGUCUACUAGGGUACACUAAUGAGUAAUGUAGGGAAAUAUGCUGUAUAGCACUUCUAAGAGACUAUUUAUAUCUUUCCUAAUUAACAUGAAUAGAGAUUAUGGUAAAAAAAAUACUUCCAACAGCCUCUUCAAUUAGAUAUUUAAAUAUAGAUAUUCUCUAAUCUGAAUUUGUCGCAGCCAAAGAUGAAGACCGAGAAUGGCUCUCUAGAUUGCGCACAAGAUAUAGAAAAAGAUGUUGGAGAAUAUAAAGAUAUAGAGAAAGACUUUUACUCAAAUGACUACACAAAUAAUGAUAAUGAUUUAGAGAGUAGAAUUUAGAAAGUCUCUUGAAGAUGCUCUUAGUUGUCUAUUUAUAACACCACAGUGAUGUGAAAAAAGUGUCGAAACACACUAAAAUCAUUUUUACUUAAUUUUAAUAUCCAACUUUUGUAGUCCAUCCUUUUAAUAUUCCAAAAGAAACACAUUCUAGUUGUUGUGUCUACUAGGUACACUAAUGAGUCGCAAUGUUGAAUGUUCGUAAAAUCUGCUUUAGUUGCCUAUUUAUAACAACAAAUAUAGUGACAUGAAAAGUGUAAAAUCAGUAAAGAAACAUAAAACCAUUUUGACUCAAUUUUAAUAUCGAACUUCCCUUGUUCAUCCUUUAAUAUUAUCUCCGACACAGAAAAAGUUAGAAAGAUACAACAUACAUUUAUUUUGAAAAUUACAUAGUACAUCGUAGAUGUCUACAAUAAGCAUAUACACUCACCUCUAUGAAUAUUGAAUAAUAUACAUAAACCUAACCCCUAUGAGUGUCUCCAAACAACAUAUAUGGAUACUUACCUAGCACAGUUUUUUUUUUCAAACUUAAUAUGUAAAAGGUAAUGUGCAAUCAAAGCAUAGAAUAGUUGACUUCUAAAUUUUUUAAUGGGUAAGAGUAUUACUGUGAUUUAGUUUUUGAAAAUUAUAUGACAUGUAAACAUGAUUUGACUUGACGGGAGCCAAUUAUCUUCUUUGGAAUGCACAAUUUUUAUUUCUAUUUUUUGUGUUUUUCCUGCGAAAAUGAAAGGGUUUGUGUUCCAAAGAGGCCAGUUGCCUGACACGAUGGCUUUGACACUUUUCGUCGAAUAGCUUGCACACACUUUUCCUGCCUCUCACGAGUCACGACGCCGUCGGCCGUCGGCCGUCGCGCGAGAGCUGCCUGCGAGCCUCCGUGCUCUCUAGCGAUCUUAGCAGACCCGCCAUUUCUUGUGCCUUAGCUUCGCCGAUGCGCGGCGGCAAGGGGCCGAGCUUCCCUGCCCGUGUCCCGCGGGCUGGGGUGGCCGCAGAUUUUGCGGACUGCUGCCACAAGAUGAGCUCGCUUCGGAAAGGGGCAGUGGCGGCGCAACGAGGGAGCACUUCGGGUGAGGCGGAACUGGCGGCAGAGAUGCUGACAGUACCGAGCUCCUUCAUCAGUGCGUUCGGUCGUCAUGGCGCCCCUUGCAUCCACCAGUGACACCAGGGUAACGAAAGUACGAAACAGUGUUCUGUUUUUCUUGUCUAUCUAGCGCGGCGUGAGAUUCAGGUUAGAUUUACAUAUAUUGAUAUAGAUAGGAAUUUUUGGUCUAGCAAACUUGGGGAGGGAGCGGGCUAUCUGCCUAGUUCUGUGACAUUGCAGGAUUCAGGAAGUUGGGCAAGUCGCUUAAAACUGCUUGGGAAGGCCUGUAAAAUACUAGGGGCCUGUUUGGAUCACGGCCACAACUCGCCAUGAGUAAAGUUUGGCAGCCACACUAACCUUGGCAGUUGUUUGGUUCUAUUUUUAACCUUAGGCAGCCACAGAAUUCUGCCAUGUCGUUUUCCUCCCAUCGCAUGUCGCUUAGUGCAUGUAGACUGUGGCAAAUUUGUGGCGAGCAUGGCGGCCAAUUUCUCCGCCGCAACCUGUGGCGAGCCGCACUUUGCCGAUGCAUGGCGUGGCUUUGUAUGGCCAUGAUCCAAAGAGGCCCUAGGUCCGAAGUAUCUGUUCUGAAAAAGAAGCAUGCCUAUACCUGUAUUUGUAUGACUGUGAUGCUUCUUACUUUUCAACUCUUGUGACAUGUCAAUAUCUGUGAAUGUCACUAAAAGUUAGGAAUUUAAUAAAUAUAUAGUUCUUAGAAAUUGUUAUUUUGCAAACUGAAUUAAUUUGUUACAUCUCAAUCACCUAGUGUGACUAUAUUUGUUGUUUUUUGUGGAUUUUAAUUCAGGUUUGGAAUAAAAAAUCUUUACCAAUCGUGACAAAUCAAAUCGCGACACAUUUGGUUAUUUUAGUCAGUUAGAUUAGAUUCAGAUCUUUCAGUUCAGCUUAUUCUUGCACAACUAUGAUGGUAUAUUUAGUAUGACUUUUCUCACUAAUUCAUAUUGCAGGCGGUUGUGGGGCUUGUGUUGUCCUUAUAGCAAAGUAUAACCCAGAGACAGAUGAAGUGACUGAAUUUACUGCAAGUUCAUGCCUGACACUUCUCUACAAUAUCAAUUUCUGUUCAAUUAUCACUACUGAGGGUCUAGGGAAUUCCCGAGAUGGCUUUCAUUCUGUUCAGGAAAGGAUGUCUGGGUUUCAUGCCUCUCAGUGUGGCUUCUGCACUCCUGGAAUGUGCAUGUCUAUUUUCACUUCCCUUAUCAAUGCUGAUAAAUCCAAGAGGCCUGAACCACCAAAUGGGUUCUCAAAACUAAAAGUAUCAGAAGCAGAAAAGGCUUUCUCUGGCAACUUGUGCAGAUGCACUGGUUACCGUCCAAUUAUUGAUGCUUGCAAAAGUUUUGCAUCAGAUGUUGACUUGGAGGAUUUGGGACUUAAUAUAUUCUGGAAGAAAGGUGAUAGGAAACCAGAUGUUAGUGACUUGCCACAUUACACUCUUGGUGGCGGAGUCUGCACCUUCCCAGACUUUCUAAAAGCUGAGCUAAAAUCAUCGCUUGAUCACCUGAAUAAUCCUUGUAUUGCAGACUCCAGGGAGGGUUGGUAUCAUCCAAGGAGUAUCAAAGAGUAUUAUGAGUUAAUAAAUUCUUGUUUUUUUAGUGACUCAGUCAAAGUGGUUGUUGGGAAUACUAGUAGUGGUGUACCAGGAUACAAGGAUCAAGACCUCUAUAAUAAGUAUAUUGACAUAGGAGGGAUUCCAGAACUAUCAAAUAUUGUAAGGAGGGAGUCUGGCUUUGAAAUUGGAGCAGCUACACCAAUCGCUAGGACCAUUGAGAUACUUGAGGAAGAAUGUGAAUCUAUAUCCUCUCCAAACGGAAGUGUGGUUUUCAGAAAACUUGCGAACCACAUGAGCAAAGUUGCUACACCUUUUGUUCGUAACACAGCUAGUAUUGGAGGAAACAUAGUUUUGGCACAAAAAUACCCAUUUCCAUCAGAUAUUGCAACCAUACUCCUUGGUGCUGGUGCAACUGUUUGUCUUCAGGUAGUUGCAGAACGGAGACAAAUUACUUUGGAAGAGUUCCUAGAGCAGCCUCCUAUAGAGGCGACUACUUUACUCCUGAGCAUAUUUAUUCCACAUUGGAUUCCAGAUUCUGGGACAAAAACAAGUUUGUUAUUUGAAACUUACAGAGCAGCGCCUCGUCCUCUUGGCAAUGCUGUUUCAUAUGUAAAUUGUGCUUUCUUGGGGCAUGCUUCUGUGGAUGAACAAUCAGAUACUCUUGUAUUGAGUAAUCUGCGCUUGGCUUUUGGUGCAUAUGGAACAGAACAUGCUAUUAGAGCAAAGAAGGUGGAGGACUUCCUUACUGGCAAAUCACUCACUGCAUCGGUUGUACUUGGUGCAAUUCAAUUACUUAGAGAAACCGUUGUACCAAUGGAGGGAACAUCACAUCCUGAAUAUAGAGUCAGUGCAGCUAUUGGAUUUCUCUUCAGUUUUCUAUCUCCGCUUUCUAAAGGCAUCCCAGAGCCUGGAAAGUCUCUGACCAGUAGUUCUGCUGAUUCAGCAGUUACAGAUGAUGUCUGUAACAUGCCAUUAUCAACACGUCGAGAAACAGUUUUCAGUGAUGAAUAUAAACCAGUCGGCGAGCCGAUUAAGAAAUAUGGUGUUGAACUUCAAGCUUCAGGUAUGUGGUUACAUCGUUAGAAUUAUUAGUAUUGUUAUCAAGAUAUUUUCCAGAAUCUCUUUGCAGAGCUAGAUUUGAAGUUUCUAUUGUGCUAUAUACAGGGGAGGCAGUAUAUGUGGAUGAUAUUCCUGCUCCUAAGAAUUGCCUCUAUGGAGAAUUUAUUUACAGCACACAACCCCUUGCUUAUGUCAAAAGUAUAAAAUUCAAAUCUUCUUUAGCAUCAGAGAAGAUCGUCUCUUUUGUUUCUGCAAAGGAUAUUCCAAGUGGAGGACAAAAUAUUGGAUCAUCCUUCUCGUAUGGUGACGAACCACUAUUUGGUGAUCCAGUUGCUGAGUAUGCUGGUCAAGCACUUGGCAUUGUGGUACUUACCCUUUCAUCUUUGUAGUAUACCCAAUCACAGCAAUUAUUGCUGUCUUAAAGAUCUCUAUAAUAGAAGACAAUUAUGAAUAUUAAUGACUAUAAUCAGUAUUGCUAAAUCAUUGCCUCUACCUCAGAUUGCAGAAACACAGAGGUAUGCUGACAUGGCAGCCAAGCAGGUUAUUAUUGAAUAUGACACAAAGGAUUUGGGCCCACCGAUCAUAACUGUGGAACAAGCAGUGGAAAACAGUAGCUAUUUUGAAAUUCCACCAGAAAUGUAUCCUAAAGAAGUUGGUGAUGUUUCCAAGGGCAUGGCAGAAGCUGAUCACAGGAUUCCCUCAACUGAAGUAUUUUAGUUCAACAACCUUUCGGAUUUUUUAAUAAUUUAAUUUCACUUGUGUCAUAAAACAAUGAAUGGAAAUUGAACAAUGGAGUUCUAUGUGCUCCAAAGUUUUAAUUUUCAUCCUGUGUGGAGUCUGCUUUGAACUAUUAUACUGUACAUACUAUUUCAUUAAUACGUCAAUAGACAAAGAAACCUUAUCACAUUUGAGAAGCCAAAUUUUGAGUAAGUCCGCUGAGUAGAAUACUAUCUAAACCAGUACUUCUAAAAGUUCAGGAUUACUGAAUCACUUCUGUAAUGGUCUUCAGUUAUGAUUGAAGUAACAAUUACUGUACCCUAGGUGUAGAACAGUAUUUGUGUUAAAUUAAUAACUAACUAUUGUUGUAUCUGUACUGUUUGCAAUUAGUUUUCCCAUGAAAUUGAUCUGCAGAGUGAAAGUUGCAAAUGCUUGGACACCGCACCCCUUAACCCCACCAUCCAACAUUAUUUCUUGCUUGAUGGUUGUGAUCUUUUGACAGUCCUGAUAUGUGACUUUAGCCAUUAUUUUAACUUUAUGUAAUGUUACAUCACUAUAGUUUAUUGAUUGUGUAAUGUUGGUAACUACUUUUAAUGAUGACACAUUUAGUCACACUUUUUUUUUCUACAUCCAAUUUUUGACUUGAAACAUAUACAUGUUAAAAAAAUUCGUGAUGUUUCACAUGGACUCUAAAUUGUUCUGGUGUAAUUUUAAAAUAUGGAAGUUCAAAAUUGUAGUGAUGCAAUUUUAUGUAAAUUACAUAAUAAGACCCAUCAGUGUACUUUUCACUAGUAUCUAUCCUACUUCCCUUUUGCAUGGAAUCUAAGAGAGCAUAUCUCAUGUAAUUUUGAUGCAGGUAAAGCUUGCCUCUGAGUACUACUUCUACAUGGAAACACAGACAGCACUAGCAGUUCCAGAUGAGGAUAACACUUUGGUAGUUUACAGUUCGUCGCAAUACCCUGAACUUGCACAAAGUGUGAUAGCAAGGUGCCUAGGCAUUCCAUUCAGCAGUGUGCGUGUCAUUACAAGGAGGGUUGGAGGUGGCUUCGGUGGAAAGGCAUAUAGAUCAUUCCAAGUGAGAAUACACAAAAGUAGAUCAUAAUAACCGAAAUCUUCCUUUUUAUUAAAACUAAUUAAUAUUAAUAUAAAAGCUUUGCCCUGAAACAGCAUUUAUUGUACUUCUGUAUCAUUUUUAACUUGUGAUGAGGUCAUUGCAUGCUAGAACUAGUGGUGUCAAUUUUCUAAAAUAUCUUUAUUACUAUUCACUUAAGAGAAUUUUCCUUAGACUUGCUGUCAUGGGUCUAAACAGGUCCUCGAGGAGUUAAUUGCAAUACUUCUUUUCUCAUUUGGUUAACUUCAUUGUUAGUUGUACUAUAUGUCUACCAUUUUCACAUAAUAUUUGGAAAAUAGGAAAUCCAUUUAGGCCUAAUGGACAAUCUAUAUUCAUUUAACCACGUGCUUUUACACCAACAUGCAAAUGCAUCUAACUUUGACUAUUUAUCUGGGCUUCACAAUACAAAGUCCCUAGCGCAAAAUCAAAUUAACUCUCAAUGUUCUUUUGAAGAUAUGUCCCAACAAAUUUAGACUUAAGUUUACAUAUAUUUACAUAUGUGAUGCUUAUAUAUAAUAAUCUAAUAACAAUAUCGUGAAUUCAUAAAGACCUAGUAUACAUUACCUGCUUUCUUUCAAAAAAAAAACCCUGCUGUUUCUUACCGAUAUGUUACAUACCCGUGCAGGUUGCAACUGCAGCUGCGCUUUGUGCAUACAAGUUACGACGUCCUGUACGAAUGUACCUUAAUCGCAACACUGAUAUGGUUAUGGUUGGUGGUAGACACCCAGUGAAAGCUCAUUAUUCCGUUGGAUUCAAGUCUGAUGGGAAAAUUACAGCCUUGCAUCUAGAUUUAUUAAUUAAUGCUGGGAUAUCUCCAGAUGCAAGCCCCAUUAUACCAGAUGCUAUUAUAUCUAGUGUCAAAAAGUACAACUGGGGUGCUCUGUCAUUUGAUAUCAAGCUCUGCAAAACAAAUAUUUCAUCUAAAUCUGUAAUGCGUGCUCCUGGAGAUACACAAGGCUCUCUAAUUGCAGAUGCUGUAAUUGAGCAUGUCGCGUCUGCCCUUUCACUGGAUGCUAACAGUGUGAGGGAAAAGAAUUUUCACACUUAUGGUACUCUUCAGUUGUUUUACCCAGAUAGUGCAGGCGAAGCUUCUACGUACACAUUGCAUUCUAUUUUUGAUAGGUUGAUCUCAACUUCAAGCUACCUGGAUCGAGCUGAGUCCAUAAAGGAAUUUAACAGUAACAACAAGUGGCGGAAACGGGGCAUCUCUUGUGUGCCACUCAUUUUCAAAGUUGAUCCGAGGGCAGCCCCUGGAAGAGUUUCCGUGCUCAAUGAUGGCUCCAUAGUGGUGGAGGUUGGAGGAAUUGAAAUCGGGCAAGGACUGUGGACUAAAGUACAGCAGAUGACUGCCUUUGCUCUGGGAAAAUUGUGGCCUGAUGGGGGUGAAAGUCUUCUUGAGAGAGUGCGUGUUCUACAAGCUGACACCUUGAACUUAAUACAAGGCGGACUUACUGCUGGCAGCACUAGUUCUGAAUCUAGUUGUGCAGCAACUCUUCAGGCAUGUAAUAUGCUGAUUGGCAGAUUGAAACCAGUCUUCGAUAGGCUGCAGCAGCAAUCAGAAAAUGUCUCGUGGGAUACAUUGAUUUCUCAGGUGAGUUUAUCCUCCUCUAGUUUUCGCUCAUGCUGAGUACAAUAUUGUUGCCUUCUGUAAUGUAAUGUUUCCAAGCAGGCUUCUAAAGACAAUGUUAAUUUAUCUGCGAGCACGUACUGGGUACCUGGUAAAGUUUCUAAUAAGUACCUGAACUAUGGAGCUGGUAUAAGUGAGGUGUGCCAAAAUUCUCAAGACUAAUUUGCAACAGCGGAGUUAAAUCAUGUUUGUAUGUCUUAUAGGUGAUACUCUUUCUAUUCGAAUCUUCUGAAAGUGCAGGUGGAGAUUGAUCUUCUUACAGGAGCAAUUACUUUACUAAGGGGUGAUCUUGUGUACGACUGUGGGAAGAGCAUGAACCCUGCUGUGGACUUAGGACAGGUUUGCCAUUGAUCCUUUCCUGCUUCCUAUCUUAACCAAUUUUAAUUCUUAAUGUAGUUCAUUGAUUUAUAGACCAUAAGUUUGGACUGGAUGAGGACUAUAAUUAAAUACACGCAAAAUAUGAAGCAGAUUUUCUGUUCAUUGUUUGAUGUAGAUUAGAGAGUUAACUGACAUGCUAACAAUGAGAUGCAACUCACCGAUAGAACUAACAUUGAGCUAUUUCAGCAUUUCCCUUGUCAAGAGUUUGUUGUGCUCCAUACUUAUCUUUUUGAACCUAUGUUCAAAAUAGCGGGAUUUAGCGUCUGAGCAUUGCUGGCGCUAGGCUUUCACGUUUCUAGCACUAGAAUCUUUCAGCCGCUAAUAACUGCUAAUAGCGCGUUAAAUCCGCUAAACUGACCUCUAUUUAGCGCCGCUAUUGGGCCAAAUCAGCUCGUGCGAACUCCCUUAGCCCAAAAUCGCAAGCAUCCAGUCUAUCAUGAGGCUGUAUAGAGCCGGCGGCGAGUAACCCUAUCCAUUCCUCUCUAAAUGUCGCGAAGAAAAACGCUAGUGGCAAUGGCGCCACUGCGUCUGGCGGCGUCGACGGCUACAACCUGGCAUGCUAGCUUGAGAGCAAGGGCAGAGGACCGGGGCAGAUGACCAUGAACGACGGUAGUUGCUAGCUUCUUUCUUCUCCAGCUGCAUGAUUGGCUUUCGAGUUCCGUUUGUUCUCUGUUCUUUACUUUUUUUAAUACUUAAAUUGUAAUGUCUGGAUAUGUACGAACUAUGAAGCUCUGAUGUGUUAGUAAGACUUACUAUCUAUCACUAGUUAGAUAUUAGAUGGUAAUUGGUAUUUGUAAUGUCUUUGUCUUCUAUGUUUAUUAUGUGUAAAGUUACCUAAUGCUUAUAUAUUUCUUUGCUCAACCGCUAAAUGACUUAGCCUACUAUAGCCUUUCUUAGCUUUUGAGAAAGCCAGCCGCUAAGAGGCUUAGCCCGCUAUUUAAAACUUUGUUUUGAACAUAUAAAGCCAAAGGACUUUAGCCAGGUGGUUAGAGCUUUCCUGUGGCACACCCCUGAGUUCGACUCCUCAUGGGAGCGAAUUUUAGGCUAGGGGUAAAAAAAAUCCCCUCGCUGUGCCACCCUGUGUGGGACAGCCCGGCCUGUGGCAACAGUGGUGGCUCAACCUGGGGGUUGUGGACUUGUGGCAGUGGUCGCUGGUCCAGGCUACCGUCUGCUUCACGGGUGAGGCUGGGGUACCAAGACUUUCUUCUUAGUAUAAAAACUGUGGGGCAGUCUUUCCCCACCGGCUGAGUUAUUUUUUAAAACAUAUAAGUACAACUAAGUACAGGCAAAGGGUUUUGCAACAUAUCUAGUGCCUCAUUGGGCUCGUGUACAUUAAUUUGAUGGCACCAUAUCUUAUCCAUGGAAUUUAUCUUGCAGAUUGAAGGUUCCUUUAUAAAGGGAAUUGGGUUUUUCGUAUAUGAAGAGUAUCUUACAAACAGUGAUGGCCUCAUGAUUAGCAACAGCACAUGGGACUACAAGAUCCCAACUGUCGACAUAAUCCCAAAACAGUUCAAUGCUGAGGUGCUGAACACUGGAUACAAUAAGAACCGUGUGCUUUCUUCCAAAGGUAGUCACUUUAGUUAUUUCGUCAUUGCAGUAUAUAUUGAAGUAGGCUUGGUACAUACCAAUCAAUUUGUACUGUUUCUGCCAGCUGCUGGUGAACCUGCCUUGGUUCUUGCCUCAUCCGUUCAUUGUGCACUGAGAGAAGCUAUCCGAGCAGCGAGAAUGGAGUUUGCAAACAGCACUGUAUCUGGACGCUCACCGCUGGAAUUCAAGAUGGAUGUCCCUGCACCAAUGACGCUGGUGAAACAACUAUGUGGUUUAGAUAUUGUGGAGAAGUACCUAGAAAGUCUAUCUACCUAGAAAGGAGUGGUAUCAUCUUUGUUGUUGUAGUUUGCAAUAAAACAGAAAGGAGGAAGGAGGAUUUCCAUUUCCCUCAAUGGAAAUAGGGUUUCCUCGUGUGGAAAGGAAGGAGGGAGGUGUUAAAUUAGCACAAUAUUUGAAUAAUGCUUUCAACCAUCUGUAUUCAUAUGACUCUUAAGACCAACCACCUUUCUCUCAUUGACAUGAACAUUGGGUUGUAUAUCAGAUGCAUAACCAGCAGGAAACUUUACCACUUUUAGCACUUGACAAAAUAACUUUUUCUCAUCAGGACACACUGAAUAUGGUGCAGGUGGUAAAUACAAUUGGUCUUCAAGUUCAACAGGGUGGAGAUCAUUUCUAAUACCUAGAGUUUGAAGGUCUAAGCGAGAAUUCAGAUUAUCCUUAGAUUUCCCAUCAGUACCCAAGAAUGUAUUGACAAAUUUCUCAUACACAUUCUUCCCUAUAUGCAUGACAUCAAAAUUAUCCCGCAGGCAACAUCAAAUCUUUCCAAUAUGUUUGAACCAAAUAGAUCUCCUUUUGAAAAUGACUAAUGGCUCCCCUGCCUUGGGUCUCUUGGUUGCUGGUUUCUUUCUAGAUGGAUCCUUUCCAAAAAUUGCAACAAUAUCUUUAGAAUUUUUUCCCUAGAAAGAGGAGUAGGUGCUGUCCUAAGUUCAGUUGAACCAAAUUUAUGGACAUCAAGCCUAAAUGGGUGAUUCUCGGGCAGAAACCUACGAUGACCCAUAUAACAUGUCUUGCUGCCAUUACCUAGUCUAAGUGAACAUGUAUAGGAGUGGCAAUGUGGACAUGCUGCUUUACCGGAUGUUACACAUCCAAAUGCAUAGCCUAGACCAAGAAAAUCAGUAAUUGUCCACAAUACUGCUGCACGCAAUUGGAAGUGCUCACGCUUCGAAGCAUCAUAAGAAGUGGCUCAAAAUAAAUAUCCAUAUCACUACCAGGAGCAUGCCGUCUAGGAAUCAAUAGAGAAAGGAUGAAAUUUGAUUGCUUCAUACACAUUGAAGAUGGAAAAUUAUAGGGAAUACAUAUGCCAGGACAAAUGCUAUAGCUACUAUUUUGGGAUCUAUAUGGGUUGAAACCAUCAGUGGCAAAUGCAAGUCGGAUAUUGCGGCUAUCUACAACAAACUCUGGAUGAUUUACAUCAAAGUCUUUCCAUAGAGGAGAAUCUGCAGGAUGCCUAAGAACACCAUCUCUUGUUCUGUCCUCAUCAUGCCAUCUUGUUAGACUUGCUAUUUUAGAAGAUAGAAACAAUCUUUGGAGACUUUUCUUUAUUGGAAAGUAGCGAAGAACUUUCUUAGGGACCUUAUAUACAUGUUUUCCAUCUAGACUCUUCCUAACUGACUUCCACCUAGAAACCUUACAUUUUGGACAUGACUUGGAUUUUUCAUGCUUCUUUUGAUAGAGGAUGCAAUCAUUUUUCACAAGCAUGAAUGCUAAUGUAACCAAGUCCUAUGGAUUUGAUCAAUUUCUUAGCUUCAUAGAACUUUCUAGGCAAUGCAGAACCCUUAGGUAAUGCAUCAUUUAACAGAUCAAGUAGAAGGUCAAAACUUCUAUCGGUCCAUCCUCCAAGGAGUUUGAUGGGAAGUACCCUAAUUAGGAAGCACAAUUUUGUAUACUUCUUGCAAGUAGGGUACAACUCUUGACUAUUGGCUUCUUCCAACCUCUGAAGGGCAAGUAGCUCAUCACUAGGCUGAAAAGAACUGUUGUCUUCAAAAUCCCCUCUAUCAUCUAAACCACAAGCUAGAUCUCUAAGCAAUUCAGAUACAUCAUCUUCUUCAGUGGACUGUUCAAUAAGAUCAACAUCAACAUUAUUUCUAUGAUUCUCAUAAGAUGUACUUUCUUCUCCAUGUAAGUUCCAUGUUGUGUACCCUUGUAUAAACCCAUCGCAUAUUAGGUGCUCACGUACAUCACUAGCCUCUCUCCAAAAUGAGUUAAAUACAUUUUCUACAAGGACAUAAUAUCUUGUCCCCUACUGCUGAAUUUCUAAAUGCAAAAGCUAGAAAACCGUUCACCCCUUGUAAAUAUUUCUUUGUGUGCCUACAUGCAGGGAUGAAAACAGUACAGAUAUUUUGCGACCAUAUUCGAGACCAAAUUCGUUUAGGGGGUUCAGAUCUGUCCGUAUUCGAAUCCGAAUAAUCAACAUCUGAUACCGUAUCCGUAUCCGAAUACUUAAAUCGUAUAUUUAUGAUGUCGACAUCUAAUCCUAUCUUAUCCAAAAUGGUUGACAUUAUCCGUAUUCGAAUCCGAAUCCGACCAGAAAUAUAAAAACAAAUAUGGUAUCGGUGAUAUCCGUUCAUAUCCGAUCCGUUUUCAUCCGUACCUACAUGGAAUGUAUUAUGUAAAAUCUCAUGGUCACUACAAAACACUUUUUAAUAUUUGUAAAGUAGUUGUGUUGUACCUAUGCUCAUUAUUAAUCCAUGUUUUAUCCAUACACCUUUACAGGAAGGUCACACCACGCUCAGAUUAAAUCUUUUUGGAGAGAAUACAACCACACAACAUAAGCUUUAAAAAAAAGCAAUGUGACAUCAAGUGAAUGGAACUCGAGAAACAAAAUCAUACUGUUGCGCAAAGCUCCGACAUCCAACAACUAUGAAUAUUGUAGUUCUACAAAAAAAGUUCAAACUUCUUGCAGCUACAGGUUUUGCUCCUGCGAAGGUAGUAUGCAUCAGAUAUAAAUUAUCAAGAAAUAGAGACAACAGGGCAACAGGCCAACAGUCCUAGUGUUGUAGUGUUUGCUUAAUAAAUACAGAUUAGUUUCUUCCUAUAUGGCCAUCAAACUGAACAUAUACAGUCCCCUGCAUUCUCUUGUUCCUUACUAUUUAUGAUCAUUGUACAUGGUCACCAGUACAUACACCCUGUACCCUAUGUGUAACAGGUACCAAGAGAUAACAUAAAGAAUUUUGCUAAUACCAUGAAAAUACAGAAAUAAAAGGAAACUACAUAAGGAUGGAAGGAAUAUAAUAGAAUCACAAACAAGAAAGGAUAGGCUACAGACCUGAAGAACCCAGAUGCUCACAAGUGUCUCCAAGCAAAACAAGGCAAAUCUGAUCAGACAAAGUAAAGAUCUGAAAGGGAAAAUGAUUUAAUGUCAGAUUUUUCACUUUUUACCUUCUAAAUUGAAAUGAAAACACAUUCCAUAAUAAAAGCAACAAAUCGUGGCUUACAGUUUAACAAGAUGCAAACUCAAACCAAAUGAAGCAAAAAAGGACAUACCAUGGCUGUGCAGUGAAGACUCGAGGGAGGGGAUGGUCUGAAGGUGGCGUCCUGGUGCCGGCAGACGGCCUGGCAGGUCUGGGUGCCCUGUGCCCUGGUCGUGCGGCCGUUGAGGGGACUGGUUUGUGCCCCUUCGCCCUGCACCCCCUGCCGUGUCCGUUCGCCCCGCGCCUCGCACCCCCUGUUGUGCCCCUUCGCGGCUUCAGUGGAGGGGACUGGCUGAGGAGAUUGGCUAUGGAGGAGAUCGUCUGGCUGAGGGUGUAGAUCCUCGCUCGUGGAGGGAAUUGGCUGGGCUGCAGGACUGGGCUGGGCGGUGGUGGCUUAGGAGCUCAGUUGAGGAUAGGGUUUGGCCUGAGCCCUGCUAGUGGGAUUUGGGGGCAAUUUGUGUGGCGUGGGACUUGGUGAGAGGAGGGAAUCCACGGUGGAUUGGAGUUUUCGUGGAGGCGGCAGCACAGGAAGCAAGGAGGGAAAGAGAGACCGGUGGCGACUAAGGGAAAUUUUUGUCCUCUUAGGGUUUUGAUGCUACAGGUGGGCUGGGCCUUGGAUAACUAUGGUUUGUCACAUAUACUUUUACCGUCAGACUACACAUUGGUAAAUAUACACUUUUAGCGUCAGAUGUCUGACGCAGUAUUGGUGUUGUGGUGUAGUGGCUACUGGGAGAGGGGUUGUGUUUAACUAAUUUAUUGUUAUGAAGUGUGUGUGCUGGUCAAUUUUAUGAAAUAUUUUCUAGCAACUUAGUUAAAGAGAGUACAAGCUAGAAAUCUAGAACCUUUUUAUUUGAAUGAACAUUCCACUAUAUAUAUAUAGAAUUUAAGGUUUAGUGCCCCCUCUAUAUUUUAUUUGUUAGGAUAUUUUUUCCCAACAUGCAUGAAAAUACUUGAAUGCCUUUGUACUAGGAAAUAGCAGAAGAAAACCUUUUGUAAAAUACUGAAGCAUAUGGAGCUUCCAAGCGAGGACCGAUGUGUCUAGCUCUUCAACCCAUGUUCUCCCAUUUGGCGCUCUCUGACAGAGUUGAUAUUCCCACUUCUUUUGCAGAGUUUGACAUCUAGCUCAAUUUGGAAUUUGGUCCAUAGUGACCCCAUGUGCAUGUUAAUGAGAUAUUGUGAAGGGUUUGGUCCUUACCUUGGUUGUUAAAGAUGGGGUAGAUCAACAUAUAAGACUUCUGGAGUCCAUCAUACCAUUCUCGGGUUAAUCCUUUUAUUUGAAACAAGGAUGAAAUCAUAAGUAUAGGAUGGUGGUAGGUGUGAUUCAUUCAACGUGCAGAAUAGAUCUAAACCGUUUGGACUCUGGGGCGUUACGCAGAGGCUUGCACGUCUGCCAAUUCUUUUUGAAUCUCUUGUCCCUAUACCUCAUCUAAAAAUGGCAAGACCGAGCGAAUUCUCAAAACUCUGAGCAUUCGUAGCCUUCUUCUCCAUGCUGGUUUGCCACCUUAGUUUUGGGUGGAGGCCCUCUCCAUGGCCACACACCUUAUCAUUAUCAAUCACCGCUCCUGCUAGACUAUUGGCUCUCUCACUACAUUCCAGCUCCUGCUCGGCGCACCCUGACCUACAAUCAUCUCAGGUUUUUUGGCUACCUUUGUUAACCCAACCAGUCAGCCACCACACCCAACAAGCUCAACGCCCAUUGCAGGCAGGCCCUAUGAAAUUCUGCUACGACCUUAGAAUUGAAAUGUUGUUCUUUGUGAAAAAUAACACAUAUGUAAUAUGUUGCUCUUUGUGAAAAAUAACACAUCUCAUGUAGAAACUUGAAUCAUCUCCACUAAUAUAUUUUGUGCCACAUGCAUUAUUAGAUAAACAAUAUUCCUAGGGUUUUGAGAUGGUACAUGUAACAAUCUGGGUUUUUUGAGCAAUACAACAAUAUUAGAUCUUUAAUUUAUUUUUAAAUUGUGUGCUCACAUAUGAAAUAACUCCUUGCCUCUUCUUCAUAAUGGGCCAUAGCAGUUUGAUAUUGAUGUGGUUGUCUAUGUUGUUGUUUGCUCAUGUUGUCAAUAGCUUAUUGUAAAUUGAGUUGGCUUAAUCUUAGUAUUUUACUAUUGCCUACGGUUGGAGAUGAAAACGGAUCGGAUAUGGACGGAUAUCAUCGAUAUCAUAUUUGUUUUCAUAUUUCUGGUCGAAUUCGGAUUCGGAUACGGAUAAUGUCAAUCAUGUCGGAUAAGAUACGAUUAGAUGUCGACAUCAUAAAUAUACGAUUUAUGUAUUCGGAUACGGAUAUGGUAUCGGAUGUUAAAUAUUCGGACUCGGAUACGGACAGAUCUGAACCCCUCUAAACGAAUUCGGUGUCGAAUACGGUCGAAAAAUAUCCGUACCGUUUUUAUCCCUACUUGCAGUACUGUUGUUUGGAGGCCUUCUUUAGGCUUUAGGCAUAUACAUCUCACUAUUUAUAAAAGAGACCAAAGAGAGGAUAUUGAAUAAAAGCUAGUAAACUAAAGAGCUAUGUUUGAAGUAAACUUUUGUUGCAAAGCCGUAUGGCACGGCCAUCAUUUUUGUUUUUGGCCUUUUCGAAAAAUUCUCACAAAUAUGCCCUUGGUGGUAAGAAUUUAGAAUCUGGAAGUCAGUGACAAUGGCGCCAAGCUCACAUAGCUUGGCACCAGAUGCAAUGGUGAUAAGGCAUGAGAACCAAGCUAUCAUGGCUGCCGGCUUGGCGCCAAGAUGGAUGGCGCCAAGCUUGGUGUGAUAGUUGGAGAUGGUAGUGGGUCUCAUGAUGUUGUGGUAGAACCUCCUCAGGAGAUCCCUUUGACAUAGAGUCAUCCAAGUGUCUUUUCCAUAUCAUUCCUUUGUCAGUUACCCCCCUUUGGUCAUCUAUUGAUCUCAUUCUUUCCUUGUAUUUCAGCUUAUGCUGUAGGAGACAUUCCCGACAAUGUGGAUGUUCCUCCUAGAGAAGGAUUUCGUGCCUCCAAUAGUGUUGAUUCAGAGCCAUAUGAGAUUGCAAUGGCAAUUGAUUCUGAUGAUGAUUGUCUUGUUAGAGAGAUGAUGCAGAGUGAUGUUGAGAUGUUGAGACAUGUGUACUCUAGCCACCGUGAUCCUAGAGUUCAUGAGUUCAAUGAUCUUACUCAUUCGGAUCAGGCGCGUGCAGAAGGAGAAUGUGGAUGACAACGAAGAGCCGCAUAGCAACAGUGCCUACUUGGAGUAUGAGGCCUGGUACAAAGGAGUGACACGUCCACGACUUAGGCUACAGUGGACACAUGGUGACUGUGCAAAUAUCGAGUCCCCUAAAGACGAAGACAUGACAUAUGAUUGGACUACUCGUGUAGGAAGACAGGUGGAGGCAGGACCAGUAUUGGACCGAGUGGUACAUCAUUUGGAUUUCUUUUGUACAUUCACUAAUGUUUCAAUAAAUUCUAACUCUGAACUUUGUUGCAGGGCAACACCCUCAGACUCUAGGUCGUAGACAUUGAGCUCUUUAGGCCAAAAGUGUGAGAUGACAACACAUGGAGCUUCCUUGACGUAAGAAACUGUUAGUUCGAAACUGCCCGUGGGCCCACUUCACGGAAGGAGGGACAACCAGAUGAGUGGAUCGAGUAAAUGGAAGUGUGAUAGAAGUAGUCGAUGAGAAGGGGUGUCGGAUCAAGACAAGGCGAAGAAAACGUGUCGGGUUCAAUCAUAAAAGGAAGGUUAGAGUCCGGAUUGCCUUUUCAGGGAUAGUCGUAUGAGGACAUGAGACUAGAUCUCCGCACUAUAAAUAUUAGGAACUCGAUCUUUGUAAGAAUAUACACAAUCAAAAUAUAAACCAUUCUUGGCUCCGGCCACCAACCUUAGGAGUAGGAGUAAUAGUAGAUCUCGAGGAGACCUUCGACAAAUCGAGCUGCAUUGGUUGAUUUCGACCUUCGGUUUGCUUGUAAGUAUUGUCAUGGUUCAUGUUUAGUUUGUCAUGGCUGCAUCAUCCGAACUCAUGUGAAACUUGAUUUUGAACUAGUUAUCGACUUGAAUUGUAUUUGUAAGGCUGCAUUGUUUCAAUCUCUUAUGAGCAUCGGUUCAAGUUAGUUAUCGACUCUAUUAGAUUGGCGAUUUAAUAGAUUCAUUAAGUUAUCAAUAUUGUUCGAGGAUUAAUGUUAUAUUUAUCGUAACAAUAUUCUGCGCAAUCAAGAUUUCACAGAUUAGCUUGAGCUUUAAAUUGAAACACUUGCUGUAAACCCUAAACGAACAAUAAUUAUAAAGCAAAUAUAUGAUAGUUAAUCUGUUGUGCGUUCGGAAUAUUUACUUUACUAUGAUUAAUUUGGUAAUUACAACUAAAUCUAGUCAUAACGAAGUAGAUAGAUACUGUUCGUGCCUCAUGGACCUUGUAUCGGCUAAAUUGCCAAUCCAGUUAAGCUUAAAUGAAUAGUGCGCGUGCAUCACCCAAUUAUGGCAUUAAAUAAACUAGUAAUUUAUUAAAACUAUAGGCCUUUAGUUCAGUUUUAAUAAAUUAUCGUUUAUUUAAUGGAUAAGAGGAUAAUGUACAUAAGCUAUCUUAUGCACAUACAUAUCGUAUCGGCUAAAUAGCCGAUCCGGUUAUCUUUUCGUAUAAACGUGACUGUUCGACGAGAUUUUAAACAUUUAAUAACGAAUAUCAUGAUGCGUUAUCAACAGGAGUUGACUUUCUAGUUAAUUUCCUUCGAUUAACGACUUCUCAAAGUCAUACAUCUCGGAACUGUCCGGCAACAACCGACAGGUUCCAUAAUUUGACUUUUGCAUCUCUACCUUGUCAAUUUCAGGUUAAAUUAACUGGCACGCCUCAGAAUAAAAUCAUCAAGCUCAUGCAUUUGUGGAUCAGGAGGUCUAGGACUUCAGCUCCUACGCUCCCUCUAAGAGCACCCGAGAUUGUUGACGUGAAAGACCAAUUUUUGCAUCAACAGAAACUAAACAUUCUUUCAGUCGUAAUUCUCUCAGUUAACAUGAUUUUGCACAACAAAGACUUGUGCCACGGCUACACCAUGCGGCUACACGUUGUGGUUGCAGGACAGCCAUGAUGCAAGACGUGUGCAUUCCUUCAUUGCCUAGAGGAGGUGGAGACUCGUCUAGCCAUGGCGUACAAGGUCCAUAGGCACACCAUACAAGGAUGAGGAUGCCGAGGAGGGUGACAAUGAUGGGACGAGAGGUAAGGAGGAGAUUGGCAUGUCAUAGCUACAUGACACUCCCUCGACUCAGCCUACACAACAGGUAGACACUAGGCGAUGUCGGCCACCCUAGACUUUCACUCCAGGCACCGACACUCUUGGUCACAAGGGUAAGGGUAAGUCUAAGAGGCAGUGAGGGAUGUGGUAUAGUUGGUGGUUGUUAUUAUGGACUACUGUGGACUUUGUUGACUUUCACUAUGCACUAUUAUGGCUAUAUGGACUGUAUGGACUACUAUGGAUUUUAGGGACAUUAUUGAACUCCAUGGUUAUUUAGUAUGCUCAUGUAUAUGGUUUCAGAUGAAUGUGGUAUAUAUUUGAUGAUGUUAUAUAUUCAUGUCAUAUUUGUGUAAGGAUUAAAUCAAAGAAUAGGAGAAAUUCUACCAAAAUUUUCUACUAGAAGUACACUAGUGCAAUACACCACGAGAAUCAAGCCUUUUUCAGUGAGUCAUCAUGUUAUUGUCAUAUCAUACACAGAUGAAUUGAUUGAUGGCCAACGUCCCAUGCCAAAUAGGCUUUUGAGUGAAUGAAUCUUAGCCUUUUCAGUGAGUCAUCAUGUCAUGCUCAUAUCAUACAAAUACUUUUACAAGUGAAUUGAUUUGUCACCACUGUCCCGUCUCAAAUAGGCUUUUUAGUGAACGAAUCCUAGCUUUUUCAGUGAGUCAUUGUUGGCAGUCAUUAUAGACCAAUUAUAAACUGCCAACUUGAUCCAAAAGGAGAAGAAGCAAUCAUAUUAUAUACACACAUGCAUUUUAUUACUAACAAGUUCCACUUGUACCAUAGUGAUUAUAUUUUGCAGGAAUUAUAGUGCAACAAGUGAAAAUGUGCCAUACCACAAAGAAAGCACAAAGUACCAAAAGACGUAUUCAGAAAUGCGCAAACCAAGAAAAUAGAGAAAGGCCCGAAUAACACAGAACUGGGCCUGAUCAUAACCACGGGAGAGAUCCAAGCCCACAGCCAAACCGACCACGCGAAGACGGUGGCUAGGGGGACCCACCCAGGGUGCACCCCUCGAGGUGGCAAACCGGGCCCAUCUUUCUCAGGCGGUUGCAUGCCGCCAUGCAUAGGAUGGUUUCACCUACUACCAAAUUUAGAUGCGACGAACCGUCCUAGUUCUACUAUAAAAAGAGAGGCACUCUCCCCUUUUCAACACACACAUCAUUUGGAGUCAAAUUACCUCACACCUCUCACUUGUAUCUUUAGUCUAGAUUAGUAGUAGAGCAAGGCAAGAGCUAGUAAGGAGAGCUUGUCUCCUUGGAAGAAAGGAUCUUCUUGGUAUGAAUAAUAUUCAAUCUUCUUCCAUGAGCAAGUUCUAUUCAUCUUUAUAUGAUUAUGCAUAUGAACUAGAGUAUGGUUGUGUUCUUAUCAUGUUCAUAGUAUAUGAACUAGUUCUUAGUUCUUGUGCUAUGUUCUUGAUAUGUUCAUCAUUGUUCUUCAUUGUUCAUCAGAUUAGUAUGAUUAAGAUUAGAAUUAGGAAUGGGAUGAUGGUUCACUGUGCUAUGAUGGUUGCUCUUAGCCUAGCCUGUCACUCCAAAGGGGUGGGGCCCGUGGUGGUUAGGAGUUGUUUCCAAUUACAUGAACAUGGUGUUCAGGUAUGCGGGAAUCAGUGGAUGUGCGGGUAUCUUUCAGGUAGAGGGGUAGGUGGCAGGGUAGUGACAGCUGUGUCAUCCUUUGCAUUCCCCCACGAUCAGGUAUUCCGAUAGGAGUUCUGUAAAGUCUCUAUCGGCUGGGUAUCCAGCUGCGGGGAUCUCCCCUCAUCUCAGGCUUAGUUCUAACUCUAUUUAUUGCUAAUUAGAUGAUCCGCUAACAGUUCUAUGCAUAGUUAUAUGUAACCCAUGCUUGCUCAAGUAGAUUUAUUUCUUUAUUCUUUACUUAUUAUUUCUCUUCUAUUUUAUCCCUGAGGUUGAUCCAAUGUGUGUCCACUAUCUUGAAUAUCAUAUUUAUUCCUCUUUACUCUAUGUCUACCAAGCAUUCAAUAAGUAAUCAUGUUUACACCAUGUUUGAUCCCUUUGCCUUCCUACGGGAAUUAUAAAUUCGACACCCUUGAAUACUCACGGGUUGAAAUGCUACAAUGAUAGUUCUGUCCGCUUGCAGUUAUAUUACUUCUUCAUUCAUGAACUAUCGAUUGGCGUACCUAAGUACCGUUACUUAAGAUUGUAAUCCUUAUGCACUUUCAAGCGUAGUGCCACAGCUUUGCAUAUCGCAAGUAAGGAUGGUUAGGAAGGCCAAUCCGGUAUUCCUAAUUAUUGUUACCAGACUGCAGUGCUAAGGCCGGCGCCCUCGAGUUGCCUUGGGUUAUCUCUCUGAUGUAGCAAUAGUUACGGUAUGCCAACACCUGACAUUUCUGGUGCCAUUGCUAAGGAUGGAUCUAUGGUCUAUUUUUAGUAGUGAUGCUAAGAAAUGCCAACAAGCAUUUCUGGCACCAUUGUUGGGGAAGGCAAAAAUCAUACUGGCAUAAACAUUGAUUGCAUAAUAAGCAUUGGUAGCCAUAGAUUAAGCAGGAUAACUUUACUGUUUUCUUUCUCUUUUUAUUGGAAUGAAAACAGGAUAGUGUAUGAGCGGUUUCAACUUGCCGGCAAACUUCCACAGUGAUCCAGAAACACUCCUAAGGAAGAGAAGGGUUUGUACCGUCUCUUCUUCUGCUACGCAAUCGGCAAGCGAAUCAACCGUUCUAGCACCAACCCCACCAAUCGCUAUGGCCAAGACACUCCGUGACUACUCCACUCCCGUUGUUGCCAACGUGCCGACUGGGCCCGCUAUCAUAUGGGGAAUGGAAGCUUCGAUAUUCACACUGGGCUCAUCUCUAUGGUGCAGGCAAGCCAAUUCUGUGGCCUGCCAAGCGAGAAUGCCAACGCCCAUCUUUAGAACUUCCUUGAGCUAUGCGACACCAUCGUCAUCAAGGACGUCACGCAGAACAGCAUCAGGCUCCGUCUGUUUGCCUUUUCCCUCGCCGGAAAGGCGAAACAAUGGUUUUAUCAGAACAAGGAAGCAAUUGACACAUGGGAAAAGUGCUCCGCGGCAUUCCUCGCCAAGUUCUUCCCCAUGAGCAGGACCAACGCUCUGAGGGGGAAGAUCUCAAACUUCCAACAAUCUUUAGUUGAGUCCAUACCCGAAGCAUGGGAGAGGAUCCAGGAGUACAUCCGGGCCUGUCCUCAUCAUGGAAUGGAAGACUGGCUUGUGCUCCAGAACUUCUAUGAAGGCCUCACGACCAUGUCAGAGGGGCACGUAGAUGCCGUAGCUGGAGGUGCAUUCCUUUCUCUCACCAUUAAUGAAGCUACUACCCUCAUCGAGAAGAUGGUGGCAAAUCAAAGAUGGGGAGAUGGAAGGAAAACACAAAAAGGCUCGCAAUCUGCGAAGGAGGCAGAUGUGCUUGCCGCAAAAAUAGACUUGCUACUGCAAAGGAUGGACAGACAAGUUGCAAAUUCCAACAGGGGCACCGUCCAAGCAGUGAACUCACACACAUCGUGUGAAGUUUGUGGUGAUGAUGGCCAUUCGGGGAACAAUUGCCCCGAAACCCAAGAAAGAAGCAACAUAUGUCAACAAUGGGUUUCGGCCACCACAGCAAGGUAACAACGGGUAGAACAAUCAGCACCGCCCGCAGGGUAAUUUCUUCAAUCAACCUUCCUUGAAAGAUCUGGUCAUAGGGCAAGCUAAAAUCAAUGAGAUUCUGACCAAGAAGCUGUCCUAAAAUGACAAGAUCAUUGAGAACAUCAACACCAAGCUUGAAACUCUUUGUUCAUCUGUCAAAAGUCAGACGAGUUUCAACAAGAUGAUAGAAACACAGAUAGCACAGAUAGCUGCAUCAAUUCCUGUCACUAACACAGAGAGGAUCCCAAGGCAACCGGAAACCUCUACUAAGUUCGUCCAUGCAGCCACAGAAGAAUGAAGGAAGGAAAGCCUUGCCAAUGGACUAUAAAUGUUGAGCCCUUGCCGAAGGCAUUCAGUAGUUAUCUAAAAAAACUAUAUAUAAUAAAAAUAAAUUUUGUGCUAUUUGUGUCCCAAUAAAGAUAUCUAAAGGGGGCCCACGACAUCAAGCAAGCUUGGGGGAGGUGUCCCCGCUCAGAAGGAGCCGCCGCCAAUGCGGGGAAGAUCUACCAACCCCUGCAAGGAACGAGCAGCCUACACAUGGAGGAGAUGAGGAGGAGCCACAUGGCCAUGCCAUUGAUGAGGCCGACGCCCCCUUCAUCGACUUGGAGAGCGAGCGGGAGAUGCAGGCAUACAACCUCAUGAAGGAACGCGAGUUCCUCCAUUCGCCGACAUUCGACCCCGCAUUCUUGCACCAAAUAGGUAUGGAUGUUGAGUUUGAUACUAUUUUUGAGCAUCUUGGUUGGAGUAGAGUUGCCCCCGUUCAUGAGCUUGGGUCAUGUCUUUUGACGAUCCAAAUUUUGGGCACUCUACAAAUUGUCGAUUAUGGUAUUACCUUCCGUUGCUUUGGAAGAGAUUUCGAUAUUUAUUGGAAGGAUCUUGCCAACCGUUUGGGUUUCCACGAGCGGUGCUCCAUUGACUUAGGUUUCUCCCUCGGGGGUUACCAACGUCAUGCUUUCUGGCAUUUGAUCUCGGGGCAACACGUUGUUGGAAAGUUUCAAGGGCAUUCUGCCAACAUCCAUCACCCCACUUUGAGGCUUCUCCAUAAGUGGAUUGCUAGUUCGUUCUUUUCAAGAGAUGAUACGCAUCUUACUUACGACAUAGAGAUGAAGUUGCUUUAUGCUGCGCUCAAAAAGAUUAAGGUUGCACCUGUUGUUGAGCUUGUUAAUCAUUGGUUGCAUUCCAUUAAGACUUCAACUGCUAUCAUGUGCACAUCUCUUAUUACUCGCCUUGCUGCUAGUGUUGAUCCCCAUGCUGCUAAUACCAUUAUUUACAUCACUACUCCUCGCAUCAUGAUUAAUGAAUCACAUCUUUCGCAUGCACAUAUGAUUAAACGCGACGAAAUAGGUAAAAAGAUUUUAUUUUAUUUUCUAGGAUAUACAAACGAGAUCCAGUUACCUAACCCGGAUCUCGCUCUGUAUAAUUCCCCAUCCCUCACCUUCACCCUCAUUAAGAGGGAAGGAGGACGCAGGAGCUCUGUUUCACGUAGGAACUCACGGAGGAGGGAACAAGAAGAGCAGGCAGCACAAGCAGCAAGGUCAGCACAACCAGCACCAUCCGCGUUGCCAACACAGCACAAUCCACCGACAGCUAUGCUACGGAUGGGAUGGACCCCUGCUAUACCUGCACUCGGAUUUACCCCUAGGUAUGGAUAUGGUAUGGGAUACGUUCCUCACCCUUACGAGGCUGGAGGUUCGAGCUGGCAGGCAGGAGGGUCCAGCUGGCAGGCGCACGGAGGCGUAGGCCCAAGCGAGCCAGAGGCAUAUGGGGCAGGGGGAUCCAGGCAUCACGAGCUAGGAGACUCCUCUGAUUCCGAGGGAAUGCCACCCCUGUUCACCCUCAGGUCACACUGGACGUCCUCAACACUUGCAUGGGAGGACUGGAGCUCCAGAACAGGCAGCUCCAAGGUACGCUGAAUGCCCACAUCUAGACUGCUACCCAAUGGCAUCAGCAGACCCAGCAGAGCUUCAUCGACCUUGAGGAUGCAAGUCGUCGCCGACACGAGGCACAGAUGGCCUACCUGCGAUCCAUGGGACAUUUCCCUGGACCGCAGCAGUGAGCUAGCUUGGGGGAGGACCCCCACAAGAGGUAACAUGUAUCUUACAUUCUUGCACUUAAUUUUAGUUCUUAUUUUCAGUAUUUAAAUUUCAGCAAUUUUUCAUCAUCUUUCAAAAAAAAAAUAUUCCACUCUCAUGUGCGCUAUGAUAUGUUAGUUUCUCUUCUGUUGAAAUGAUGAAUAGUUGCUCUGUCUAUAAUUCUCUAGUAUCUGUUGACACUUGCUAACACCACUUGAAUACUAGGUUGUCAUCCCCAGCAUGGCACUAGAGUGUACUAUGGUAUUUAUACGCACACAGAUAAAUCCGCAAGCGCACGGAUACCGUUGUAGCUUUUACCCGGUUAAAGGUUUUAUCGUAUCCACGGGGAAAUAGGAGAACUGAUCUACGCUCUAACUUAACCUAGAUAGAUAGGUAGGUGUAAAUAGGAAAGAUGGUAGAAUUGAGUAAGAAAAAUAUUAAAGGUAUGAUAACAAUGGGUGAUAAUAUGAGAAUAGAGAGUAGAGCAAUCUAGUAUAUGGGCGAUGGUAGGAGAAUAGAGAGGAUAACUAUGAUUUCUCUACUUCAAAGGGGUAUGUCUAUGUCUGGGACGAACCACGUGAUAAGAAUACACCACAAAGGAUGCCUAUCCAUAGGCCGAUAAACCUUACCAGUCCUGCUAACAGGAGGUGGACUACAGGGGACCAACGUAACUGUCACCUACGUGGCCUACCACACGAUCCGGCUAGACAGGGGAUAUCCACAAGUAAUCUAGGCCUAAGCACCACGCUUGCACCUAUACUACAACCCUCACUUAUAGCGUCCUAUAGAUUAAAGUACUCAAAAGAGUUGUGAACCAGAACAUACAUGGAUAGUAAUUGCAUAAUGAAAUAGAAGUAGAUUACCAGAGUCAUCCCAUGAGCAAGCUUGAUUAGAGCUUGAUCAUGGCAAAGUACAAUCGGAGGAAGAACCGACAGGCCGACCUCUCCUCCAAUCCUCCCUCGCUCUCCAUCUCGCUACUAUAUAGAUCUACUCUAGUUUAGAGAAGAGAGGGGAGCUCUCAUCUCCAAACCCUAGCUUUUUCUCUGUCUAUGAAUAAUGAAUGGGGAUGAAGGGGUGCCUCCUCUUGGGGCCAGGGGCCUGCUUAUAUAGUCCCCUCAAGUGAAUUUGGGCCGUCGGAUCAAACCAACAUUGAUUGAAUGGUUCUCCUUGAUCCUUUAGGUUGGUGGAGCAUAAUCCGCGAGACGGAGCGUGAUUGGUGGAAAAAGUAGGGUGGGUGCCCUAAGGGGUAGGGCGGGCGCCCUGUCCCCGAGCCCGCUCGGCUUCCCGUUCGUUCCCGUGGCUUCUCGAGUCUUCUAGAUGAUAGAAAAUUGCGCGGCACGUUAAUAUCUCUAUGGAAACCUAACGUGUGGGCCUUUCCUCCAUAUUUCCUGAUAACCCCCUGCAGAAAUAGACAAACACCAAAACUCAUGGAAUUCUGUCAGAUAAAACCCUAAGUUUGGGUGUUGGUUGCAUUUGGAUCCUUUUCUUUAUUUAUUUUAUGAUUAUAUUUGGUACUUAAGGACCGUCAACAACUCCCCCAAGCUUACCUCUUGCUCGUCCCUGAGCAAGGAUGGACUCAAGAGUUUUUGCAGUGGUUUUAUGCCGUAAAGGUACACAUGCGUUCAAACAAGAUCUCAUCUCUGGGUUAGGGUAAACUGUUAAGAUUUAAACUUACUCAUUUUUUCUUCCACCAUGGGGCUUGCAACUGUCACUUGUGUCUUAAGCAGUUAAAAGAUAGAACGGUCAAGUCAAGCGUCAUGUCUCUUGUUCUUUGAUCAACUAUAGCUCUGGAGUUUUUGUAGAUUUUCAAAAUAAAACUGAGAGAUUCCUUGUAUGACUCUCUCAAUUCUCUCUUUUGUGGUAUUUCUGGAUCCUUACCAAGGCAGUAAUGGUAUAUGCUUCUCUCAAAGUAUGUGGUAUUUUUGGUAUGAGGCAUAGUGAUAUUGCCUUCUCUCUCAUCCUACUCUAAUAAGGUUUUGAUAUAUGGAGCUCAUAGGUGGGAGAUAGCUAAUACAUACUUACAAGACAUUUAUUGCAUAGUCAAACCAUGGAUCCAAAGAAACAAGUCAAUAAGUCAAAUCAUGAUGUGCAUGUGUGGCGAAUGAGUGAUGAUGGUGAUAAUGGUGAAAACAAUGGUGAAAGUCUAAUUCUACUUUUGCUCUUUUGAGGGGAUACAUACCUUUCUUGCACUUUGAAGCUUUUUGAGGGGAAUGAGAUGCUCUAUAUUUUCUUUUUUUCUCAGAUGGGUAUCUUGUACCCCUAAUUCUACUAUCGGACACUUGUCCAUUUUUACCUCUCGUCUCACUUUUUCUUUUCUUCGAGGUUUCGGGCACUUGCCCCUUUUUAUUUCCUCGUAUUCACUUUUUUUCAGAGCACUCACCCUCCUGGAAUAAUGUAGCAAGUGGUAGUAACCAAAAUAUCUCGAGCAUUUAUUUCAUGGGGAAUAACAGGGACAGGAUAUUGUUUUUUGGCUUUUCUCUCCUAGAUAGGAGUAGAAUAAUUUUGGGUGAAUCUAGAGAUGGAAAGGAGUGGAUGUAUGUAGAUGCGUACUUCCGGAGUAGAAGCAACAUGUAUGAGUGAACGUGCAAGUGAAUCUUGAUUUUAACCGCAUGACAAGCUCCUAAGAGUCUACACAGCUUGACCACACUCAAUGCUCAUAAGCAGUAAAAAGUAAAUGUAUGGUUCAUAGUCUAAUAAGCAUGUAUAUGUGGCUGUGAUAGGAUUUUAAACUCUCAUCAUACAAGAACUCAUCAUGCAACAUUUUAAAGAUUUUUAAAUAUAAAAUUCUCCAGAGUUCUAGCAUCUCUAUGAAUAGAUAAACAACAGCUCAACCUUCCCAUAUCAUAUCCGUUAACGACUUAGACUUUAGAUCAAGUACUCUUCCCACAAGUUCAGGUUUAGAGUAAAUCUUGAUUCAUAAUAGUCAUGCCUAAACUUGAGAAAGAAUUCAAUUUUGAGAACUGUCAUGGCAGAGCAACUAUUCAUCAUUUCCAUGUGAGAGGUUAUCAUGAGGGUUCAUAGCAAACUUUAUUUAUUUAUUUAUUUAUUUAGUAUAUAUAUAUAUAUAUAUAUAUAUAUAUAUAUAUAUAUAUAUAUAUAUAUAUAUAUAUAUAUAUAUAUAUAUAUAUAAGCACAAAAUCUUUAUUUGGGUUUUUAUGAUUAUGCAUCUUUUUAUUAUUUGAGUAAAGUAUAAAUGCGAGUAGAAACACUUAGCUGGAUAAAUGGGGGUGCUUUCCCCCAAGCUGGAUUUUGACGUAAUUUCUUCUGAUGUAGCUAGCAGGUGGCGGAGGUGUAUUUGAAUGUCGGCAGUACCCUGAUAGCGAUUAGGAUGUCCUCCGUCUGCUAGUCUUCUUUGAUCCUUAAAUUCUGUGGAGCUCAAAUAGACAACAAAGCUUUGUGGAACUGGUUAAGUGUUAGCAUAAAAAUAUCUUUGCCUUUAUCAUGUUGAGCUUUCUCUAAUAAAUAUUACUCUCUUUGGUAGGAUCAUAAAUUUAUUUAUAUUUUCAUUUCUAUAGGACAGGAAUAUAUUUAUUUUGUUUUUACGCUACCACAGUGAAUGUACUUAUGGCUUUUAUGCCACGAGCAUACUCACAUGGGGCUUACUGUUUUUAACAUUUUUAUUUUAUUUUCAAGAUAGCAUGAUUAACUAACAAGCCAUUUAAGGAAAGUAAAUAAUUAAAGGGAAAAGGGAAUGUAGAAAGGAUAAAUAUGGAUAAUUACCGAUUUUAGCUUUCGGCGAGGGUUCAAUGUUUUAAGUCUUCUGAACAAGACUUCUCACUGUGUUCAUUCUUUAGGUGUGUCAUUUGGUUCAGGUGUGGACCUUGACGUCUGCACCUCUUGAUACUGUGUCACCCAUGUUCUUUGUUUGCCCAGCAGUUCAAAGUGCGGCGUUGGCAGUACCUUGCUCAAUGUGUUUGUGCUUGUAGAUCCAGGUCCUUCACUUGGUAGAGUCUGGGAGUUGAAAAAUCCCCCGUGUUUCUCAAAAUGUGUCCUGUUCAUAGAGACAAGGUAGAGAUCAAGUGCAUGGGUCAUGUUGGUGGAAAACACCAACAGAACCAAAAGUAUAUUUGUUCUUCUCUAACCUUAAGCAUAGUGAGCAAGACAAAUUUGAUAGAUAAUAAGAUCAUGAGUGUAGUAUUUAAAACAUUUGUCAGAUCAGAUCGCUCAACCUAAUGGAAAGAUAAUCUAUCUAUAUUUAUGUUUUUUUAUAUAUCUUCCAAAGAUUGAGUGUGCAGCAUUUUAGCUCAUAUGAUUAGGAGUGUGGGAUCAUGGAGGUAGUACUAGGAACAUAGACUAAAGGACUAAACAUGUUGAAUCAGUUGGGUUGGUUAAUUUGGAUUUAUAAAUCAUACAUGUUUGUCUCUUUAUGUGAACGCCAGAACCAAGGAGAAGCUUAUAAAAGUGAUAGUCAAGUACCUUAAGAUGUUACCUUACUUGAAGAGUGAUGGUACAUUAUCACCUUGUGGAAGCUUCCUGUCUUUGCAGUUGUGCAUCAAGUUCGUGGCACCCUCCAUGGAUCAUCUCUUAUGAGCUACGUCUUCCUUGUGUAAAUUGUUAAACUUGAUGUGUCUCUCUUUUUGUCUCCAAUGUGAGUUUAUCUCAGGACUUCCCAAAUCGAUAUUGAAAGUUUUUCUGGAGGGGUUAGUCCAACAAAAUAUACCAAUGUCUACACAAGCAGUUUUUUAGUUCAGUAACCAAACUAGACUCCAUGUCUAAUCAGAUUAAGGAAGGCUAUUUAACCUAAGCACCACGCUUAAUUUAAAUGCCAAUGGAAGUAUGUCGAGUACUUCCAAACCAACACUUACUUGUGAGUAGACAAAGGUAGCAUGACAACAUUAUAGAGAUCUACUCAAGUGGAGAUGAAAAUAGAAUGAUUAGCGUCUAACAAAUUGAGCAUGUCUCAAAGGUAGGGACAACCAACAUAGCAAUAUGACAAAGGAUGUUUUUAUGUAAGGUACUCCCCCAAGCUUAAAUUUUGCAAAAUUCAAGUUUGGAUGAAUUUAAUUCAGUGUUGCAUAAUGAUUGGUCGGACAUACCUUGUGCUUGUCGUUCAUCCGAUCUUCUUGCUCCAAUCCUGUAAAGGUUAGUGACAAGAAUACCCGAAGGAAUAUUUUCACAAUUAUCGUUAUACGCUCAAUGCACAAGGCAAUAUGGCAAGGUCGUGUUACGAUCUGAUAAGCGCUUAUUUUAGGACACUAAGCUUGUCCUUGGGAACCCAUCAGUUUAUGUUGGCGAAGUGGUUUCCCCUCCGAUGCCAACCUUUGUAUAUUAAGAUUAGCUCAACGAGAUCUGCAAUAUUUAUUAUAGACAUAUGCAUCGACAACCGCCCUUUUAAAGUUUUGUAAAUAGAAAAGAAGAGGGGGUUGGAGAUGUCAAAUGUGGUGAUGUUGGAGAGACCAAUAGAUUGGGAAGAUGUUGCAUAUGAGCAUGGAGUAAACGAAGUGGCUAUGAAAUAAAUUCCAUGCUCAUUAAUAUUAUCUUCGUCUCCAAUCUGAAUGUUCGGAGUUUCUCCUGGAUUGGUCUCACCUAUGUCCUCCUCUAUAGUUGGAUGAAUCUCAUCUUCAAAGGGAGUCAAGAACUCACCAUUUGAAAUUGAGCCAAAGUCAGAAUCCGUUAAGGCUUCUUCCUUAUCCAUCCAUUCUACACAUUCGAGCCAUUUAGAACUUGUGAUCAAGACAGGGGAGCUGAUAGAACCUUCUAUAUGGCUUAGCUCUCCUUCUAUGGCAUUACUUGACAUGUCAUCCUCAUGGUCUUUAUGACUCCUAUGGUUUGAUCGUCUUGAUGGAUUGUUAGGAUCAUCAUGAGACUUAAAAGGAGAGGGAUAAGAGGGGUCUCUAAGGUCAAGGAUGGAUUUAGAAUUUGUGAACAUGGAAGGGGAGCAGAUAGAAUCUUCUAUAUGGUUUAGCUCUCCUUCACUUGAUAUGUCAUCCUUGACUUCUUCAUAACAGGAACCAGGACAUUCUCUAAGAGAACCAUUAUUGCAAGGAUUUGAAUUAUCCCUGCUUGAAGGUCUCUUAUGGAACCAGAAGUCUAAACCAUCAGCAUCUGAAAGAUUUAAGGUCGGAAUUCCUUCCUCCCUUGGAGAAUUUUGGGGUAUUGAUGGUUUAGGAUCAAUAGCUAAAGUUUGGAAUUGAAGUGGUUGUGAUCUGGCCAUCGAAACUUCUUCUUCUUGUCUAGGAACUGGUUCUUUCUCUUUCUUAGGGAUAUAAAUGCUAGGAAACUUUCCACUCAAUGAAUCAAUUAAAUCUCUAGCUUCACUAGCAGGUAGGUGAUAGAAGGAUCCUCUAGAGGCUAUAUUCAAGGUUUCCUUAUUUUCCCUACUAAGAGCAUCUCCAAUAGUUAUGAAUAUGACUUGCCAUCCUUCAAAAUUUGGCAAAAGUAGAGAAAAUCAAUAUCCAAUAGUUUGCCAAAGGGACUUGCCAAAAUUGUGAGUUUGCCAAAUCGUGGUGCCGCGCGCGUAUAGUUGCGCACGCGAAUCAAAGUUGCCAUCGCGAGUCUGCGGCCGCGUUUUCUUCUCCCGCGCGGUGACUGAAAAAUCCGAUCGUGUUCCCGCUUGAGUCCGCGCCUCCGUCAAUAUACUGCAUCCGUCGCCGCGGAUCACUCCGUCUCUCCCUCGCCCCAGUCCGGUUCGUUGUCGUGCCCAGGUCCGCUUCGGUGUCGCGCCCAGGUCUCCAUCGACCAAGUCGAGUGAUCCGUCGUCGCGCACAGGUCUCCGUCGCCCAAGUCCGGUGAUCCGUCGUCGUGCCCAAGUCUGCUCGGACGUCGCGCGCAAGUCCGCUAGUUCGUCGCGCCCAAGUCCAGUUCAUCGUAGACCUGGACGUGAUUUCGCGCGCUACCUUCCUCGACGACGCGAGCUGGUGUUGAGGUUCGUGCCCCCUCUUGAACCUAGGGUUUCAACCAUGUUGUUCUUGUGAUAGUUUGAUCGGAUAGGGUUCAGUAAUAUAUGUAUAUAGUUCCCUUGAUCGGAUAGGGUUUCUGAUCUUGUGAUUGUUAUAUACUUUAUCUGGGUGGAUGACAAUUGUUUACUACAUACAUGAUACCUGAGUAUUGACUAUUGAGUCAGCAGUACAUACCAAAACAGAUUACCGCUGCUUUCAAUUACCUGAGUAUUGAGUAUAGAUUAGUUGCCUGCCAAUGAUGCUUGCUUAUGAUUGAUUGUAUAUUGUUUAUAUGUUCGAUGUUGUUUGCUGAUGGUCGAUCAUACAGUAUGUUGCUGCUCAAUAUAUCUUUUCAAUUAUAUUGUUUACAUUUGUUUAGACUGAUGGAGAUGGAUGGAGAAGGUUUCUUGUCGGGCAUUCUUAUGAGUGGGCAAGACGGCCAUGUUGCUGGUUUGGACGACCUCACCUUUCCAAUCUCUCCAGAUACAAAUACACAGUCUAGUCCAGAUGUUGAUGUUGAAGUUGUGCCUCCAAGUCGUGCUAGCAAGGGUAACAAGGGUACUAGGCGGUCCAAGAAUUUUCAUUUCAAGGAAGAUGAAGUUGUUUGUUCAGCCUGGUUGAACGCUAGUAAAGACUCCCUCCACGGGGCCAACCAAAAUCGUAACACUUUUUGGGGUCGAGUUCAUGCUUUUUUUGAGAAGAACAAAAAAACUAAUAUUGUGCGGACAGAGAGUUCGAUUAUGCAUCGAUGGUUCACAAUUCAGCAUCAAGUGAACAAAUUUUGUGGAUGCUAUGAGGCAAUUAAACGCAGGCAUCAAAGCGGACAUACUGUCACAGACAUGGUAAGUGUCAUGUUUUUAAUCCUUUACCAUAAUUUUUUUAUUUGAGACUGAUACAUAAAAUGCUACGUUGUUCUAUAGAUUUCAGAAGCAAUGAAGCUGUACAUAGAUGAAGACAAGGACAAAAAGAAAUUCACUCUUAUGCCUUGUUGGAACAUACUAAAGGGGGAGGACAAGUGGGCAGCCCGGAUGGUAGAGAUUGCUGAGGUAGAGAAACUGGAAAAAGCCAAAAAGAAUCAAAAGGCGACAAAAGUGUCAAGGCCAAGGGAUGAAGAAGGCACCAACACUGAAAAAGCAGUCACAGAUGAUGUUGGGGAAGAAACAUAAGCUAGAAAAAGGUCAGAUGGAAUUAAGAAGGUCAAAGCAAAUCUUAGGGGAGGGAGUGGAGAAGCAUGCAUGGAGGUGAUAGAGAAGAUGUGGGCAAAGAAGGAGGAGUCUGAUAAGGAAAAAGAAAAGGCAAGACAUGAGAGGUUUGUGGCUGCACUAGACGUAGACAAGGAAGCUCUAGCGCUAGAGAAAAUAAGAGCUGAUGCUGAUCUCAAGAGAGCUGACGCAGAACAGAAGAGAGCUGAAGCGGAGUUGCUGAAACAAGAGAAAGAUAUUAUGUUGGCGAGCAACAAUGACCUAAACUCGGCGCAGCUUCAAUGGCUUCAGAUGAUGCAGAACGAGAUUUUUGCAAAGCGCCUUGGAAAUCAAGUGUAGUGGACGGCAAAUCAAGUUUAAUGUUCCUGUCAUUUUAGAUAAUGCAUUUUUAAAGUUUUUUAACGAACAAAGUUACUGUCAUUUUAGUUCUUUAUCAAAUCAACAUUUAUUUUACUUUAUUCGUCAAACAAUGUUACUUGCAUGGUACUGUAGUUGGAGCGCAUGAACAAAACAAGGUCUUUGGUUUCUGUGCUUUACUUUAUUCUAUCAAUCAUCUCUAAAUGUUCCUAGAACUUGUAUCUAUUUCGCUAGACUUUUUUUAUUCAGUCAGCCAGUGCAGGUCUAAAGGUUUUUUUAUUCUGUGCUCUGCUUCUAUCGAUCGACAGUAGGCUACAGUGCCAUGCAUGAUGACGUCGAUCAUGAAUAAAAAUGUAUAGAUAAUACAAAUGUGUUUAUUACAUAAAGUAUAUGAAAUAUGAUUUCAUAUAUUGUAGGAGUAUAAAUCUGGAUGAUUGUUCCACAGGUGUUCGAUAAGAUCUUCCUUCAAGUGCACAUGUGUGGACUUGUCUCUGAUCUGUCUAUGCGCUUCAAUGUAUUCUUCAAGUGUACGAUGGGGUUGACCACGAUCAGGCUCGACAUUGUCACCACUGUAAUCAAAACGCUCGUUUGGGUCGACCACAAAUCCUUCAUCUUCUACAAUCAUGUUGUGCAUGAUGAUAGAAUCCCUCAUGAUUAGUGCCAAAGUCUCACUGUCCCAAGGGCGUGCGGGUCCUCGAAUAAUGGCGAAUCUUGAUUGAAGAACCCCAAAAGCUCUCUCGACCAUCUUCCUCGCUGCUUCUUGCGCUUUGGCAAAAUAUUGCCUCUUGUUCCCCAUAGGUAGAGUGAUGGACUUGACUAAAGUAGCCCAUGAGGGGUAUAUACCAUCUGCAAGGUAAUAACCCAUUGUGUAGUCAUGGCCGUUAACGGAAAACUUGACUUCUGGAGCUUUACCUUUGGCCAAGUUAUCAAACAAGGGAGAUCUAUCAAGAACAUUGAUGUCAUUGUGAGACCCGGGCAUUCCAAAGAAGGCAUGCCAUAUCCAAAGGUCUUCAGAAGCAACAGCCUCUAAAAUGAUUGUGGGCUUGUCACAAUGCCCCUUGAACUGACCCUGUUUGUCAUAUGGACAGUUCUUCCACGUCCAAUGCAUACAAUCAAUAGACCCUAGCAUUCCUGGAAAUCCCUUUUUCUCACCCAUUGCAAGUAAGCGUGCUAUGUCCGCCUCAUUUGGAUACCUGAGGUAUUCAUCACCAAAAACUUCAAUAACUGCCCGAACAAACUUACGCAGGCUCUCAAGUGCAGUACUUUCGCCAAUGCGAACGUACUCAUCUGUCGCAUCAGCUGGAACCCCAUAGGUGAGCAUACGCAUUGCGGCAGUGACUUUUUGGAAGCAACUCAACCCAAGAACAUUGGCUGCAUUUCUUUUCUGAACAAAAUAAUCAUCAUGCUCUUCUACAGCAUUCAUUAUGCGUUUGAAAAGCUCCCUAGACAUCCUGUACCUGAAGAAGACAACUUAAGAUUAAUAACUAAAAUAAAUUUUUAGCAUGUGAAACAAAUUCAUGCAAAUUUAAGAUCAAUAACCUUCGACGGAACAUUUCAGAGGUGUAUGUUGGAUUGUCCGAUAAAUAAUCUUGGUACAUCCUGUUGUGGCCGCCCUCUCUAUCACGGUACAAAACUCUAUGACCUUUGACAGAUCCACCAUGUCUUCCUUUUUCAUUGGAGAAGCUUUGCACAAUUUGAGCAGUCGCUAAUAUUUGGGAUUCAUCGUCAUCGGAUGAUGACUCCUCCAAUACUCUUCGCGCACAGGAUCUUUUCCUAGGCAUGAGAUUCCUGAUCACGAGUACAGAGGAUGAAGAACAAAACCUAGAUUAUCUAAACCCUAGACUGCUGAUGGUCGAGAGGGGCAAGGAGAUGGAGUAUUGGCAGCGUACCUCACCUGCGAUGGAAGAUUACAAAGGGCAAGGACGAUCCUGUCGUAGGCCGCGACACGAUCACAGUCGCAUACGGGCACCUGCGAUGGUCGAUGGAGUCUUGGCGGCGUACGACUGCAGUAGCGGACGGAAACCACGAUCACGCGAUGAAGAUAAGGACACGUCGGUGGAGUACCGGUCAACAACCGGACCUGCUGGGCCCUCCUCUUUUUUUUGAUUUGGCAACUAAAAAUAGGGAAUUGUUGGAGAUGACCUCUUUUGAACUUGGUAAAUUAUUAUAGCAACUUGCUAAAAGACAACAUUUGGCAAUUCACAUAUUCAUAACUGUUGGAGAUGCUCUAAGGCCCUCAAAAAAGUGAAUUAGAAGAACUUCUUCUGGAAUAGAAAGCUUUGGGCCAGUGAGAGUAAGGUUAAUAAAGCGGUCCCAUGAUUUGCCAAGAGAUUCUUCUUCCAGUUGUCUAAAUAAAAUAAUCUCACGCCGAAGUUCCACCACUUUGGAGAUUGGAAAAUAUUUUAAAAGAAAACUAUUAUAUAACUCCUUCCAAUCUCCAUGAACACUCCCUACUUUGAGUUUGUACCAAUGUCUAGCUUUUCCUGUUAAAGAGAACGGAAAGAGCUUCCAUUUAAGGGUCUCAUCGGACAUGCCUUCUAUGCGAAGGAGGUCACAGACUCGAUAAAACUCUCUUAGGUGUGUAAGGGUUUUCUUCACCUUCUCCUGAGAAAGGUUGUUUUUGAACAAAUUCUAUGUAUUCCGGGUCUAUCUCAAAACUAGAUGCUAUGGUAGGCUUUGAAGAUUUUGGUGGUUCGAGAUGUGUGCCCGUAGGUCUAUGAAAUUUAUAGAUAGACAUGUUUGAAUUCAUGAUAGACUAGAGAUCAAGGAUUAGAUAAGAAGAAAGAAUAGCAGAGAUAAGGUAAAAGAUAAAAGGAAAAAUAUAUUUUAUUUUUUUAUAUUUUUUAUAUUAUUUUUUAGAAAAUGAUUAAGCUAGUUCGUAGUCAACUCAGCAACCGUUUCCCCGGCAACGGCGCCAAAAAUGCUUGUUGACACUUGCUAACACCACUUGAAUACUAGGUUGUCAUCCCCAGCAUGGCACUAGAGUGUACUUUAUACGCACACAGAUAAAUCCGCAAGCGCACGGAUACCGUUGUAGCUUUUACCCGGUUAAAGGUUUUAUCGUAUCCAUGGGGAAACGGGAGAACUGAUCUAUGCUCUAACUUAACCUAGAUAGAUAGGUAGGUGUAAAUAGGAAAGAUGGUAGAAUUGAAUAAGAACAAUAUUAAAGGUAUGAUUACAAUGGGUGAUAAUAUGGGAAUAGAGAGUAGAGCAAUCUAGUAUAUGGGCGAUGGUAGGAGAAUAGAGAGGAUAACUAUGGUUUCUCUACUUCAAAGGGGUAUGUCUAUGUCUGGGACGAACCACGUGACAAGAAUACACCACAAAUGAUGCUUAUCCAUAGGCCGAUAAACUCUACCAGUCCUGCUAACAGGAGGUGGACUAUAGGGGACCAACGUAACUGUCACCUACGCGGCCUACCACACGAUCCGGCUAGACAGGGGAUAUCCACAAGUAAUGUAGGCCUAAGCACCAUGCUUACACCUAUACUACAACCCUCACCUAUAGUGUCCUAUAGAUUAAAGUACUCAAAAGAGUUGUGAACCAGAACAUACAUGGAUAGUAAUUGCAUAAUGAAAUAGAAGUAGAUUACCAGAGUCAUCCCAUGAGCAAGCUUGAUUAGAGCUUGAUCAUCGCGAAGUACAACCGGAGAAGAACCGACAGGCCGGCCUCUCCUCCAAUCCUCCCUCGCUCUCCGUCUCACUACUAUCUAGAUCUACUCUAGUUUAGAGAAGAGAGGAGAGCUCUCAUCUCCAAACCCUAGCUUUUUCUCUGUCUAUGAAUAAUGAAUAGGGAUCAAGGGGUGCCUCCUCUAGGGGCCAGGGGCCUGCUUAUAUAGUCCCCUCAAGUGAAUCUGGGCCGUCGGAUCAAACCGACAUUGAUUGAACGGUUCUCCUUGAUCCUUUAGGUCGGUGGAGCAUAAUCCGCGAGACGGAGCGUGAUUGGUGGACUAAGUAGGGCGGGCGCCCUAAGGGGUAGGGCGACGCCCUGUCCCCGAGCCUGCUCGGCUUCCCAUUCGUUCCCGUGGCUUCUGGAGUCUUCUAGAUGAUAGAAAAUUGCACGACACGUUAAUAUCUCUAUGUAAACCCGACGUGUGGGCCUUUCCUCCAUAUUUCCUGAUAACCCCCUGCAGAAAUAGACAAACACCAAAACUCGUGGAAUUCUGUCUGAUAAAACCCUAAGUCUGGGUGUUGGUUGUAUUUGGAUCCUUUUCUUUAUUUAUUUGAUGAUUAUAUUUGGUACUUAAGGACCGUCAACAGUAUCUAAGUUAUAAUUUAGUGUUCAUCAAGAUUUAAGUUUGUUGGCUAAAAAUGUCUCAUUCUGAGAACUUGAAAUCUUGUGGGUUGCAAAUGCAUGAUCCUUUUCUAAAUUGUUGCGAGACAUGAUAUGGUAUAAAUAGAUUUUGCUAUGACUUUGUUCUAAGAGAAACUUGACAUCCGGAGUUUUCUUUUCAAAAAUUCAAAACAAAGAGUUCCUCAAAGAUUAUGAAAUACCUACCAAGGUCGUAUGACUUGCUUAGUAGUUUGUACACCUUUAGUCCUUUGCGGCUUGCGAUGCUUUGAGUUGAGUCAAAUCCCAGGUAUGCUAGAUUGAGAUUAUGGUCAUGCACCCAUGAUAUGAGAUUCACGCACCCACCAAAUAAAGCCGACUCUUACACUAAGAAGUUGCGCACAACAUGCACCCUUCCAUCCACCAAAAAUAUGCCAACUCUUACCCUGAGAGUUGCGCCUUAGCUUCCACCAAAUAAGUAUGCCAAACUCUCACCCUAAGGUUUGCGCAUCCCCAUAUACAAUUUUACUCCUUACAUCACCAUCAUGACAUCUCUCCAUUUUCCUCUUUGAGAUCCCUUUGAAACAUGUGGGCAUCAGUUAUCCAUGAAAAAAAAUAUGAAGGAAAAGCCAAAGGGCAUGGACGGGAAAAUCAAAAUCCCCGUCAGAAAAAAAAUAUAUAUGAUCCAUUUUUUAGGGCCCAUAUGUUUACAUUCUCUCAUUCUCUUCCUCAAAUAAAGAGAGUCAUGAUACAAGGAGUAACCAAAAAUAUUUAGAUAGGACUACCACCAAAAGUUCCACACACUUGCACAUCUCAAUCAAGGUGUAUGACUUGUACCUCCUCAUGGUCCGGGCUUUGACUUGGCAACACAAGCGUCGUAAGUACGCCCACCUUUAUACCUUCCCAAAGCUCCAUUCUCAGCCUUAGUGGUAGGUCUUAAAGGCAAACACAAAUGCCUUUGGUGAGGAUUUCAUACACAUUGAGCGAUCGAGAGAAUCAUUCGAGGAACAUAUUUAUUUUGUAAAAAAUUAUAAAACCUCUAGAUUGAUGGUCUAUCAAGGGAUGAAUGAAUGGUGAGUUUGUUACAACCAUUCUAUCUUGCAACCACCCAAGAACUUGGAAAAGCUAUAAGCCCCAUGAGAAGUCAAGGUAAAGAGUGGAUAGCAUGCCAACUUAUUUAAAUUGCGAAUGAAUGCUUUGUUAUAGGUAUGAUACUCUUGAAUUAUAUCGACAUAGUAGCAACUCCUGAUCAACAGCCAUACUUAAUUAUUUGCUCGAGACGAGCAAAGGUUAAGCUUGGGGGACUUGUUGGCAGUCAUUAUAGACCAAUUAUAAACUACCAACUUGAUCCAAAAGGAGAAGAAACAAUCAUAUUAUAUACACACAUGCAUUUUAUUACUAACAAGUUCCACUUGUACCAUAGUGAUUAUAUUUUGCAAGAAUUAUAGUGCAACAAGUGAAAAUGUGCCAUACCACGAAGAAAGCGCAAAGUACCAAAAGGCGUAUUCAGAAAUGCGCAAACCAAGAAAAUAGAGAAAGGCCCAAACAACGCAGAACUGGGCCUGAUCGUAAUCACGGGAGAGAUCCAGGCCGAGAGCCAAACCAACCAUGUGAAGGCGGUGGCCAGGGGGACCCACCCAGGGUGCGGCCGCACCCCUGGAGGCGGCAAACCGAGCCCAUCUUUCUCAGGCGGUUGCAUGCUGCCAUGCAUAGGACGGUUUCACCUACUACCAAAUUUAGAUGCGACGAACCGUCCUAGUUCUACUAGAGAAAGAGAGGCACUCCCCCCCUUUUCAACACACACAUCAUUUGGAGUCAAUUUACCUCACACCUCUCACUUGUAUCUUUAGUCUAGAUUAGUAGUAGAGCAAGGCAAGAGCUAGUAAGGAGAGCUUGUCUCCUUGGAAGAAAGGAUCUUCUUGGUAUGAAUAAUAUUCAAUCUUCUUCCAUGAGCAAGUUCUAUUCAUCUUUAUAUAAUUAUGCAUAUGAACUAGAGUACGGUUGUGUUCUUAUCAUGUUCAUAGUAUAUGAACUAGUUCUUAGUUCUUGUGCUAUGUUCUUGAUAUGUUCAUCAUUGUUCUUCAUUGUUCAUCAGAUUAAUAUGAUUAGGAUUAGAAUUAGGAAUUGGAUGAUGGUUCACUGUGCUGUGAUGGUUGCUCUUAGCCUAGCCUGUCAUUUCGAAGGGGUGGGGCCCGCGGGGGUUAGGAGUUGUUUCCAAUUACAUGAACAUGGUGUUCAGGUAUGCGGGAAUCAGUGGAUGUGCGGGUAUCUUUCGGGUAGAGGGGUAGGUGGCAGGGUAGUGACAGCUCUGUCAUCAUUUGCAUUCCCCCACGAUCAGGUAUUUCGAUAGGAGUUCUGUAAAGUCUCUAUCGGCUGGGUAUCCAGCUGCGGGGAUCUCCCCUCAUCUUAGGCUUAGUUCUAACUCUAUUUAUUGCUAAUUAGAUGAUCCACUAACAGUUCUAUGCAUAGUUAUAUGUGACCCAUGCCUGCUCAAGUAGAUUUAUUUCUUUAUUCUUUAUUUAUUAUUUCUCUUCUAUUUUAUCCUUGAGGUUGAUCCAAUGUGUGUCCACUAUCUUGAAUAUCAUGUUUAUUCCUCUUUACUCAAUGUCUACCAAGCAUUCAAUAAGUAAUCAUGUUUACACCAUGUUUGAUCCCUUUGCCUUCCUACGGGAAUUAUAAAUUCGACACCCUUGAAUACUCAUGGGUUGAAAUGCUACAAUGAUAGUUCUGUCCGCUUGCAGUUAUAUUACUUCUUCAUUCAUGAACUAUCGAUUGGCAUACCUAAGUACCGUUACUUAAGAUUGUAAUCCUUGCGCACUUUCAAGCGUAGUGCCACAGCUUUGCAUAUCGCAAGUAAGGAUAGUUAGGAUGACCAAUCCGACAUUCCUAAUUAUUGUUACCAGAAUGCAGUGCUAAGGCCGGCGCCCUCUAGUUGCCUUGGGUUAUCUCUCUGAUGUAGCGAUAGUUACGGUAUGCCACACCCGACAUUUCUGGUGCCAUUGCUAAGGAUGGAUCUAUGGUCUAUUUUUAGUAGUGACGCUAAGAAAUGCCAACAGUCAUCAUGUAUGCUCAUAUCGUACAAAUACUUUUAUAUGUGAAUUGAUUGAUCACCACUAUCCCGUCUCAAAUGGACUUUUUAGUGAAUGAAUCUUAGCCUUUUUAAUGAGUCAUCAUAUCAUGCUCGUAUCGUACAAAUACUUUUAUAGGUGAAUUGAUUGAUCACCAUUAUCCCCAUUACAACGGCUACUAUAUCUCAGGCCGCCUAUAAAUAUGCAGUGGUGAAUAUUUUGCUACCCACUUCAAACAAGUAUUUGGUUUUGUUGGAGUAGAAAUGUCUGUCGGGUCGUCUAGAGUAACGGGAUCAGGGGGUGGGAAAGAAAAAGGGGGGAUGAGGGAAACUCCAGUUAUGUGGGAGGGUUCUCGUGGUCCCGAGAUCGUUGAGGAAGCACUUUAUGAGAGGUUCCCAAUUGAGAGCAAAAGUGAAUUCACCAAAGAAGCACCACUGAGAGGAUAUAAUGACCGCAAAGAAGAGUGGCCAAAAUGCAUGCACGGUGAGGACUGCUUAGUGCAAAUGUACACUGGGGAAUAGAUGGAGGUCGUUGUUUCUUCAAAUGCCCAUGAGCAUGGGUAAAUGAAAUUAAUAUUUUUUGCUUUAUAAUGUUACCCUUUUGGACUAGAACUUAUACAACAUACUUAUUGUAGGCUUCCUAGUCUGAAAACUAUGGGUUUGAUCUAUUCAUCGCAUGCGGAGUACAUCUACUACCUGCAGGACCGUAUCUUUGAUUUAGAAAGGAAAGUUAGCAGUAGUUACAAGGAUGAAGAAGAGGAUGACAACAACAAUGGUGCCGAUUUAUAGGAUGCACUUUGCAAUGAUCCAUAUUGCACCUACCCUAAUCACAAGAAGGGUCCUCCUCCACCACCGCCACCCCACCACCAACAAUGGGAGGAUACUGUGGAGAAGGUGCGACAUAGUAUGCUAUGUGGCCACACUACUAGGUCAAAUCAAACUCAUUCACAGGCCACUUCUGUAUGUUUGUUGUUUGGUUAAACUACCUAAGGCAUGAUUGGGUUAGUCAAAAGAGCUAUGUACCCUUGUUUGGUACAUGUUCUCACAUGCCAUUUCAUGUGCUUGUUGUUGGCUUCAAUUACCUAAGGCAUGUUAGGUUUAGUCCAAGACCUCUGUACCCUUGUUUGGUACAUGUUUUGACAUGCCAUUUCAUAUGUUUUGUGCUAUGUGUAAUGUAGUCUGUUAGUUCGUAACAUUUCAUUUGCAUUACUUCAUUGCCUCUGCAAUAUUCGACUAAAUAUAAUGACAACUAAUAAUGAAACCAUACACACAAUGUGACAGGUCCAAUAACAUUUAAAAUACAUGACAACAAACUAAAUAACCCAUUCUUAAAGUGCAUUACAUGAUAACUGUAACACCCAAAAAUUUACAAAUUUUGAAAUAGGUGGAAAUGAUUUAAUUCUGUAUUUUUGUGUUCAUGGAAUAUAGAGAAAUAAUAUUUUUCAUCGAAUUAAAAUUUAUUAUAGGAUUUAGCAACUUGUUUGUGCAUUCAUUUUUGGGACAUUUGUUUUAUUGUUUGGUGUGGAUUUAACUAAAGAUCAAAACAUUUCGAACAGAUUUAAAAAGGAUUUUGAAAUGAGUUUGAAAUGGAUUUUAUAUAAAUGAAAACAAAACAAAAGAAAAAAAAGAGAAAAAAGGGAAACAUCUCCCUCCAUUUGUUUUUGGCUCGAGAGGCCCAACCAAAUUCCCUCGUCCCUCCUCUUCCCGUGCCCCCGCGCUCGGCCCAGUUUCCCGGCGGCCCAACUCCUCCCCAGCAGCGCGCUGACCUCCCCUCUCCCUUGACCUGCUGACAACCGGACCCCGCUCUCUCUCUCACUGACGAAUAGGUCCCACGCGAUAGCGUCCCUUUCCCCCUUUCCUUCUUCUCCCUCGCGUAGCCAAGCCGGAGACGAACUCCAUGGCAACCGAAUCCCAGUUUUCACGGCCAAUGUAGGAAAUUUCCAAUCCAAGCCUUUAUAAAGCCUUGUGCUUCAUCUGUGCUCUCCUGUUUGCAUCAUCAUGCGGCUGCGUUGCCCUAAUCAUCCUCCCAUCGCCUCUUGAAUCUCGCCGAAAAGCUUGCAGAGCCGCCGCAGUGGAGCCCCCAAUUCACUGCCGUGUCGGCAAAUUGAAGUAGGGUACGAGCUCUACAACGCUUCUACGAGGUCACCGAGCCCUCUCCUCCUUUAUCUUGUGCUCUCGUUUGCCCGCUGACCCUCGCUGAUCUUUACAGGACGCAAAGCUACGUCGCGACGUGUUGCGGCCCUCUUCCGAGCUCCUUCCCGACCCCAAAAAGCACUUGAGUGAGUUCGUGAAGCCCCCCUCUUUCUCCCGGUGAUUUUAUCUCGUUUUUAGAUGGCCGAAAUGGCUUAAACAUUGAAGCUCCGGAGAGCUCUGAACCCCCGGCCAUGGCGCGCCGCCGCGGGAGGCCCUGCUCCGGCCGGUGGUCUUCCCAGAUCUAAUCUGAGCCAUCCGAUCGAGAUCAUGUGGCCUAGAAUAGAAGUUACCCCCUUCAGGGUAACAUUUUCUAAAGAGACCUCGAGCUUCUGUUAAACAGUACCUGCAGUCCUUAGGCGUAAUUCAGAAAUACGUUUCCACCAUUUGAAAACGUAAAGUAUACCAGGUUAAUUCAAAAUACGCUUUCUAGUAUUUACAAGUUUGCCACUAAAACAGUUUUAGCCAUAAAAUCUUUGUUUUAAAUCCGUUUCGACCCAUUCAAAUUGCGUUGGAUUCGUAUUAGUGAGCUCUACAUGUUAGAAACACUGUUUUCUCAGUUUGAAACUUUUUAAUUUCAUGACUCUAUUUAAUUAAUUACUUUUCUAUAUAAAAUCUUAGAAAAUUCAUAUCUUCUACGUUUUAACUCCGAUUUUCGUGAUCUUUACGUCUAUGAAAUCGUAGCGAUGCGUAGAAUCAUUUUAUAAACUUCUAAUAUUGUUUUUAUAUGAUUGGAGUACUGUUCUAAUUGUAGCUUUGUUUGCUUAGUGUAUGUUUGUUGCCGUAUGUUUGUGAUCGAUGAUCGGAAUUAGUCGAUGAGCAAUUCGUGGUGAUUAAGAGUGCUUCAGUGAUCAAGAUCAGAGCCUUGGCAACUAGUAAGACCAGCAGGAUCAACAAGAGCAUUUGGAUCAAGGCAAGUAUAGCAUUUGGAUUUUAUUUCUGUGACCAUGAUCGUGUGACUAGAUUAAUCUUAAGUAAUAAACGAUAAAAAUGACUUUUUAGCAACUUGAUGAUUUAUCUGUACGUGAUCACCCGGGACAACAGUGCAACCAUGAGGGCUAUAAUGGCUCUGGCUUUAGUUAAGUAUGAGUAUGAGUAACUUUUCUAGCUCGUUAGCGGUUACCCGAUGUGGCGCAAUUAGGGAAUAGCAGACCGUGGAUUCCUGCGGGUGAAUCACACGGACUGACUAAUGAAACCAAGCGGCCCUAACUUGUUAGACGAACCUUUGAAAGACUUCAUAGUGAUCCCUGCUGACCUCCCUAGGAAGGGGGUUAAGAGAUUAGCUACCUCGGGCGAAAGGGUAAAUCAUGACUCAUGAGUAAAGAUGUGCAACCUCUGCAGAGGGUUAAAAACUAGUAUACUAGCCGAGCUCACGGUCAGGAGCGGCCUUGGAGACAUCUACACUAAGGGUGAUGAAUCUUGUGUGUUAAAUAUGCUCAUUGUUUAUUAUUUAAUGUUUUACAUAAUUUAUGUCACAUUGAUUAUGAGAUUGUGGGAGCUAUACAAUCUAGUUGCUAUACUUGUGGAGUUCGACAUGGACUCACUCUUGCUAUUUCUCCCACCCUUCAGGAGAAGUUUAGGCUUGUGAUCAACCAGUUAGUUGGAUCCUGUAGAGUGAAGUUAAUACUCGAAGUUGGAGUUGUCUAUCCGCUGUUUGAUACUAAAGGUUAUCUCUUUUAUACUAAGUACAUUAUAUGUUUACACAUUGUCUUUUGAUAUUACCCCUUAUUUGUAGCUAUAUGUGAGAUUUGGCUUUUAAAACUCGCAUAUGGUGCAUAUCUGGUUUUGUCCUUAAAAUCGGGUAUUACAAUAACACAUUGCAAAGUCUAACACUAAACAACAUUGUUCAUAAAACAAACAUAGAACUAGCAGGUCAUGUAAACUACUGAGUCUAACAAGGCCACUUUCCCUUCCUCUGCACAUCAGGAUUCUCCUCCAUUGCUGCCUUCGCUCAGCGCACACGCUCAAGCUUCUUUUCCCUCUCCUCCCUGUAUACAGCAACAUGUCUCCUUUUCUCCUCUUCCUUGUGCUCCUUCUGUAGAGCCUCCUCUCUGCGUCUCUUCUCUAAUAUCUCUGCACGCUCCGCGUCCCACUCUUUGUCACACCCGGUUUUAAAGAACAAAACCAGGCUAGCCAUAUGUGUGCCUAGGAAGUCCACACAUACAACAACAGAAGCAAUAGUAUCAAAAACAAUGUUAUAUAGCGGAAGCAUACUUAUAAUUAUCAUUUACAUCAGAGUAUCGUGGAAGGGUAACUAAUCUUCAGGCUCAAUCUUCACUGGGACGGUUGACUGGGGUAACAUAUGCCUGACACUUAUUGUAUCCUGAGAACGUCCUUCGUAACUCCUUCGCUCCUCUCAUAACUCUUACUAGUAAACUGGAGUGGUGGGAAAUAGUAAGAGUGAGCACAUGUCGUACUCAACAAGUAUAACCAGGGGUUCAUGAGGCUCAAAUAGCUGACACUGGUUUGACUGCAUUUAGCUUUUAUAUGUAGAUAUCAUGUUUAUAUUUAGAUAGCCAAUAUCAAGGUAGCAUAGUAAAUCCCAUAACCACAUAAUCAAUGUAUACAAGAAUUAAGAAUAACACAUAUAAACAAUAUAAUAAACCAUCAUCUAUCAUCAUUAAUCAUGUUCAUCAGUGUCCAUCUAUUCCGUCAGUUUUCCGGGCCGCCUGUAUCCGUGGGCACGACUAGUAUACCAGAUUUAACACUCUGUAGAGGUUAUACAUCUUUACCCAUGAGUCAUGAUUUACCCUUUCGUCCGAGGUGAUCAGCCUCUUAACCCACUUCCAAGGAAGGUCGGCAGGGAUCACGAUGAAGCCUUUCAAAAGUUCGUCUAACAUGUUAGGGCCGCAAGGUUUCCUUGGCGAGCAGAUAUAGAUACCCCCUUCCGAAUGGCACAAUGACGCGCAUCCUAUACACAUAGGGACAGGGGCUCGCACUAUACCCAUGUCGGUUCAGCCCCUCUAGCGCCCUUUCGGGGAACCUCUAACAAGCUAUUAAAGGUCUUCAUACUGAGCUAAAGCCAGAGCUAUAUGGCCCUCAUGGUUGUACGAGUUGUCCCAACUUUUGCCAAGGGAUAAGUCCUUAUGGAGGGUCAAGAUCAAUCUAGCAAAAGCUAGAGUUCUUUCCACCCUUUAUGUUCAAGUUGCUAGAAAUCUUAUUUUAUUGUUUAUUGCAUAUUCAAAUAUUCAAGUUAUAGGAUCAUGGAUUAAUAAUCAAGCACUAGCAAGAACUACCUAAAUGCAUAUCCAAUUAGGUAACAAGGAAUUCAGAUAACAAGCAUCUAUGAUUUUGCUAAGGUCGACAAGGUGGACACAUGCAUAUGAUAUAUGUAUAAUUAUAAGUGUAUAGGUAACAAGGAUAGUCCCAAGUUAUACUUGCCUUGAUCAAAGCUCAGUUCUCACACCUUCGGCUUUCAGUCAUCACCUUCUGAUCUUCAGCGCCCACAAGCGGUUCUCGUCUAUUCGUAUCAAGCACCACACAUACAAACAUACAAGCAACAAAUAAAAGCAACGAAGAACAAUACACCACACGAGAGAAAAGAGCGUACUAAAAGAGAAUCAGCGCUAGAAAAUCGCAAAAACCACCAAAACUGAACCUAUCAUUAAAAGAAAUGACUAACGAUAGUAUUAUAUUAUAAAAGAGAAGCUUACAUAUUUAAUUUAUUUAACUAUUUAAGUAAACAAAAUAAUAUAAAAGUUAUUAAUUCAGAUUAAUGUUAACAUAAAUUAUUUUUAAAAGUCAAGUUAAAACUAAUCAUGUUUUAUUUAUAAAUAUUUAGAUAUCAUUUAUGCCAAAUCCACACUAACAUGUAAAUACAAACUGUCAUAUGAGAGCAUCUAAAAUCUAAUCAAUUUUAACAUACAUGUUUGGACUAAAUAAAUUAUAAUUUAGAAACAUGAUUAUGUAUAGCAUUUAAUCAGGUUAACAUUUAUAUAUGAAAUACAUAAAUAUAAAACCUAUUAUGCUUUUAAUUAGAAAUACAAUUGCGUAAGCAUAAAUACUUAUGAAACUGAAUGAUGUGAGACAUGUUAAACAUCACCGCUAACACGUAGUUUCAGUCGACACAAUUGCAUGCAACGAGAGCCGGUUUAUAACCCUAGAUUAAUUUUUAAUUAGAAAGCUAUUUAAUAAAUAUUAAUCUAAUUAGUAUUUUGAUUAAUAACCUAUAAUCAAAUGUAAUGAUAAAUUUUAACACUACCGUGUAGAGCGCAUCGAUAUAAAUUCAAUAUAAUUUGAAUGGACCAAAUCGGAAUUAAAACGUUAACGCGACAGAAUUUACAAACCAGUGGUAAAGCAGUAAAUAUCUCGUCGUCUUCCUUUGAACAGAACGUGCAGAACACGAACACCCGUGGCCUCCAUGACCAUCGUCCAUUGAAGCUCAGCGGAGACCCUUGGCCAGGGGAGAAGAACGACUAGCUGGGGUGCCACGGCCGCUGAUCCUUGGUCAGUUGGCCUGCCGAUAGCUUGGUCCGCACCGGCCGGGGCUAGGCCCACGCAUGGAAGUUCGGCGCCGGUCUGCGGCAAGGCUAUCGCACAGGGCAGCGAUGGCUUCCUCCCCCUGUGCACGAAUGGAGGGACCGAAGACGGAACUAGCAGGCUCAAGGAUGUGGCCGCCUGGCCGGCAGAUGCCAGACAGCAAUACAAUUCGGAGAACAAUUAACUUCACGAUCGUUAAUGGUGGUUCGCCGGAAAAGAGAAAGAUGGGUUAGGAACAAUCAAACGGGAAUGAAUUUGCAAAAUAAAUAGCGUGCCUGUGUAGAGAACGUCGAGACGAACCUUGGGGUAGAAGCAGAAUUCGCCGAAGAUGAAAAACAUGGCCGAAAAAGCACGCCGAAGGUUCGCCGGAAGUUCUAGGUUUCGAAACUUCGGCUUUAGAUCUAGGAUGAUAGGAGCGACAACUCGGAAAAGCGGCCGUACUUUCAGAAUCAGCGCGUCGAGAGCUACGCCGGCAUAUAUAUAGUGUUAGGGUUCAAGGUUGGUAUAAAAAUGAGAUAUUUUAUUAUUUUCGGAUUUAAUUAAUUUCGUGAAAAAAAAUAAUUCUACAAAAUCUAGAAUUGAUAUUUAACCUACGAAAAAUACUCUUAAUGCUCCAAAAAUUUAGGGAAAAUUCUUAGAGACACUUUAGAAUAUGAGGAAUCUAAAUAAAGUAUUUGGAGCUCAUGAUAAGAUAAUUGGAGAAUUGGAGCUCAUGAUAAGAUAAUUGGAGAAUCUAAAAAUUAGAUUAUGCUCAUAGAAAAGUGGAAAAGAAUUUAAGAAAAAGCUGGAAAACUCUAAAGAAAUUUUAAUAGAUUGAUUGAUGAAAGAUAUACCCAAAAGAUUGAUUUAGAGAAGAAUAAAGGGAUAUGAAAAACUCUAAAUAAAAAGGUUAAGAUCAAGAAAGAGGAAACUUGAUUAUAGAAAAGGACAAAGUCAUGUCGGAUAAAAAAACAACGACUUACUAACGCAGUCUAAAUUUUAGCCAAACACAAAGCCAAGCAGCAAACAAGCAUCACACCACAUCAACAAAAGCCCAUCAAAUUAAUUUAGAAAAUUUUAAAGAAUGAUAUAUUUCCUAUAACUAAUUGAUGCUAUUUUAAACUCACAUUAGAAGUUUUAUCCAAAUAUCAAAAAUAUUUAUUUUAAUUAGUAUUUUCUAUGCACAACCCAAAAUCAAAAAAAAUUGGGGUGUGACACUCUUUCAGGCCUUGUAGAAGCCGCUUGUCCGACUCCUGAAUCUCUGUCUCGAUCCAUGGCUCAAAAUCGCACAAGGGGUCUACAACAAAGAUAUUUGUUAUAAAACAAAUAAAUCAUGCUUCAUAUGACAAAAUACUCAAUGCACAAUAAAAAUUUUUCUCACAAUAAAGUUACUACGGUGCUAUUGCGGUGUUGGCUUCCAUGCAAAAUUGGAACACAUCCAAUACCUCUGCUUAUAAGUUUCCUCAUCUUCAGAAAUUUCUACCUUACAAGGAUCACCACAAAAGCACAUGGGUCUUGGAACACCACUAGAGAGAGGCUUUAGCUCGUAAGGACUUCCGAUGGUCUGACCAUAGCUACAAUUGAAAUAAUUUACUUCUAUUAUCUGAACACGAAACAUUAAAGCAUAAACCUAGGGUUUACAACAUAAUGCACAACAAUGAACGCAUACCUUGGUUUCCUAGUCUUUCCAUGCCUAGGCAUCCUACGGGUGCGCAUUACAUAUUAAAUUAACAUUAAAACCAUAGUGACAAUUCAAAUGUUCUAAAAUACAACUAAUACAUACCAAAAUUAUGUGUUUCGCAUUAUUUCGGUACGUGUUAGUUGUAUUUUAGAACAUUUGAAUUGUCACUAUGGUUGGGAGAGAGGGUACGUUGCUCUCGAAGAUCUAUGGAUCAAAUCCAAGUUUACGGGUGAAAAUAUGGAUUCAUGAGGUAGGGUGUAGUGGUGAGAGUGAAAACACAAGAUAAAGGAGGAAGAAAAGAAAGAAACCUUAGGGAGAAAGAGGGGCUACCAAUUCAUUUAAACAGGGGUUUAGAGCCACGAUGCAUGGCGCCAACCUUGACACCACCCAUCAUGGCGCCAAGGGGCCCCUCCAUGUUAGCCACAACUUCCACAUAGACGGGGGCUUGGCGCCAUUGCCAUUGGCGCCAAGCUGUGUUGGCUUGGCAUCAUUGUCCAUGGCGCCAAGCCCUGAGUCCAUAUUUCGAAAUAAAACUACCAGGAACAUAUUUAUGAGAUUUUUUUUGAAAAAAGGCUAAAAACAAAAAAGAUGGUAUUAUACGGUUAAAUGACUUAAAGAGAGCAACGAAAACCAAUUGACGACCUCAUAUUAUGGUAUAUAUAAACCACCAGAAUUUUUAUAAUAAGCUUGUAUACGCAUAAACGGUCAAAGAACAUGUUUGAUGGGUAGUAAGGCUCUUUUAUGAUGGCUGAUGGGUCACACGGAAUUAUCUAUUAGGCCAAUCUUAAUAAGGAUAUCAUGGAGAUUUCAUGCAUAUUAAAUGGAGUGACAUGUCAGAAAAAAAAUAUUUUGAAUGUAUCAAGGAAGAGAGUGAGGAUUGGAGUUUUAUGGUCAUAAGGUCAGUCUCAAUGCAUGUUUCAUGAGAGUGUUAUGCACAUUAAAUAGGGUGUCAUACAAGCAAAAUUGCUGAUUUGACAGGGUCAUUAAAUGAAGGAGUUUCAUCCCCAUGAAACUCCACAGGCUCCGUUACCUAGUUUAUAGUUUUAGUAACUGUACCAUGAAACUAUGUAUUGAGAUUGGCCUAAGAUGAGCCAGCGUUGUUUCCCAUGUUUUGGAAAACACACGAAUUGCACUAAGCCGUUUCAUGCGGUCUAGUGUGGUCUGUGUCCAGCUGCGGGAUCGUGCAUUCACCCUCUCAUUAAAAAGCCACUGCAUCAGGCGUGAGCUCUCUUUCCUCUUUCUGUCUUGCGUCUGCUCCCUUUUCUCUAUUCCAUCAAAUCUUUGUGCCCCACAUGCUCUGAAGGAUCAUAAGGAUGCUACGCUAGCUAGAAAAUAAAAAUUUCGACCUCAUAAAAUAGGAUCAACUGCCAGUUAUAGAUCACGAGAUUACCACUAGACGCGCAGGUGCAACGGAAGCGACUCGGUGUAGUCGUGCGCAUAGUAGCAGUGCCGUGCAGUUGCAUGGUCGUCCACCACAUCAAUCCCUCUCAUGUGGUUCGUCCUUGUGCUCUAGAUGCAGCACCUCCGAGGUAUCCCACACAUGCGGGGAAGAAGUAUCACGCCUCCGGAUUGCUAGGUCCGUGAAGAGCAAUUGGCACGAGCGUGGGUGAGCGGCGGCGGCUGCCUAAUGGCAUGAGUUAACCCUGGCUGUGCCCCCUCCCUCUCUUAUAUAGGCAUCCCCUAAUCAGCCCCGAGCUGGAGGCCUAAUUAGAAAACCUUAAGCCUUGUCUAAUUUGGGUCCAACCCGAAUUAGGCUUCUAGCGCCUUAAGCGUGCGACCCUAUGGUUCACGUACAUAUGGACUUGGGCCGAGUACUCCUUACUCGCCCAAUAGUUGACAGUGGCCUCUAGCAAGGCGUGACAACUCCUAUACGCAUGCAAAGAUCAUAUCAGACGAACCACUGCAAACACAUACAUAUUAUUCCCUUGCCUCACGAUAUUUGGUCCAAUUCAUGGGGUUAACACUUAACCGAAUAAGCAAGGCCAUGCAUUAUUUGUUGAUCCAAUUACUUGAGAGAUCCAGUUAUAUCUCUCUUACAUAGAGAGGGGCAAGUUCCAUCUUCAUUAUCUAUGUCUCACAACAUGUUUCCCGACAAACCCAAAGACCACCUUUAUAACCACCCUGUUAUGGAGUAGCAUUUAGUAGUCUCUAAGUAGGUCGUUUCACAUCUCGAGAACAUACGACAAUCUCAGGUCUAAGGACAUAACGUACAUGAUGCAUAAAGAGAUAAUAAGAACAUCUCACAUUAGGUCAGUCCAGCCACAUGUCAUACAUGUGUCAAUAUUAUUAGUUUGACAUCUCUAUGUCUAUGACUUGUGAAAUAUAGUCAUCAACUAAUACAUGUGCUAAUCUAAUAUUCAUGUGUGUCCUCACACGAACUCUGAUCAAGGACAACUUUAGAAUAACCUGUUGACACCGUUUUUUGACACAUAUCUAGAAAGCUGAUAGAACUUGGAUCGGCAGGCGAAAAAGUGAUGACCGGUUGACAGAGGAGUUGUCGAUGGGUUAUGAUUAUUUAUGUGUGUCCUCACACGAAAUUAUUGAUUAUUUAAAGGAUCCAUCCAUGAAAGUUGAAAGGCGUGUUAGGUUUCAAGCUGCAAAAUAUGUACUCCUUGAAGAAGAGUUAUACUACCGAACGAUAGAUAGAGUCUUGCUUAAGUGCUUAAGUGUGUAGGGCACAUUAAUCGGCUUUCAAGAUGAAAUGGAUGAUUAGGAGAAACGAGUAUUAUUGGCCGACUAUACUUGAAGAUUGCUUUAAAUAUUUCAAGGGAUGUCAAGGAUGUCAGAAGUUUGGCAAUAUUCAAAGAGUGCCCACAUCGGCCAUGAAUCCUAUUAUUAAACCUUGGCCGUUCCGGGGAUGGGCUAUUGAUCUCCUCGGUUAAAUUUAUCCACCAUCAAGCAAAGGGCAUAAGUUUAUCUUAGUCGCCACUGAUUAUUUCACUAAAUGGGUUGAGGCUAAUCCCUUGAAGAAAGUGACAUCAGCCAAUAUGAUCGAUUUUGUAAAGGAGCAUAUUGUUUACCGAUUUGGUAUUCCCCAGACGAUUACUACCGAUCAGGGUACUAUGUUUACAUCGUGAGAGUUUGAUGAAUUUGCAAUCGGUAUGGGGAUUAAGGUGUUGAAUUCUUCUCCUUACUAUGCUCAAGCUAAUGGGCAGGCCGAAGCUUCUAAUAAGGGGAUUAUUAAGCUCAUCAAACGGAAAGUUGAAGAAAAUCCUAGGAGAUGGCACACAUUGUUAAUUGAAGCUUUGUGGUCAUAUCGGAUGACGUGUCAUGGCUCAACCAAAGUUUCACCCUAUCAAUUGGUGUAUGGGCAUGAUGCGUAUUACCAUGGGAGAUAAAGAUUGGUUCUAGGCGGAUCUUUUCUCAGGAUCAACUAAAUACCGAUGACUAUGCCACCUUGAUGAAAGACGAGUUGGAUGAUUUAGCAGGGCAUCGGUUGAGAGCUUUAAUUAGCAUAGAAGAAAAUAAAAAGAUAGUUGCUAAAUGGUAUGAUAAGAAAGUAAAGGCCAAGGGGUUUGCUGAUGGAGAUUUACUGUGGAAGCUGAUUCUACCGAUUGACACUAAAAGUUCAAAAUUUAGAAAAUGGUCUCCUAAUUGGGAGGGUCCUUAUCGAAUAAGUCGAUCUGCUCCUGGUAAUGCUUAUAUUUUAGAAACUCUCAAAGGAGUUGAAUUUCCCAGAGCAUUAAAUGGAAAAUAUUUAAAAAGAUACUAUCCUAGUAUCUGGAUUAAUGCAUAGAAGUUCAAAUGCCGAUAACAAACCUAUCGGCUGGAUAAAAUGUAUCUGGAAUCAUGCAUAGUGUUUAAGUGCCGAUAACAGUCCUAUUGGCUAGACCAAAAUAAUUAGAAGUUUUGAUGGCAGAAUUGAACAAGUUGUCGAUGAAGAGCUCAUAGGUUCAGCAGAGCUUGGAUAGCUGAUAUGGCACACAGACGGAUCUGGUUGGCCUCUUCUGUUUCUCGAGUAUCUUCAUCAGCAGAACCCUCCACCGGCUUCAGCUUCUUCUUCAUAUGCAGUGCUUUGCGGGCCUAGGCAUCUCUUUCUUGCUGAAGAGUUUUGAGCACCGCGGGCAGCUGACUUUCUUCUUGUUGAGCUUGAGUCAAGGCUUCUUCCACUUGCUUGAGUUCAGCCAGCAGAGCUUCUCUUCUUGCCGAUAGGUCGGAGAUCUUUUGUUUUAGCUCAUCCCCUGAGGACUGUAGAACACCGAUACUCUUGUGUUUCUCAUCGGCAGCAUGCUUUACUUGCAUCAUUUCCUCUGCGAGUCGGGCGUGAGCAGCUCUAUCGGCAAGACGCUGAGUGGCCUUCUGAUACUGGAGCUAGCGGCUUUCCAAGUGAGCAGCUUGAAAAAGGAUCUCUUCAGCAUCGGUUGGAAUCUGACCACAAAGAGUCUUGAAUAAAGCCUUGGCCGAAGCAGAAUCAUCUACUAGCUGAGCCGUGUCUUGGUGCAGCAGAGCUAAUAGAUCUUCCAACUUGGCUUUGAUUUCUGCCGAUGAGAUUCCAACUGCCUAAGAAGAGCUAGCUUCUUCGCCUUCAUCAUCAGAAAUGUCAAUGGCAAAGGAAAAUAGGUUGUCUGGGGAAUCUUGUUCCUAGAAAAGGAAGAAUAUGAGUUAUUCAAGACUAAAUGUUGAUAAUGUAAAGUCUAAAAAUUGGAUAACUUACUUGCUUUAGGGAGAUUUCUUGCCUCUGACGAGGAGAUGCAGCUGGUGCUAUGGUUUGAUCGGCUGGGGUUGUCGAUGGAAUGACUUCAACUAAAAAGUUACAAGGAUGAUUAUGAAUUAUAAGAUAAAUUCAUCGGUAAUAAUUCUGUGAUCAGUGCUUUACCUUGAGGAGGUAUAAUGAUCGUCUGUUCUGGAGGGAUGGCCGAUGAUGUGCCCAGAUCAACCGGAUCGGCUAUCUGUUCCGAAACAUCGGCUGGUGCUUCUUGCAGUUGAGGUACUGAUCGGGGAGGAGGAGAUGUUUCUUAUGUCUGGGUUUCCGGUGGAGAAGGAGAUGAUGCUACCUGGAUCGAUGAUACUAGACGAGGUGGAAAAGAUGGUGUUGUAUUCUGACGUUUCGGCUGGGUCUUGGUGCUUUUGGGACCCUUUCUCUUGGUUGGAGCUUGAUGGGGCUGGGGGGCAUCGGCACUUGACGUUUGAGCGCUUCUGGUCUUAGCCGAUUUGCCAGUUUGCUGCUACAACAACCAAAAUUUCAUGAGUAAAAAUAUGAAAGAGUACUGAUGGAAUUCUGCUGAAGGAUAAAAAAUUACCGAUGAAGUUCCUGUUGUAGCCGAUGUACCCUGAAUAAACUGAAGUGAGUAUGGGAUGAAUUCAGUAAUAAAAAUUAUUAUUAAGAGUUUUACCUUGAAAGCCUGUGCCAAGGUAGCAGCAGCAACCGAUGGAGAUACUUUUGACCGUUUGGUGGUCGUCUUCUUGAAGCGUAUGUUCCGAUGCAUCAGGGCUGCUAGGCUUGGCGCAUUGUGGCCGAUCAGAGAAAUCGGACCUGAUGGGAGAAGUUCGAUCAGCCUUCCACUUCUGCUGAUUGCUGGUGCUAGGUUGUCGACCUGUUGAAAUAAAAAAACAAGUAAGUUGCCAAUAAGAUCAAAGGUAACAAAGGAACCAAAGUAUCGGUAAAAAGACUUACGAUGUUAUCGAGGACUUUAUAGUCAAAGUCGAUCCUACCGCGGUAUGUGUGAGCCGAUGCGCUGAACAGAUGCUCCUUCCAUUCCUCCCACCAAUGUUUAUACAGCUGAGUAAUAAAGAGAGCUGGAACCCAGGCCGAUAGAUCGAUGUCUGUUGUAUCGGCAUUUGGUUGGAGUUGAGCUAUCCUUAUCCACUCAAGUCCACUGGUUAUGGUCUCCCUUGGUUUCAGCACAUCGGCAUAACAGAGUCUGUUCGGCAGUUGGCCGAAAGCUAGUUGGCGAGCUAAUGCCGAUGGGUUGUAGAACUCAUAGGUGGGGUUGGUGUUCUUCCCGGUACCGAAGGUGUUCACUGAAAUUGCCCUCAGAGUGAUGAUUGCCAUCAUCAAGUCAUUAUCCUUGUUAAGAGUAUUGUCAAAAGGAUGGAAAGUGAGUGGGAAUCUGGUUUCUAAAUCUUCAUAAGGCAUCUAUGCUCAUUGAUAUUUGGAGAGGCCAUCAUACAAGGUCUGAAAGAAUCGGCCAAUCUGGUUUUCAUUGCAUCCGGUGCGAGGGAGAACUAUGGCAGCUUCACCAUAAUUGAGGGGUGAGCGAGUGGCCGAUUCAUCGUCGGCCAGUUCAUAAUCUUCGGCAAUGUCUUUGGGGAAUUGCUGUGCAAAGAAAUCAAACCGAACGCAUUUGUGCAUAUGAACAUUGAGCCACAUGUUGAUGAACCACCAGGGGCCUCCUAAGUUGCCGAUGGGUUCACCUAACAGGAGUUUCUCAGUCACUUGAUGGAGGAGAUGAUAGGCGGAGCCUAGUCGAUAUUGGCCAAGAGGGAAUCGGCCACCAUCGGCCAACCUUUCUGCUGCCGAUAAGUACACAGAAGUUGGCCCUACCGAUCGACCAUAGAAGAUGAAUUUAUCUAGCCACAUGUUCAGGAAAAUGGCGUGUUCCCUCUGCCCAACUAGUCUUGUUCUCUGAUACUUCUGGAUAUACCCUGACCAACCGUCGAUGUUGCGGGUUUCUACUUUGCGUUCGGCCAUGCGAUCGAACAAAUGGCCAUCAUCGGCAGUUGCAAUGUCUAAACAGAUAAGCAUGAGAACAUCGACAAGAGUGGUGGAAGCUAGGCCGUGACCAAAAAGGAAGGCAUUGAGGGUAUCUGACCAGAAGUAUGAGGAAGCUAUCAGCAGUGACUCAUUUCUCUCCAUAUCGGCAAUAGAUAACCUCAUGCAUUGAUCUAGUUUGUGUUCACCCCAAAACACUUCAUUCGUGUCGCUAACCCUCAGGAACCAAUCCUUCCAUCCCUUGGUGGAACUUGCCCGGGAUCAGAAGGCAUCUUUCCACAGAUCUAAAGAAAAGUUCUCGGCUCUAAAGGGAAUUCUAUUUGUCUCUGCAUUAAUCAGAUCGGUAGGAUCUGGAUUACCCAGUGGACUGAGGCAUUAAAGGUGAGGUUGCUCGGUAGGAAUGACGAUUUUCUCGCUCAGUUCCUAUGGUUUGAAGAUUGGAAGAACAGAGAAAAAGAAAGAAGAAAGAAAAAUGCUAAGUAAGUAAACUUGCAAAAAGUAAAGAGGUGCGGCAAAAAGAGGAAAGAUGGGAAUAGAUUAACCUUAGAGACGAUGAAGUUGGCGGCCAUUGCUUCCCGGAGGAGAAGAUCGGAGACUUGAGGAACCGUUGGGGAGGACUUUGCUGAAAUUUUCGGGCUCUUCAACAAUGCUGCCGCCGGAAUAGAUGAGUUUGGGGAAUGAAGGAUGGUAAGGUAGAGAAAGAGUACCAAGGAAGGAAGUAUUUAUAGGGUAAAAUGAGCACGGGCAUUUCUGACUUAUCUCUUUGCCGUAUCCGUGAAAUUCGAGGGUGUUCAGGUGGAUAUGGUAACUAUUCGCACGGUAAUCAAGGGAUUAUACAGGUGAUUUGACAGCAAGCGGUCUUGAUUUUAGGAGAUAUUUCACUGUGCAGAAUCUCCUGGUCGGCUCAUCGGUAGUCCACUCUAAAGGAAUAGUUGCCGAUGAGCGGAUGUUUAGGAGAUUUGGUUCGGGAGGUUGAGAAAUUUGAGGUGCCUGCUGGAAAUCCGAGUUAAGGUUGUUUGGAUUUGGUAAUUAAUUGCUGUCAGAAGGUAAUAACUACGAAAAGAGUGUCAUUACUAGGAGAGAAUUUCAGAGAAUUAAUGAUUUUAUACUCCGAAAUUGGGGGGGCAUGCGUUGACACCAUUUUUUGACACGUAUCUGGAAAACUGAUAGAACUUGGAUCGGCAGGCGAAAAAGUGAUGACCAGUUGACAGAGGAGUUGCCGAUGAUAAAGCAGCAGGAUAUGACCAAGUCCAGAAUAAUGGUUGAUCUAUGCCGAUGGCUGAUAUUAAUGGUUGCCGAUGUCGAUGGAGGAUGAUAUGCCGUUGAUAGUGGAGGAAGGCGUAGGGAUCAUCGGGAAGAUGAUGGUGGUGUGCCGAUCACCUUGGAUAGAUAAAUUAGUGAUUUCCAUAGUUAUUAGAGUUUGUUUUAUAUACGGAUUCUGUUUAAUUUGGAAUUAGAAUCCUAGUCGUACCUGGUUGUAACUCUUUAUGACAGGGAAUGAAUAUAGACCUAGUAGCGAUGUAAGAGACAACACAAUCAAUCAAACACAAGUUUUCACAUCUAUUCUAGCAUCUACUUUUCGACGACUUCGUCAACUCACAUAUUUUCUUUUUACUUACGAGUUCUUAGGAAUUCAUCAAGUCAAACUCGACGGAUUCUCAAGUUCCGCGUGAAUACCUCUUGGCCAUGGCAUCCGGGCGCAUCGCUGUUGUCGGGACCAAAGUAUUCGAGUUAUCACCUUUGUCGGUUGUAGGUCAAAUCGGUUGGCACGCCUUAACGUUGAAUCAGGAAUUAGUCCUUUAUGUUUGCAAAUCCACUUUUGCAUCAACAUAACCAUACAAGUAAAAGAGUUUCACAAACAAUUCACAUAAUUGUUAAUCGAUACAAGUUUGUCUAUAAUGGAUAUUCAUCAAACUCAUAAUAUAUGUAAUGGAUACAACUGUAAUAUCAUCAUCUCUAUGAUUACCUCUAGGGCAUAUUCCUAACAGUCUCCCACUUGCACUAGAGUUAAUCUCUAAGAUAUCUAAUACCCGUAGACCUCAAGUGUGCCUCAUGCUUAGGCUGUGGAAGAGCCUUUGUGAAAGGAUCUGCAAUAUUCAAAUUCAUAUGUAUCUUGCACAUCGUAAUUGCACCUCGCCUAACGAACUCUUGAAUGAGGUGAAACUUCCACAGCACAUGUUUGUUCUUUUGGUGAUUCCUAGGCUCCUUAGCCUACACAAUCGUCCAAUUGUUGUCACAAAGUAGAUUCAAUUGGCUUGACUCAUUUAGAAACACACCAAGUUCAAUGAGGAACCUCCUCAUCCAAACACCUUCCUUUUGUAGAUUCAGAAGCUGUGAUGUACUCGACCUUAGUUGUAGAAUCGGUCACUCUCGCAUGCUUGGAACUUUUCUAGCUGGCUGCACCACCAUUUAUUGUGAACACAAAACAUGAUUGAGAGUGCGAAUCAUCUGUGUCAGUUUGGAAGCUAGCAUCUGUGUAACUAUUUACAACGAGCUCCUUGUCACCCCAUAGAUUAGGAACACAUCUUUAGUCCUUCUCAUGUACUUAAGAAUGGUUUUAACAAGUGUCCAGUGACUUUCACCUAGACUAGCUUGGUACCUGCUCGCAACACUUAGAGCAUAUAAGACAUCUGGGCGAGUACAUAUCAUGGCAUACAUGAUCGAACCAACUGCCGAUGCAUAUAAAACCUUACUCAUGCGUUUGCGCUCUUCUUCUAAUGAAGGACACUAGUUAUUGCUAAAGCGCAUGCCAUGUGACAUAGGCAAGAACCCUCUUUUAGAUUGUUCCAUGUUGAACCAUUUUAACACCUUGUCUAUGUGUGUAUCUUGGCUUAAUCCUAUUAGCCUUUUGGACCAAUCUCUAUAGAUCUUAAUGCCCAAAAUGUAUGCUACUUCUCCUAAAUCCUUCAUAGAAAAACUAUUAUUCAGUGAAGUCUUCACUGAUUGCAAUAUUACAAUGUCAUUCCCAAUCAAUAAUAUGUCAUCCACAUAUAAGAUUAGAAAUACAACAGCGCUCCCACUUUCCUUCUUGUAAAUAGAAGGUUCUUCUUUAUUCUGACGAAAGCCAAUCCUUUGACCACUGCAUCAAAAUGAAUAUUCCAACUCCGAGAUGCUUGCUUUAAUCCAUAAAUGGAUUUCUUAAGCAUGCAUAUUUUCUAGCAUUAUUAAGAUCAACAAAACCUUCAGGUUGUAUCAUAUACACUUCCUCUUCUAGGUUUCCAGUUAGAAAGGUUGUUUUAACAUCCAUCUGCCAUAUCUCAUAAUCAAAAUACGAUUGCUAGAAUGAUCUAGAUAGAUUUAAGCAUCACUACUGGUGAGAAAGUCUCAUUGUAAACAAUUCCUUGAACUUGCCUGAAACCCUUUGUGACAAGUCAAGCUUUGUAGACAUGAACAUUUCCAUUCAUAAUCUUUUUCUUUUUAUAGAUCCAUUUGCACUCUAUGGGUCUAACCCCAUCAGGCGGAUCAACCAAGUUUCAAACUUGAUUGUCUCCCAUGGAAUCUAUCUCGGAUCUCAUGGCACUUUGCCAUUUCUUGGAAUCUAGGUCCAUCAUUGCUUUUGCAUAAUUUGCAGGUUUGUUAUCGUCUAACAAUAACAAUUUCCCAUGCAAUUCAUGAAGUCUUGCAGAUCUUCAUAGUUGUGGUGGUGUUUCUACUACCACGGGUGUCUCAACUUGUUCUGCUACAUUAGCAUCACUUGAAGAGUCAUUCCCAACUGGAUCAUCUUGAACUUCUUUAAGAUAAACUUUCUGUCCAUUUUUCUCCCUUUUGAGAAACUCUUUCUCUAAGAAAACACCGUUUCGAGUAACAAACACUUUGCCCUCUGUCUGGUUAUAGACAUAAUACCCUAAAGUUUCCUUUGGGGUAUCCCACGAAAAAACAUUUGUCCGAUUUGGGUGUUAGUUUAUCUUAUAUAAGUCGUUUGACAUAAACUUCACAACCCCAAAUUUUUAGAAAAGACAAACUAGGACACUUACUAGUCCACAUCUCAUAUGGUGUAUUAACUACAGACUUAGAUGGCACCCUAUUUAAAGUGAAAGCGGCUAUUUCUAGAGCGUAUCCCCAAAACAAUAAAGGUAGGUCCGACUUGCUCAUCAUAGAUCGAACCAUGUCCAACAAAGUUUGAUUAUGUCACUCGGACACGCUGUUCCUCUAAGGCGUUCUAGGUGGCAUAAGUUGUGGAACAAUUCCACAACUCUUUAGAUGAUUGCUAAAUUCAUGACUCAAAUAUUCGCCUCCACGAUUAGACUGCAAAGCCUUAAUUUUCUUGCCAUGUUGAUUCUCUACUUCAUUCCAAAAUUCUUUGAAAUUUUCAAAUGUUUUAGACUUAUGCUUCAUUAAGUAGACAUAUCCAUAUCUACUAAAAUCAUCAGUAAAAGUUAUGAAGUAUUGGAAUCCGCCUUUAGCUGUCGUGCUCAUUGGUCCACAUACAUCAGUAUGUACAAGUUCCAACACGUCAGACGCUCUCUCAGGAAAGCCUGUGAAAGGUGCCUUGGUCAUCUUUCCUAGUAAGCAAGACUUACAUAUCUCGUGAGCCUCUUCACAUGUCUUAACUACAGACUUAGUGAUUCAAGACCCUCGAUUGAUACUUAGUGAUUCAAGACCCACAACUAACAAGUAUACUAGUGAGCUUUAGCAUCACCACUAGUAGACAUGGUAGAUCGGUAAGCAAAUCCUUGCUGAUCAUAUCACAUGUGACUCUUGUUGUUGGGGUGGCAUCUCAAUGCUUGUGUUGCCCAACUACUUAUGCUCCGAGGUCCCUAACCGUUAGGAUGACCUUGUUUAAGUAACCAACCCUUCUGCAGUAAGUAUCUGAUACAAACCUACCUAGUUAAGGAAAAUCAGUGGCACCCUAAUUUCAUAGACCUACCACCGAUCGUACAAGACACAUAACAGUGCAAGGUUUGGGGAAGAAUGUAAUUUAAAUAUUGCUGAGGGAUCGUUCUACUUCACUACUGUGCGCAUGUAGACAAAAAUAUCAUCGCAUAUGAAAGUAGAACAUAGUAAGAACGUGUAACACCCUAAAAUUUAUAAUUUUUGAAAUAGGUGAAAUGAUUUAAUUUUGCAUUUUUGUGUUCAUGGAAUAUAGAGAAAUAAUAUUUUUUUAGUAAAUUAAAAUUUAUCAUAGGAUUAGAAAUAAGGUUGAGCAUUCAUGCUCGAAAAUUCAUUUUUAUUGUGAUGAGUGAUUUGACCAAAGAUCAAAAAUAUUUCAAACAUAAUUCAAAGUGAUUUUUAUAAUGGUUUUGAAAAUGGCUUUGCAAUUAAAGAAAUGGAAAUAGAAAAUAAAAGACAAAUCCCCUCCUCUCCCUCUUCCUGGCCUGAUGGCCCAAAUCCCCUCUCCCCACCCACGGCCCGCCAGUGCACCUCCUCUCCUUCUGCUUUCAUAGGCCGUGAAGCUCAGCCAGCCCAUGACCCGAGUGGCGCCCCACUUCCCCUCUCCGGCCCAAGCCAGCGCACCCCUCUUUUUCCCCCUUUCCCCUCCGCUCGGCCCGAUACGCAGCAGGUCAGCCCAGCCGCGCCUCCCCUUCCCUUCUUUCCACUGCCAGCUGGGCCCCGCUUGUCAGUGUCUUCCCUUUCCCUUCCUUUCUCCUUCCUCGUUUCGUUACCAAGAUGGACUCCUACCCCAACCGCGCCAUACGAUCCCAGAAACCCGAGAUUUCCUUGCAAACGUGUGGUCCAAGCUCACUAUAAAGGCCCUAAGACCCCGCCGCGACCCCCUUUUUCUUAGCGCACGCUUUAACCGAGCCCUAGCCGCUGUUUGCAGCGCGAUUUGGAUCUCACCGGGAACUAAGCUCGCCGCUGCCGUGGCUCUUGCAAUUCGCGAGUGUUCGGCCGAAAUUGAUUUGCUGCCGAGCUCCGCGUUUGGGUAACGAAGCCACCAAGACCUUCCGUUUGCUCUCUCUCACAUUCUAGGCCACGCUAACCAAUGCCGAACUUGCUCAGGAAGUCACCGUCCGCCAUCCGUGUGGUCCGCCCGACUCCAAGCUCUCCCCGGCCUUGAAAACCCUCCCAGUGAGUUCGUCUUGACCUCCUCUUGCUUCCCGUGUUUUUAAAUUGGAGUUUGGCUCUCGGUAGCAUGUUUCCCAUCAACUCCGACGAGGCCAUCAAUGGCGCCGCCACCGGAGGUCCUGUUCCGGUGACCGGCCGGCUGAGAGACCCCUCUCUCUCCCCCUGGAAUUUGAUCAGAGCCAUUGAAACACGAUCUAACGGCCAGAUUUGGAGGAUACCCCUUCGCGGGGAUUUUUAUUAAAGAGCCCCUCUACUUCUUAGAUAUAGAACCCACAUUCCAUGACGGUUUCUGAGAAUACGCUUUGUCCUUUUGAAAGCGUAAAUAACUCGUCUUGGUUUCAAAAUACGUUUUCAGUAUUUACUAAAUUGCCACUGAAAGUAUUUUGCUCAUAAAUUGGUCAUUUUAAAUCCGUUUUGAUCCAUUCAAAUUGCGUUAGGUUCGUUUUCAUGAGCUCUACAUGUUAGUAAACCUUAUUCACCAGUUUGAAACUUUUUAAUUUCGUGACCUUAAUUAAUUAAUUACUCUUCUAUGUAAAAUCUUAGAAAAUUCAUAACUCCUACGUUUUAACUCCGAUUUUCGUGAUCUUGACGUCUAUGAAAUCGUAGCGAUGCGUAAAAUCAUUUUAUAAAUUUUUCAUACUGUUUUUAUAUGAUUGCUGUACUGUUCUAAUUGUAGCCUUGUUUGCUUCGUGUAUGUUGUCUCCGAUUGUUUGUGUGUUGAUGAUCGAUGAUCGAGUUUAGUCGGUGAACAAUUCGUGGUGAACAAGAGUACUUCAGUGAUCAAGAUCUGAGCCUUGGACAACUUGUGAGACCAGCAGGAUAAGCAAGAGCAAUUGGAUUAAGGCAAGUAUAGCAUUUGGAUUUUAUUUCUGUGACCAUGAUCCUGUGACUAGAUUAAUGUUAAGUAAUAAAUGAUAAAAAUGACUUUUUAGCAACUUGAUGACUUAUCUGUAAGUGAUAACCGGGACAAUAGUGCAACCAUGAGGGCUAUAAUGGCUCUGGCUUUAGCUCAGUAUGAAGCCCUUUUCUAGCUUGUUAGAGGUUACCCGAAAGGGCGGAGGGGCUGAACUGUUUUGGGUAUAGUGUGGCCUCUAUCUGUAUGUGUAUAGGCUGCGCGUCAUUGUGCCAUCGGAAGGGGGGCUCUAUAUCUACGCGCAAAGGAAACCUUGCGGCCCUAACAUGUUAGACGAACUUUUGAAAGGCUUCAUAGCGAUCCCUACCGACCUUCCUUGGAAGUGGGUUAAGAGGCUGAUCACCUCGGGCGAAAGGGUAAAUCAUGACUCAUGGGUAAAGAUGUACAACCUCUGCAGAGUGUAGAACUGGUAUACUAGCCGUGCUCACGGUCAUGAGCGGCCUUGGGGAUUCUUGCAUCGACGAUGAUGAAUCUUGUGUGUUAAAUAUGCUCAUUGUUUAUUAUUUAUUUAAUGCUUUACAUUAUUUAUGUCACAUUGAUCAUGAGAUUGUGGGAGCUAUACAAUCUAGUUGCUAUACUUGUGGAGUUCGACAUGGACUCACUCUUGCUAUUUUCCCCCACACUUCAGGAGAUGGUUUAGGCUUGUGAUCAACCAGUUAGUUGGAUCCUGUAGAGUGAAGUUAAUACCCGAAGGUUGGAGUUGUCUAUCCGCUGUUUGCUAUCAAAGGUUAUAUCUUUUAUACUAAGUACGUUAUAUAUUUAUGCAUUGUCUUUUGAUAUUACCCCUUAUUUGUAGUUAUAUGUGGGAUUUGACUUCUAAAACUCACAUAUGGUGCAUAUCUGAUUUUGUCCUUAAAAUCGGGUAUUACAGAACGGCAUAAACACAGAUAUAACUUGGUAUAUCCCAUUAUCACUUUUGGGAUCUCCAUCUCCAUCUAUCUGUUCAUCAUGGUGAUCUCCAUCUCCAUCAUGGUGAUCUUUCAUAACAUAGUUUCCAACACAUCUAUAUUUUGGAAACAAUGAAUAAGAGUUUUAUGGGAAUGAAACUCUCUCUACUCGCAUGAAACUCUUAUCAUCUCUCUUCAUUAAUAUAGCGCCACAUCAGCAUAUUUAAUGUGCAUGAAACUCAAAUAAAACCCCAUGUCUCAAUGAAGUUUCACCAAGAGUGUCAUGCAUAUUAAAUAGUCUGCCACAUCAGCAAGAGCACACUUUUUGCAAGAAACUAGGAGGAGAGAGAAUGGAAAAGUUUCACCCUAGUGAAACGAUACAGCGUUGUUUUCAAAAUGUCAAAAAUGGUGUGAAACCCGCAUUGAGAGCCACGAUUCGUUUUAUCCCAUCGGUCUUGUUCAACACUAGCCCCGCGGACUCCGCUACACGAGCCACCUUCUACAGUCGUGCUCUACUGCGGUCGCGGUCUGUUGGCAUGUAGUCGCUGCCUCCACCACGGUGAGGCAUCGGUGGCUCCACCAGGGCCUCCUCGUCCACCCAAGGCGAGUUCACACAGAGGGCACAUGCAUGGUGAGGCAUCGGUGGCUCCACCAUGGCCUCCUCGUCCACCCAAGGCGAGUUCACACAGAGGGCACAUGCAUCCGUACACAACCGUGGAUGCAUGCCUCCUAGCGUGGCAAGCGUGAGCGCCAGGUAGGCGCCACCACAGGGCUCCUGGCCUCGAACCAAACGACAAUACGCCGCUAAAUCCCAACUCCUCGACGAUGCACGCGGUGGACCACGGGUGCUGCUCAUCAUGACGACUCGUACCUCCUCGACAACACGUGGGGCGGACCAUCGUCAUGCAGAAGAGUCAGUGUGCAACCGCCGCAAGCGGGAAGGCCAGGCGAGGGCGAGGGCGAGCUGCUGCUGGGCGCGGACAUGGGAGAGUUGUUGUUGUUGAUUUCAGGAACACAAUCACAAAUGCUAGAUGAUUAGAUUGGCUAACCUAUGAACACUGGAUCGCAAGAAUUGAACUCAGACACGUCGGGAACCGCCAAGGUGACAGCUCCCCUUUUCGCUUUCUCCAAGUUUAGAUAAAAUAGUGUUUACAACCAACACUCUGCGAUAACACACUCCCUAAACAUCCAGCCUUUUAUACCAAGGCUUACAACUCACGCUGAUAACACAGAAAACAACACCGCACAUGAUACAAACGAGGUAAAAUGUAACUGCCUGCUUGAGUGUCUGUUGGGUAUUUUAAACGCAAACAGAAAAUUCCACAAGCGCACGGAUACCGAUGUAGCUUUCACCCGGGAAUAUUCUAGAGUAUCGAUUUUCCACAAGGAACGUGAGUGUACUAAUUAAGAUUCAAGAUCGCCCAAGGAUAACUAUAUAAUUAUUUUUGGUGGGAAGAAGGGAAGUUUCCUGAGAGUUCUCUAGUUGAUCUAAGGAUCAAGAAUUACUUCAAAGAUUAUUUAUUUCGAGACAUCAGAACACUAACCACAGAAAGAGAUGAGAAGGGGGCUAGGAAGCUCUGACUACGGUCCUACAAACACCGAUCCGAACGAGGUGGAAUACGUCGACCGUUAGGGUUGUCACUACCCUAGGGCUACCACAACAAUCCGCAGGAUUGAGUGCAAUUCCAGGUAAUUGCAAGACUAAACACCACGUCUAAUCUAUUAAUUACUACUCUAGCGUUAUAAAGACUAGAGCACUUGAUGCAAGCGAGAAUCCAAUAAAUAACUUGAAUGUAAAUAAAAGUAAUUAAAGAACUCAGGAAUUAUGAAUUGAAGAACCUAGAGAACGAUGAAGAACUAACCAGUUGCUGCAAGAGUACAAUGUUGAGGAAGAUCCAACAGACCCGGCUUCUCCUCCGCUCUCCUCUUCUCUCUCCCUAUUUUCUAGAUUACAACUAGAACUAACUAGAACUAGAAUUAGAGGAACUAGAACUAGAACUAGAUAAACUAGAGGGAUCCUCUCUACUUGGAUGAAGAAUUGAAACCAUAACUUUGAUUCUGUAGAACUUUGAGUCUUUUCAGAUGAAUCUAGGCCGUCGGAUCAAACCGACAUUGAUUGAACGGUUAUCCUUGAUCCUUUAUGUCGUUGGAGCGUGAUCCGCGAAACGGGUCCAAAUUGGACACUAUAGGAGGGCGGGCGCCCUAGUCCUUAGGGCGGGAGCCCUGGGCCAGGCCCUGUUCUCCCUCUGCUUCGUUCCCGUGGCUUCUGGAGUCUUCUAGAUGAUAGAAAAUUGCGUGGUACGUUAAUAUCGCUAUGUAAACCCGACGUGUGGGCCUUUCCUCCGUAUUUCCUGAUAACCCCCUGUAGAAAUAGACAAACACCAAAACUCGUGGAAUUCUAUCAGAUAAAACCCUAAGUCUAGGUGUUAGUUGCAUUUGGAUCCUUUUCCAUGAUUAGUUGAUGGUUAAAUGUGAGCAUUAAGGACCGUCAACAAGCUCCCCCAAGCUUAACCUUUGCUCGUCCCUGAGCAAAGAUGAACUCAAGAGUUUCUGCAGUGGUUUCAUGCCUUAAAGGUACACAUGCGUUCAAACAAGAUCUCAUCUCUGGGUUAGGGUAAACUGUUAAGAUUUAAAUUUACUCAUUUUACCUUCCACCAUGGGGCUUGCAACCGUCACUUGUGUCUUGAGUAGUUAAAAGAUAGAACGGUCUAGUCAAGUGCCAUGUCUCUUGUUCUUUGAUUAACUAUAGCUCUGGAGUUUUUGAAGAUUUUCAAAUAAAACUCAGAGAUUCCUUGUAUGACUCUCUCUAGUCUCUCUUUUGUGGUAUUUUUGGAUCCUUACCAAGGCAGUAGUGGUGUAUGCCUUCUCUCAAAGUUUGUGGUAUUUUUGGUAUGAGGCAUAGUGGCAUUGCCCUCUCUCUCACCCUACUCUAAUAAGGUUUUGAUAUCUGGAGCUCAUAGGUGGGAGACAACUAAUACAUACUUACAAGACAUUUAUUGCAUAGUCAAACCAUGGAUCUAGAAGAACAAGUCAAUAAGUCAAAUCAAGAUAUGCAUGUGUGGUGAAUGAAUGGUGUAUGGUGAUGAUGGUGAUAACAAUGGUGAAAGUCUAAUUCUACUUGUGCUCUUUUGAGGGGAUACAUACCUUUCUUGCUCUUUUGAAACUUUUUGAGGAGAAUGAGAAUGAUGAUGGUGAUAACAAUGGUGAUGUAUGGUUCAUAGUCUAAUAAGCAUGUAUAUAUGGCUGUGGUAGGAAUUUAAACUCUCAUCAUACAGGAACUCAUCAUGUGAUAUUUUAAAGAUUUUUAAAGAUAAAAUUCUCCAAAAUUCUAGCAUCUCUAGGAACAGAUAAACAACAGCUCAACCUUCCCAUGUCAUAUCCGUUAACAACUUAGACUUUAGAUCAAGUAAUCUUCCCACAAGUUCAGGUUUAGAGCAAAUCUUAAUUAAUAACAGUCAUGCCUAAAUUUGAGAGAGAUUUCAAUUUUGAGAACUAGUCAUGGCAGAGCAACUAUUCAUCCUUUCCAUGUGAGAGCUUAUCACGAGGGUUCAUAGAAAAUUUUAUUUAUUUAUUUAUUUAGCAAACUAAGCAAAGAUAUAUAUAUAUAAGCAUAAAAUCUUUAUUUGGGUUUUUAUAAUUAUGCAUCUUUUUAUUAUUUGAGUAAAGUAUAAACAUGAGUAGAACACUUAGCUGGAUAAAUGGGGGUGCUCUCCCCCAAGCUGGAUUUUGACGUAAUUUCUUCUGAUAUAGCUAGCAGGUGGCGGAGGUGUAUUUGAAUGUCGGCAGUACCCUGACAGCGAUUAGGAUGUCCUCCGUCUACUAGUCUUCUUUGAUCCUUGAAUUCUGUGGAGCUCAAAUAGACAACAAAGCUUUGUGGAACUGGUUAAGUGUUAACAUAAAUAUCUAGCCUUUAUCAUGUUGAGCCUCCUCAAUAAAUGUUACUCUCUUUAGUAGGAUCAUAAAUUUAUUUUUAUAUUUUCAUUUUUAUAGGAUAGGAAUAUAUUUAUUUUAUUUUUAUGCCACCACAGUGAAUGUACUUAUGGGUUUUAUGCCAUGAGCAUACUCACAUGGGGCUUACUAUUUUUAACAUUUUUAUUUUCUUUUCAAGAUGAUAUGAGCCUGAUUAACUAAGCAAACUAUUUUAAAUAAUUGAAAGGAAAAGGAUAACUACCAAGUUUACCUCUUGGCAAGGCGUUCGGUGUUUUUAAGUCCUCCAAACGAGACUCUCCGUUUUCUCAGUCGUCCUGGGAUUUGCUGGAUGGCGUAGUCGGUGGUUCCGGCGGCGCCUUCGCUUUGUGUAUAACUAUCUUCUCUCUCCACACCUGACUCGGUGCUACGGUCUCCUCAGGACAGUUCUGUUCAAGCUGUAUGUCUUCAGACCUUACAACUUCUAUUUCGUAGUCUGCCCAUCCGUCCUUGAUGAUUUCCCUUCUCUGGUUGCGGUUGCGUCGUCUUCUUCUUGUCGUGACCUACUUAGAGUCUUCAACUAUAUAGUUAAGGUCAGUAAAAUAACGUCGUACCUUCUCAGAGGAGAAGUGCAUGUGGACUUCUCCAGUUCCAAUGUAGAUAAUUGCUUUAACGGUGCUGAGGAAUGGUCUCCCAAGGAUGAUGGGUGGAUCGUACUUGUCUUCUCCCAUGUUAAUAACCUUUCGGAAUGUCUGAUCUGCCAUCCGGUGUCGCAAAGCGUCUUCUGGAAGUUGGUUAGGAAUGGUGACUUAAGUCGACGAUCUUGACCUCCUUGAACUGCAGUGACCAUCUUAGCUGACUCAGUCUACAUUUGCUUGUUCUUGUUCCUCCUGUUGGUCCUCUUCUUAGUUCAUGUCGGGAUUGCUCUGAGACUUGUGUAGUCUUGUUCUUGAAGGAAAACAUCUCCUUCCUUCCCUUUAUGUAGAAACUGAUCUUGGCAGUACUAGCGUAGAUGUCAACUCCUGAGGUGUUCAGGAAUGGCCUCCAUAGGAUGAUGGGUGUCGUCUCAUCAGUACCAGUCUUUAUCACCACGAAGUCUGCUGGGGCGUACAAGGUACCAACUCGGACGCAGAGGUUCUUCAAUAUUCCCUCUGGGAAACUUAGCAUACGAUCUGCAAGCUACAAACACAUGGCUGUUUCUAAUAAAGGAUGUGUAAAGAAUUUUUCAUAGAGUACCCUGGGUAUAAUGUUGACGCUGGAGCCAAAGUCGCAGAGUGCUUCUGGGAAGUUCACCAUGCCGAUGGAGAUCAGGAUGACGGUGCGUCCUGGAUCGCCUCUUGACCGACAGAAGGUCAGUAAUUUCUUCCACAACGGGGUUACUCCAGUAGUUACGUCCCCAAGCAUCUCAGGGCAGUGAUUGCCUGAGUGUCUAGUAUCUCUAGUGUGUUUGUGCUCGUAGAUCUAGGUUCUUCACUUGGUGGAGUCUAGGAGUUGUAAAACUCCUUCAUAUUUUGCUCGAAGUGUACCUGCUCAUAGAGACAAGGCAGUGAUCAAGUGCAUGGGCCCUGUUGGUGGAAAACACCAAUAGAACCAAAAGUGUAUUUGUUCUCUCUAACCUUAAGCAUAGUGAGCAAGACAAAGUUGAUGGAUAAUAAGAUCAUGAGUGUAACAUUUAAAACAUUUGUCAGAUCAAAUCGCUCAACCUAAUGGAAAGAUAAUCUUUCUAUACUUAUGUUUUUUAUAUAUAUCUUCCAAAGAUUGAGUGUGCAACAUUUUAGCUUAUAUGAUUAGGAGUGUGGGGUCACCAAGGUGGAAGGACUAAACAUGUUGAAUCGAUUGGGUUGAUAAAUCUAGAGUUGUAAAUCAUACAUGUCUGUCUCUUUUAUUCAUGUGAACACCAGAACCAAGGAGAAGCUUAUAAAAGUGAUAGUCUAGUACCUUAAGAUGUUACCUUACUUGAAGAGUGAUGGUACAGUAUCACCUUAUGGAAGCUUUCCUUUCUUAGCGGUUGUGCAUCGUGGUUGUGGCACCCUCCUUGCACCAUCUCUUGCGAGCUAUGCCUUCCUUGUGUAAAUUGUUAACCUUCAUGUGUCACUCUCUUUGUCUCCAAUGUGAGUUUAUCUCAGGACUUCCCAGGUCGAUAUUGAAAGUUUUCCUGCAGGGGUUAAUCCAACAAAAUAUCCCAUAUCUACUAUAGCAUACUAUCGGCUCAAAAAUCAACCUAGACACCAUGUCUAAUUUGAUUUAGGAGGGCAUUUUAACCUAAGCAUCAAGCUUAAUUUAGACUCCCUUAGAAGUAAGAUCAUCAGCCCUAAACUAAACACCAUGCUUAAUUAAGAGAUAAAUGAAACUACUCCAAACCUAGACAUAUACUAAUGUAAAUAAAGGUAGCAUGAGAGCAUUUAUAGAGAUCUACUCAAGUGGAGAUGAAGUAGUGUGAUUAGUAUUUAACAAAUUGAGCAUGUCUCAAAGGUAGGGACAACCAACAUAGCAACAUGGCAAAGGAUGUUUUUAAUGUAAAGUACUCCUCCAAGCUUGAAUUUUACAAAAUUCAAGUUUGGAUGAAUUUAAUUCAGUGUUGUAUGAUGAUUGGUUGGACAUACCUUGUGCUUGUCAUUCAUCCGAUCUUCUUGCUCCAAUCCUGGAAAGGUUAGUGACAAGAAUACCCAAAGGAAUUUUUUUUACAAUCAUCCUUAUAUGCUCAAUACACAAGGUAAUGUUGCAAAUAAUUAAAAGCUCAUGUUACGAUCUGAUGAGUGCUUAUUUUAGGACACUAAGCUUGUCCUUGGGAAACCAUCAAUUUAUGUCUGCGAAGUGGUUUCCCCUCCAACGCUGACCUAUAUCAAGAUCAACUCAACGAGAUCUGCAAAAUUUAUUAUAGACAUAUGCAAGACUGAACACCAUGUCUAAUCUAUUAAUUACUACUCUAGCGUUAUAAAGACUAGAGCACUUGAUGCAAGCGGGAAUCCAAUAAAUAACUUGAAUGUAAAUAAAAGUAAUUAAUGAACUCAGGGAUUAUGAAUUGAAGAACCUGGAGAACGAUGAAGAACGAACCAGUUGCUGUACAAUGUUGAGGAAGAUCCAAGACACCCGGCUUCUCCUCCGCUCUCCUCUUCUCUCUCCCUAUUUUCUAGAUUACAACUAGAACUAACUAGAACUAGAACUAACUAGAACUAGAACUAGAGGAACUAGAACUAGAACUAGAUGAACUAGAGGGGUCCUCUCUACUUGGAUGAAGAAUUGAAACCCUAACUUUGAUUCUGUAGAAGAGGUAUGCUCUCCAGGGGCCAAAGGGGCCUUGCUUAUAUAGUCUUUUCAGAUGAAUCUAGGUCAUCGGAUCAAACCAACAUUGAUUGAACAGUUAUCCUUGAUCCUUUAGGUCGGUGGAGCGUGAUCCGUGAAACGAAUCCAAAUUGGACACUAUAGGAGGGCGGGCGCCCUGGUCCUUAGGGCGGGCGCCCUGGGCCAGGCCCCGUUCUGCCUCCGCUUCGUUCCCGUGGCUUCUAGAGUCUUCUAGAUGAUAGAAAAUUGCACGGUACGUUAAUAUCGCUAUGUAAACCCGACGUGUGGGCCUUUCCUUUGUAUUUCCUAAUAACCCCCUGCAGAAAUAGACAAACACCAAAACUCGUGGAAUUCUGUCAGAUAAAACCCUAAGUCUGGGUGUUAGUUGCAUUUGGAUCCUUUUCCAUGAUUAGUUGACGGCUAAAUGUGAGCAUUAAGGACCGUCAACAGUGUCUGCUGUGUCUGUGCUCACCACGCCAGCAACUGCUCCCGCGUUCCCGGUCACUUAGAAUUCAAAUGACCCCCGCUCCCGCUUUGCUGUCAUUCACCAUGUCACAGACAUCCCACAACAUCAGGCUUACACUCAACAUUCUCCCCCUUAAGCCUGAUUUACCUCAAGCUCUCUCACACCAAGCAUGUGCCUCAUCUCUCCCAACUUUGUCACAGCCAUUGCCUUUGUCAUAGAGUCAGCUUUCUGCUCAAGUGUUCCAAUCCAUUUCACAGCAAUUUGACCCUUGUCCACACACUCCUUGAUGUAGUGGAAUUUAAUGUCAAUGUGCUUGUUGCAUCCAUGAAAUACAGGAUUCUUCAUUAACUCAAUUGCAGACUUAUUGUCAACUUUUAUCACCACACACUAUAGCCUCUUCCUUGUGAGCUCACUCAACAGACUCCUGAGCCACAUGGCUUGCAUUGCAGCUGUUGUUGCAGCCAUGAACUCAGCCUCACAACUAGAUAAUGCCACUGUUUUCUCCUUAUGUGAACACCAAGUGAUAAGUCCUCCAUUGAGAUAAAACGCCAUUCCUCCUAUACUUCUCCUGUGAUCUCUAUCACCUCCAUGGUCACUGUCUGAAUACCCAGUCAGGAUCUCCUCCUUUUCUUCUCUGGUAUACACUAGCCCAUAGUUCAGAGUUCCCCGCACAUACCUUAGAAUCUGCUUGAUGGCAUUCUGAUGUAGCACAGUAGGUCUUUCCAUUAAUCUACUAGCAAUUCCAACAGAGAAUGCCAGAUCAGGCCUUGUGUGUAGCAAGUACUCUUGUACUCAGUUGCAUCAACAGUUACUCCCUGCUUAUCAUCAUGCAACACAGUCCCUGGAUUGAUUGGCACUUUGGUUGGAUUACAAUCUGUCAUUCCAAAUCUUGACAGAACCUUCUUGGCAUAACUUGUUUGCUUAAUAGUGAUGCAAUCACUCUCCUGCUUAACCUCUAUCCGAAGAUAGAAUGACAACAAACCCAGGUCACUCAUCUCAAACUCAGAAGUCAUCUGCCUCUUGAAUGUUGCAAUUUCAUUUGGAUAUCCUCCAGUCACUAUCAAGUCAUCCACAUAAACACCAAGUAUCAAUCUUGUCUUUCCAAUUCCCCUUGUAUACACUGCUGCUUCACUAGCACACUUCUUGAAUCCUAACUUCUUUAGACAGUUAUCAAGUUUCACAUUCCAUGCCGUUGGAGCUUGUUUAAGUCCAUACAAAGCUUUACUCAGUUUGUACACCAUUUGUUCCUUGCUUCUAACAACAUAACCAUCUGGUUGAGACACAUACACAUCCUCCACAAGGUCUCCAUUCAGAAAUGCAGUUUUAACAUCUAAGUGAUGCACUUCCCAGCCCCAAUUUGCUGCCAUUGCCAAGAGUAACCUGACUGUAUCAAGUAUUGCAACAGGUGCAAAUACCUCAUCAUAGUCAAUUCCUUUCUUCUGUUACAUACCCUUUGGCAACUAGCCUUGCUUUAUGCUUCACUAUCUCUCCUUCUACGUUCUUCUUAAGUUUAAACACCCACUUCAAUCCUAUGGAUUUUGACCAGGUGGCAAUUUAACCAAGCUCCAAGUUUUGUUCUUGUUGAUUGACUAAAGUUCACUUUCCAUUGCUGCUCUCCAGUCCACACUGUUUGCAGCUUCCUGAUAACAAGUUGGCUCUUCCAUGACAGUCAAUAAAGCAUUCACCUCUAUGUCUACAUCUGAAGUUACCUCCACCUCAGCAGCAUCCUCAUAGACUUCAUAAAUACUUCUCAUCCUGAUUGGUGCAUCAUCAUGAUCAACAUCCAUGUUUUCAUCAUUCAGCAUUUGAUCUCCAUCCAAUUCAUGAUUCACAGAAUUUUCCCCUUUUGUCACUUGACUAUCAACAUGUUCAAUCUGAACAUCACUGCCUUGCUGCAUUGAGUUUUCACCACUCCCAACUACUUCAUCAUACUGAUUCAGCUCAUGAUUGAUACCUCCACUAUCUUCAAGCAUAUGUUCAGGUAUUCCCCCUGAAUUCUUUUGUAUCACUUGUUCAGGUACUCCCCCUGAAGCUUCUUGUGGCUGUGCAUUAUGGUUUUCACCACCAUAACCACCAAAGACUCCAGCAUAACCCUGUUGUGCCACUCCUUCACCAUUCUCUUCCACCCUGAACUCUAAAUUUUCUCCAAAUUCAGUGUUCCAUCUCCAGGCUACAUUUUCUUUAAACACCACAUCUCUACUCACUACUAUUCUCCUAGUCUGUGGGUUGUAGAGUCUAUGUGCUUUACUUCGCUCUUCCACACCAAAAUACACCAUUGGUACACUUCUGUCUUCAAGCUUUGUCAGAUGUGCCUUUGCUGUUCUGACAUGUGCCUUGCAGCCAAAGACUCUCAUGUGUCCCAUUUGUGGCUUUCUGCCAUUCCAUGCUUUAAAUGGUGUUCUUGAUCCCAUUGGUCUUGUGGGAAGUUUGUUGAGCAGAUGUACUGAAUGCCUUACUGCCUCACCCAGAACCUUCCAGGUACCUUCAUGCUUUUCAUGAUUGAUCUUGCCAUCACCAUGACAGUUCUAUUUCUUCUCUCAACUACUCCAUUCUAUUGAGGUGUGAAUGGAGCUGUCAAUUGCCUUCUUAUCCUUGCCUCCUCACAGAUCUCCUUGAAAGCAAUUGCAAGAAACUCACCUCCUCUAUCUGAUCUCACACAUUUUACUUUGUUUCCCAAAGUAUUCUCAGCUUCUGCCUUGAAUUUUGCAAAAGCCUCAACAGCCUGAUCCUUAGUCUUGAGAACUGACACUAUCAUCCAUCUUGUGCAAUUAUCAACCAUUAACAUAAAAUACCUACUCCCACCUUCUGUUUCUAGAGUGAUAGGCCCACACAAAUCAAUGUGAACUAACUCAAGUGGCUCAUGUGCUUUCCACCUAGAGACUGUUGGAAAUGAACAUCUAGUUUGUUUUGCUGCUAAACAUGACUGAUAGACUUGAUUAGGAUGAUCUAUCAGUGGUAGCCCCCCUGCCAUCUCCUUCUCAGAUAACAUUUUCAAUGACAAAAAAUUUAUAUGCCCAAGUCUUCCAUGCCAAAGCCAUGACACAUCAUUCACAUUAGCUAACAAACUCACUGGUUCAACAACUUUCAGUUCAAUUUUGUAUAAUCUAUUCACUGAUCUCUGCACCCUCAUGAUUAUUUUGUCAGGGUUCUUUUGAUCUACUUCAAUCAAGUGAUCAUCCAUGAUUACUCUAUGUCCUAUCUCAGUUAACUAUCCCAAGCUAACCAAAUUACUCUUCAACUUUGGAAUGUAAUAGACAUCAUAGAGCACCCACUGAUCACCUAACUGUCCCUCAAACACCACUGAACCCUUCCCCUUAAUCUCAACAGUUGAACCAUCACCAAAUGUAACACUACUAGCUAUAGUAGUAUCAAUUUCUCUGAAUUUCUCCCUAUCCCCAGUCAUAUGAUUACUAGCUCCAUUAUCUAGAUACCAUACAUCACCAUAUGACACACCAUCACUAGUGUAAUGGAGCUUAGGGCAAACUUUUACCACAUUCAGAGUUAACUGACAGUCAUUCAACAACAAGCUCUCUGACGGUGUCUGCUUCAGCUUCCACGACACAGUUGUCUUUGCUUCUUGUCUAUUCCAGGACACUUAUUUGCAUAGUGUCCUUUCUCGUGGCACUUGACGCAUUUGAUGUGGCUCUUCUCUUGUUUGACAGAACCUUCACCUCGUCCUCCGCGGCCUCCGCGUCCUCCACCAUGGCCACGACCCCAACCUCGGCCUCCACUACUACUCUCCUGUGAAUUUUUCUUCCCUGAACCUUCACUAGUUGCACACUUCUGCCUUGCUUCCCACUCGGCCUACGUGAGCAGUGCUUGAUUCCCUUCACACUUCACUGAAUUGGUUCCUCUCCCGAUCCUCUCCUCAAAUGCCUUCAACUGCUCGAUUGCAUCUACAAAUGAGAGCUUCUUCAGAUUGAAGAACUGCUCGAUCCCUGCUACCACUUGGAUGAAUCGAUCGGGCACUGUGUCGAACAACUUCUUCACAAGUGCUUGAUCAUCGAGCGAUCCACCCAAAUUUCCAUACCGGAUUGACAUCCCCAUCAACUGUCUAGCAUAGGCAUCGAUAGUGUCUCCUUCCUUCAUCUCCAGAUUGUCACAUUCACUUUUCAACGUCCGAAGACGUGCAUCCUUCACCCGCUCCUCACCGACAUACUGUUGACGGUCCUUAAGUACUAAAAUUAAUCAUCAACUAAACAUGGAAAAGGAUCAAUAUGGACCAAACAUCUAGAAUUAGGGUUUUAUCUGACAGAAUUCAACGAGCUUUGGUGUUUAUCUAUUUCUGCAGGGGGUUAUGAGAAAAUAUGGAGAGAAGGCCCACAUGUCAUGUUUACAACGAGAUAAUUACGUGCCGCACAAUUUUCCUCAAUCUAGAAGAGUCCAGAAGCCACAGGAACGAAUGAGAAGACGAUCGGGCUCGGGGGCAGGGCGCCCGCCCACCCCCCUUGGGUGCCCACCCAGGGUUAGAGUCCAAUCAGGACUCUCUUUUGGGACUAAACUCCACCAACCUAAAGGAUGAAUCUAAACCAUACAAUCAAUGUCAGUUUGAUCCAACGGCCCAAAUUCACUUGAAAGGACUAUAUAACCAAGGCCUCUCCACCCCUGGGGAGAGAGGAGAAGAGAAGAAAUCAUUAUCAGAGGUAGCCAUCAAAGUUAGGGUUUAGAGCUUCUCUCCCACAGAGAAUUAGAAUUAGCUACUCCCUAAUCCUUCAAGUUUAGAGGUUUGAUUAGAUAGCAAUUAGAGAAGUAGAGCACUAUGCUCUGGAUUCGGAUCUUCGGUAAUAAAGAUUGGUAUUAUUCAUAUCUUUCUCUAAUUCUUUGUUCUAAUUGCAUUAUGUCUCUAAUUAUUAUGUUCUUAGUUUGCUCUAGUUCUAUAUUUGAUAUAGUUAUGAUUGAUAAUGAGUUUAUGUAUAAGUUUGCAAAGUGCUUAGCUCUUAACGCGAGGGAGUUAAGUGGUAGAUCACAUGUUGGCGUGGUGCUUAGAUGUUAUUUACCUGCAAAUGUAUCCUAUUGGCCGGGUCGUGUGGUAGUUCGCGAUAGUGACAGCUUCGUUGAUUCUUAUAUAGUCCACCCUCCGUUGAUAGGACAGGCAGAACUGGUAUUGUGGAGUAAGUCUUGCGAUGUUCUGAUUUACUUCAGCAAUGUUCCUUAUACAUGAAUGAAGAGUCUUUUAUGCUAUAUAUGAUCUUGUAGAUAACUAGAGUAGAUUAUGACUUAGUAGAUAGUAGAUAACUUAGAAUCCAUUCUCUAGCUAAUCCGACGUCACCUACAUAUAUGAGGAGUAGUCUAUUUUCUAAUCGCUGUGUUAUUUACUCUUGAACUUAUAAUUCAUUAUCAUUAUCUUUAUGGUUUACCCCCUGCUAAAGUAAGUGACUGUGUGACGAGUUUCUCAUUAGUAAUCAUGUUCUUGCAAGUUUAUCUCUAGUCUAUGCCUUGAUAGAUUUUGUCCUUAAUUUAAUUUCAUCCCUUUUGUUCUCUUAAGCAAAAUUAUAAAUAACGAUACCUGGAAUACUUAUCCUGGUGAAAUGCUACAAUGAGGUGUUUUAUCUGUGUGCUUGCGGAUAGAAUAGAUUAUUUUCUAGAGAGCUUUUACAUUUAUAAAUACCUUUGUACACUCUAGCACCAUGCUGGGGAUGACAACCUAGUAUUCAAGUGGUGUUAGCUAGUGUCAACAAGCAUUUCUGGCGCCGUUGCCGGGGAACAAAAGGGUAAUACAUAGGAACGGUAAGGAAAGUCAGGAAAUCAGUCAAGGUUAUUCACAUAAAAUAUUAGACUAGACUAUAGAGAAAUAAUUGCAUAAACAGCUACUAAGUGAGAAAUCAUAACAAGGCACCUCUGCUUUGGCAGGUUCACCCUGUUGUUUUUCUAUGUUUAUAUUUUUAUACAGGGUAUAUCAGGAUUGACUUUGGGUACAUUCAACUCUUCAUCAUCAGAACCAAAGCAAUCAAGAGAAGAAGAAGCUAGCUACCAAUUGCUAAAGCUAUGGCACAGAAGACCCUACAAGAAUUCUCUGCUCCAAGUCUUGAGAACAUUCCAACUGGUCCAAGAUUUGCAGUAGAAGGAGUACCCGAGUUUGAGCUCAGGUCAAGCCUCAUCAAUUUGGUGCAAGCUACACAAUUCAGUGGAAAGGCACAUGAAGAUGCUAGUGCACACUUGCAGAAUUUCUUAGAAAUUGGAAGCACAAUCCACAUCAAUGGAGUUGACAAAGACGUCAUACUACUUCGCCUUUUUCCAUUCUCACUAGAAGGAAAAAGCAAGGAAGUGGUUCUACACUCAUCAAGAUAACAUCAACAACUGGACGAACUUGUCAGAUGCCUUUCUAUCAAAGUUUUUCCCUAUAGGCAAAAUAACUGCCUUAAGAGGAAAUAUUGUCAGUUUCCAACAGCAGAAGACAGAAACCAUUCAAGAAGCAUGGGAGCGUUUUCAAGAAUACAUAUCAGAUUGUCCUCACCAUGGAAUGGCCACAUGGUUACUUAUGCAGACCUUCUACCAUGGAUUAACCCAGAAGGCUCGUGAGUGCCUAGAAGCAUCUGCUAAAGGAUCAUUCUUGGAGCUUACAAUUGGAAAAGCAGAGAUACUUUUGGAUAAGAUAGCAGAAAACCAAAGCUGGUUCCAAGAUGAAGCUCAACAAUGUCAUCAAACUGAAGAAAUACCAGAAGAAGUAAAAGCACUAUCAACCAAGAUGGAAAAUUUGCUCCAUUGGAUUGACCAGAGGGCCAAGUUCAAAGAAGAUCAAAGGGCCAUUGAGACAGCAUACAAAUAUCAACCUACCUCGAGUCAACCCAAUAGCAAAGGUAUGAAUGCAGGUAAUACUUUCAAGCAACUUUCAUUAAAAGAGAUAAUUGCUAACCAAAAUUAAUGAUGAAGUUAAACAAAGGCUAGAUACAAAUGAAUCAUCUCUAAAAGAUAUACACAAUAAAAUGGAUUUUCUACUAACUGCCUUUGAUGAGCAAAACACUCUUAAUAAGAGGGUAGAGCUUAAAUUAAUAAAGUUAGCUGUUGCACUGCCUGUUGCUACUAACAUUGAGCAGGUAAAGAACAUAACUACUGGAGGAGGCAAAGCCACCAGGGAUCCCCCAUACCCAAAAGAGAAACAAAGAACAUCAGCACCAGUGCAACCAGUAGUGAUAGAAGAAGAAAGCCUAGUUGAAGCAGAAGAUCUGCUGCAACCACCAAGAACUGGAGAAAUGAGAAAAGAUUUUUACGACACCAACUAUUUGCCAUUUCCCAGAAGAAACAGAGGACUGCAGUCGGAUGAGCAGUUUGGUAAGUUUGUAGAGGUCAUUCAGAAAUUAUAUGUCAACAUACCUCUACUUGAUGCCAUAGAGGUACCCACAUACGCAAAGUACAUCAGAGAUAUUCUUAACAAGAAGAGACCACUGCCCACCACUGAGGUUAUCAAGCUGACAGAAGAAUGUAGUGCGGCUAUCCUCAAUAUACCACCAAGGAAGAAGGAAGAUCCAGGAUGCCCCACUAUUGAUUGCUUGAUCGGAAACCAACACUUCAAUGCACUUUGUGAUCUUGGAGCAAGUGUCAGUGUGAUGCCAGCAUCAGUCUACAAAAAGCUUGAGCAUACAACCCUAGAACCAACAUCAAUGUGUCUACAACUAGCAGAUCAAUCGGUUCGACACCCAUUGGGCAUCGCCGAGAACAUUCCAGUCAAGAUCAGAGAUUUCCUGGUGCCAGUAGACUUCGUAGUACUGGACAUGAGUCCUGACUCAAAUGUGUCCAUCAUCCUUGGAAGGCCAUUUCUGAGCACUGCCAAUGCCCAUAUUGAUGUCGGGAAGUGAGAAAUCAAGUUCAACAUAAACGGAAAAGAAGAACACUUCACAUUCAAACCCAGACCAGAGAGACCCUACAGUGAAGGAAGUCCAUGAAGAAGAACCACCGGAGACACCAUCUCCGGAGGAAGGAAAUUCAGAAGAUUAAAAGAUUUGGAGGUCCAGCUUGGGGGACCUAAAAAUCCCAAACCCUCGCUGGGAGGUAAAUCGAUAUUUAUCCACAUUGUUUAAAUUCUUGCAUAAUUAAUUCUUGCAUUAGUCAUAUAUACUCAUAGCAUUAUUAUAAUAAUAAUAAAGCCCCAUAUAAAUAAUAUUUGUGGUGUGUUACAACCCAUAUUUAUUAAUUAUUGUGGAGGCACAAAAAUAUUUUUCCAUUAUCAUUUCAAAUAAGUUUUAGUUCUCAUAGAUUUUCCUGCAUUAUAUUAUAUUAUAGCAACCUUCUAGAAGCAUGACCCACAGUCCUUGGGUCCCACAUGUCAUACACCACACCUCACAUACAUCCCAUCACAUUAUUUGAUCCACCAACAUAUCUCCACUCACCAGCACUUUUCCACCGACUAACCACCACCAUUGAUCUAUUAUUUUGCGUAAGAAUUAAGCAAGGGAGGGAGUGGAGAAAGGGCAGCCAGGAUGAGCACCACAAGUGGGCGCCCGCCAACCUACCAAGGGCGCCCGCCCUGCCCUUCCUUCCUCCUAUAAAUAGCCACCUUCUACCUCCAUCUUCUUCACACAAGCAUCCCAGAAAACCACGCAAGUUUCAGUUUCCAGAAAAAGAGCUCUUGUAGUGAAGUAAAGAGAGAGUAGAGAGGAAGAGAAGAGUGGGAAAGAAGUUGGUAGUUUUUGAGUGAGAGACUGAGUUUCACCUAGUAAGUAGUGAUCCCGCUGUCCAAGCGGAAGUAAAAGUUGUUGAGGGGGAGGUUCUGCCAAACUAAAAACUUGUCUUGAACGACUAACCCCUGGACUACUGACAUUUCAGACAGCUAACCACUAACAUUUUCUCUCACAUUUUUCCACUAGUUGUGUUUUUUCCAACUUUUGUCUUUAGGAUGUUUAAGAAGGUGAAGAACGCAGGGAAGGCUCUCAAGAACAUAGGUACAAGGAGUUCAUCCCGACACUCCUCACACCCAUCAGAAAUGAGCGUCGACCCAGCGCCCACACAAGCUCCGUCAUCUUCAUCUGAUCAGCAAGUCAAGGUCCUUCUCAAGAUAGGAGACCUUGGACUAAAGACCCAAAGGGAGAAGGAAGUCUACGAGCAACUAAAGAACAAAGAUUUCAUUCACACCCUACUCUUGAUCCAAUCUUACUACAAGAAACAGGUAUGGAUACUGAAUUCGACUUAAUUUUCCAGAUGCUAGGUUGGACAAAUUUUUGGAACAUAACUGAGCUAGGUUCUCGUCUUCUCACCCUCAAAUUUCUAUGCACUUUAUAAUAUUAUGAGGGGCUUCAGAUGUUCAAACAGGAGAUUAUGUUGUCUUGGAGAGAACUGAGCGACCAACUUGGUUUCUCUUCAAGAUGCAUCUUGAACAUUGACUCCGACCUACCCAAUUUUGAGAGACACCAGUUCUGGAGAGAAAUAUCUAGAGAUAAUUUUUAUAGUCAAGCCCGAACCAGUGACAUGGAACACCUCACUCUUACGAUGUUCCACAAAUGGCUUGGGUACAAUCUUUUCUAUCGUGAUGAUAUUAGAAAAGUAAGAGUAGGAGAUUUACAACUUUUAUAUGCUUCUAUUAAUAAAGUACCCACUUCACCUGUUCCACUUUUGGUUUCUCAUUGGCUUAGUAUACCUAGUCUUCAGGGACCAGUAGGAUGUACUUCACUUAUCACUCGUCUAGCCUCUAAUCUGUAUUUACUAGAAAAUUCAUCAUUGGACUUCAUAAAUGAGUUAAGAAUUUAUCAUGGCUAUGACACAUUUAGACAGGCUCGGAUGUUAAAGAAAGAGGGGAACAUAAUGUAUAUGCGAUAUGAUGAUAAAGGCAAGAUUCGGUUACCUAACCCGAACCUUGGCCUCUACGUUGUUCAAAAUUUUUUGAUUGAGAUUGCAGCAACACCAGUAAACCAGAGAGCUCCACAGCGAGUGGCAUCUGAAAGGAUCACCACCCACCGAGAACGCACCUGGUAAUAGAGCUGAUCCCACACUAGAAGAAGCAGUGCACCUGCAUUAUAGUGAUUACAACCCCCGAGUCCUUCGAGACCCAUGGGUUCGACAUGCACAACCACAAGAGCCAACACAGGAGACAUGGACGGAGAGCCAAGAUCACUAGUGGACAAACCCGACUUUUACAGGCAGGUACUCCACAGAUCCAUAUGGAGCUUCAGGAUCCAGACCUCCACCCCAAUUCGAUGCAGGACGAUACUCCGACGCCUCCAACGCUUUCACAAAUGACUACUACCAAGAGGCCAGCGCUUUCUUCAACCGCACCGACAACACUCUCCUUGACAUCCAGAACACGCAAGCAGAACAUGGAAGACUCCUGGAAGAACAACAAAAAUAGAACCAGGACCACACCACUGCAGUACAAGAGCUGAGACAAGAUACAACAACAAUGAACGACAACAUCACUACCAUGAUGCGAUUCUGGAACAUCGAAUAAAGACCGACAACAACAUCCAGCUUGGGGGAGUUCUUCCCCACUUUAUCAAGUAAGUUUUUAUUUACUCUUCUUAUUUAUUCUUUUCUAUUUUAGUAUUUUAUCUUAAAAAAAAUUAGAAAACCCAAUAAAUAUUUUCUUACUUUAAUUUACUGCAUUUUAUAAAUAUGAAAACAAAAUAAAAAGAGUGUGUAGACAAGUGUGCUUUAUUUUCUCUGUUAAGUUUAAUCUCUAGAAAAAUAAAAAGACCAAAAAGAUACAUGAUGGAAAUGAUGAACAGUUGCUCUGUUUGCUUACUUUCAAGUACCUAGCUUUUAUAUUAGAGUUCUUCCAGGAAUUAAUAAAACUAAAAUUACUAUCUAUGAGAAGCAUAAAACUAAAGUCUAGGUAAGAGAAAGGCAUGAUAUAAAGUUGAGUUGUUGUUUAUCUUGUUCCUACUACACUAUGUUCUGGAGAUUAGUUUUGAAAACUUACAAAUCACAUGAUUAGUUUCUAGCAUUACAAACUACCUACCACAGCCAUACUUGCUAUAACAUUUAUAAUCACAUUGAGUUUGAUCGAGCUGUGUAGACCCUUAGGAGCUUUUCAUGUGGUUAAAUUAAGAUAUUCACUUGCACACAUCCACUACACCAUCCAUUACCAUACAUUAUCACUCACUGUCCCAAGUAUUGUUAUUCUCUCUCUAAAAAAUUCAAUGCAGAAGAGGCAUGGGUUAUGCAAAAAAUAUGCGAGGAAAUAAAAAGGGGCAAGUGCCCGAAACCUCGAAAAAGAAAGAAAAAGAGUGAGACGAGAGGUAAAAAUGGACAAGUGUCCAGAGUAGAAUUAGGGGUACAAAGAUACCCACUUGAGCAGAAAAAAUGGACAAGUGUCCGAUAGUAGAAUUAGGGGUAUCUACUACCCACCUGAGAAAAGAAAAGAAAAAGAUAGCCCAUGUUCUCCCAAAGCAAAGAUCAAUGAAGAAGAGAGGUAGCAAUAUGAGGAGCAAUGAGAAGUAAGUUUUAUUAUUAUCACUUAUACAUUUUUACCAUCACUAUCAUUUACUCCACCACACAUGCACAUCUUGAUUUAAUUAUAUGCUGAGUUCCUUUGGAUCCAUGGCUCGAUUAGACAACAUAUGUAUGAGCUGUUUUUCACACCUAGGAGCUCCACUUAAAUAUUCCAUUAGCUAUAGGUAAAGUGACAUUUUUGGUAAGGAUCCACAAAUACCACAUAUAGAGAGACUUGAGAGAAUCAUUGCUGGGAACACUGAAUUUUAUUUUGAAAACUUAUGAAAAACUCUAGAAUAAAGGUGAAGUAUAGACAGGAGAAAUAGUGCUUGACUUAAUUAUUUUGCCUUUCGAUUACUUAAGACUUAGGUGCAGGUACUAAGCUCCAUGACACUUCACUCUAAUCUAGAAGAAUUUUUUAAAAAAGCAUGUGUGCCUGUCAGGAAAGAAAACAUCGAAGCAACUCCGGAUCCAUCUGAGUUUAGCUAUUUGCUCAGGGACGAGCAAAGGGUAAGCUUGGGGGAGUUUGUUGACGGUCCUUAAGUACUAAAAUUAAUCAUCAACUAAACAUGGAAAAGGAUCAAUAUGGACCAAACAUCCAGAAUUAGGGUUUUAUCUGACAGAAUUCCACGAGCUUUGGUGUUUAUCUAUUUCUGCAGGGGGUUAUCAGAAAAUAUGGAGAGAAUGCCCACAUGUCAUGUUUACAACGAGAUAAUUACGUGCCGCGUAAUUUUCCUCAAUCUAGAAGAGUCCAGAAGCCACGGGAACGAACGAGAAGACGAUCGGGCUCGGGGGCAGGGCGCCCGCCCACCCCCCUUGGGCGCCCGCCCAGGGUUAGAGUCCAAUGAGGACUCUCUUUCGGGACUAAACUCCACCGACCUAAAGGAUGAAUCUAAACCAUCCAAUCAAUGUCGGUUUGAUCCAACGGCCCAAAUUCACUUGAAAGGACUAUAUAACCAAGGCCUCUCCACCCCUGGGGGAGAGAGGAGAAGAGAAGAAAUCAUUAUCAGAGGUAGCCAUCAAAGUUAGGGUUUAGAGCUUCUCUCCCAUAGAGAAUUAGAAUUAGCUACUCCCUAAUCCUUCAAGUUUAGAGGUUUGAUUAGAUAGCAAUUAGAGAAGUAGAGCACCACGCUUUGGAUUUGGAUCUUCGGUAAUAAAGAUUGGUAUUAUUCAUAUCUUUCUCUAAUUCUUUGUUCUAAUUGCAUUAUGUCUCUAAUUAUUAUGUUCUUAGUUUGCUCUAGUUCUAUAUUUGAUAUAGUUAUGAUUGAUAAUGAGUUUAUGUAUUAGUUUGCAAAGCGCUUAGCUCUUGACGUGAGGGAGUUAAGUGGUAGAUCACAUGUUGGUGUGGUGCUUAGAUGUUAUUUACCUGCAAAUGUAUCCUAUUGGCCGGGUCGUGUGGUAGUUCGCGAUAGUGACAGCUUCGUUGAUUCUUAUAUAGUCCACCCUCCGUUGAUAGGAUAGGCAGAACUGGUAUUGUGGAGUAAGUCUUGCGAUGUUCUGAUUUACUUCAGCAAUGUUCCUUAUACAUGAAUGAAGAGUCUUUUAUGCUAUAUAUGAUCUUGUAGAUAACUAGAGUAGAUUAUGACUUAGUAGAUAGUAGAUAACUUAGAAUCCAUUCUCUAGCUAAUCUGACGUCACCUACAUAUAUGAGGAGUAGUCUAUUUUCUAAUCGCUGUGUUAUUUACUCUUGAACUUAUAAUUCAUUAUCAUUAUCUUUAUGGUUUACCCCCUGCUAAAGUAAGUGACUGUGUGACGAGUUUCUCAUUAGUAAUCAUGUUCUUGCAAGUUUAUCUCUAGUCUAUGCCUUGAUAGAUUUUGUCCUUAAUUUAAUUUCAUCCCUUUUGUUCUCUUAAGCAAAAUUAUAAAUAACGAUACCUGGAAUACUUAUCCUAGUGAAAUGCUACAAUGAGGUGUUUUAUCUGUGCGCUUGCGGAUAGAAUAGAUUAUUUUCUAGAGAGCUUUUACAUUUAUAAAUACCUUUGUACACUCUAGCACCAUGCUGGGGAUGACAACCUAGUAUUCAAGUGGUGUUAGCUAGUGUCAACACAUACCUCGCCCUGAGCGAAUCCUAGACUUCCUUCCCAGUCUUCUUGUCGGCAACUUGCAUCAGGAUGUCAUCUGGCAGACACUACAGCAGAUGAGCUUUCGCCUUCUUUUCCUUUGCCUUAACCGCCGCCUCGGUCGGCCCUAAUUGGGAUGUCCCCUCCGAUGGCUCCAUCACCUCCCACACCCCUUGAUCUUCCAUGAUUGCUUGGACGCAAAUGCUCCAACUUGUGUAAUUGGUUGUUGUGAGUGCCGGAUAUGGGAUCUGGUCACCUCGCCCUCUGCCGUCGCCACGCUAGCUACGCUCACUCAUGAUCUAUGAACAAGAGAUGAUUAGCGAGUGAUUUGGCUCUGAUACCACAUGUUGAUUUUAGGAACACAAUCACAAACGCUAGAUGAUUAUAUUGGCUAACCUAUGAACACUGGAUCGCAAGAAUUGAACUCAGACACGUUGGGAACCGCCAGGGUGAUAGCGCCCCUUUUUGCUUUCUCCAAGUUCAGAUACAAUAGUAUUUACAAGCAACACUCUGUGAUAACACACUCCCUAAGUGUCCAGCCUUUUAUACCAAGGCUUACAACUCACGCUUACAACACAGAACACAACACCGCACAUGAUACAAACGAGGUAAAAUGUAAUUGCCUGCUUGAGUGUCUACUGUGUCUGCGGUCACCACGCUAGCAACUGCUCCCGUGUUCCCGGUCACUUAGAAUUAAAAUGACCCCCAGCUCCCACUCUGCUGUCAUUCACCACAUCACACACAUCCCACAACAUCAGGCUUACACUCAAUAGCUGUCGGGAGCAGACGUGAGUGAGCCGCCUUUGCUGCUGCCGGUCACGGCCCCGCUGGCCAUGACGCGAUGUAGCUCUCGUCCUUCAUCUUAUUCUUCACCACCUCAUGCACCAGGCUCAUGUCCUGUUCAUCCAGAUCCAGCGUCUAGGGGAUCAUCGCUUUCUGAAUGAACAAAUAAAGGAAGCGGAGGAAAAAAGAGAAACACAUCGGAAGUUGAAAGCCCUAAUUUUGUUUUUGGAUAAUUGAUGAAACCCUAGUACUAACCUCUAUACUAAGUGUGUGUAGACUUACUGAGGUUGAUACGUGCCAAGUGAUGGAGCAAGUGAUGAUCAUGGUGAUGAUGUUGAUGACCACAAGAUGAUCAAGUGCUCAACUUAGAAAAAAAGAUCGAGAAAAACAAAACCCUAUGGAGAUCAAGACAAAGGUAUUGCUUAGGGUUUUAGUUUUGGUGAUCAAGACACCAUAGAGGGUGUGAUUACAUUUAGGAUAGAUAGUCAUACUAUAAAGAGGGGAAUUCUUUGGCUAAGCUGUUAUCAAGUGCCACAAGGUGUCAUUGUUCAUGUGCAUGCAUUUGGAACCUAGUAAGCUAACUUAACUUCUUCGAAGAAAAUGAUUGUGAAAAUGCUAACACACGUACACUCGUUGGUACACACUUGGUGGUGUUGGCACACUUUGAGAAGGAGGUGGAGGUUGAAGGGUAGAGAGGGGUUUAGGUUCCUCUCUAUUACGCCGAUGGAAGUAUUUUGGAAGUAACACUCACCCGACGCAGUGCACAGAUGCACCGGGUGUCUAACCAGAGAGAGCAGAGUGCACCGAACGCUCUGCAUCGGACGCAAGAGAUCUAUUGUGUGUGUGUCCGGUGCUUGUCAGGGUCAGUACGGUAGACUGUGAAGUUUUCUGACAAAGCACCGGACGCACUGGAGUGAGUCCGGUGCUCAGCGUCCGGUGUGGGAUCUUUUUGCAAACCUCCCUACGUAUGAGACCGACGAGCACAUGACAAGUCCGGUGCUCAGUGUCCGGUGAUCGAGUGUCUUUGCAAUCCUCUCUGCGCACGGGUCCGGUGGUCUGCUGGUGUAGCACCCGGUUUUAAGAACAAAACCAGAUACACACCAUAUGUGAGCCCAGGAAGUCAAAUCUCACAUAUAGCCACAAAUAGGGGUAAUAUCAAUAGACAAUGCUUAUAUAUAUAACGUACUUAGUAUAAAAGAUAUAACCUUAGUCAGCAAACAGCGGAAAGACACUCCGUUCUUCAGGCGAAAGCUCCAAAUCCACACGGACAACUGACUGGUUGAGCACAAGCCUAAACUCUUCUCCAACUUGCAAGCUGGUACCCAUCUGGGAUUUUUAUCCAAAUAAAAUGUAAAGGCAAGCGUAAGUACAUCUCGUACUCAGCAAGAAUAACAUAGGGUUCAUGAGGCUCAAAGGCUAGACACUGGUUUUACUGCAUGUAGCUUUUAGUUGUCAUAAUUUUAGCAUAUGAGUAGCAUCAAGUUGUCAAGACCCAUAAUAAACUCAUGAUCAAGUAAAGUGAAUAAAGAAUAGCAUAAACAACAUAUUAACAAUAAUAAUAUUAAUAACUUGCCAUUAGUGAUCAUUUAUUCUGUAUUGGUCCAAGGCCGCUCGUGACCGUGAGCACGGCUGAUAUACCAGUUUUACACUCUGCAGAGGUUGUACACUUUCACUGUGAGUCAUGAUUUACCCUUUCGCCCGAGGCCCGUCGACCUCUUAGCCCACUACCAAGGAAGACCGGCAGGGUUCACUAUGAAGCCUUUCAAAGGUUCGUCUAACAAGUUAGGGCCGCUUGGUUUCGUUAGUCAGUCCGUGUGACUCACCCGCAGGAAUCCACAGUCUGCUAUCCCCCAUUUGCGCCACAAGGGUAACCACUAACAAGCUAGAAAAGGUCCUCAUACUGAGCUAAAGCCAGAGCCAUGUAGCCCUCACAGUUGUACUGUAUGUCCCGGAUGGUCAGAUACAGAUAAGUCCUUAUGGAGAGAAACUAGAGCACCAUGAGAUAGCCCAAUGCUCCAGCCCUCUUUUCCAAAGUUGCUAAAAAGUCAUCUUUUAACGUUUAUUGCAUAUUCCAUUAAUCAAAUUACAAGAUCAUGGUUUAGUGGAGCACUAGCAUAAGCUACCCAAUGCAAAACCAUAGGUGACAAGGUAUAAGGUCAAUACUAAGAAAUCCUUAUCAAGGAGACACAUGCAAUAUGAAUUGUGUGAUUAAAGUUAUUAGGAAACAAGGAUGAUCCCAUGCUAUACUUGCCUUGAAACUCAGAUCUUCUUUUAGUUCUAAACCUUCCACAAACUGCUUCUUGAUCACCACGUAAAAGCUCACCGUCUAAACUCAGUCAUCACAUCAACAACAAUCAUCCAGAGGCAAUCAUACAAAGCAAACAACCUAUAAUUAGAACAAUACACCAACAGUAGAAAAUAACGAUGAAAAGUUUAUAUAACAAAACUACAUCGCUCUACGAUCACACAGACGUAAAGUUCACGAAAAUCGAAGCUAUAACGAAAAAGAUAUGGAUUUUAUAAGAUUUCCUUUAAUAAAAUAAUAGAUUAAAUCUAGAUUCAGAUUUAAAAAGUUGAAAACUUGUACUACAGUAGCAUGAGGCUAUAGUUUACGCGAAAACGAAUCUAACGAAAUUUGAACGGAUCAAAACGGAGUUAAAACGAAGAAUAUAUGAAUUUUCUAAGAUUUUCUUUAGAAAAACAAUUAAUUAAUUGGGUCACGGAAUUAAAAAGUUUCAAACUGAGAAAACAAUUUUACUAAUAUAUAGAUCUUUUGAAUACAAGACCAACGCAAUUUGAACGAGUCAAAACGGAAUUAAGAGGAAUAUUUUAUGUGUAAAACAAAUCCAGUGGCAAACUUGUAAUUUCCUGAAAACGUAUUUUGAAUAAACCAGCACGGGGUACGUUUUUAAACUGUGAAAACGUAUUUUGAAUCAGAGCAGACGGGAAUACGCUUUCGAAGUUAGGAAGCGUAUUGUGGAAAUCCGCAAAGGACUGCGGGUUAAGACUUUAAAAAAGCACGGGGGGUUUUCUGAAAAAUAGCCGGCCGAAGGGGUACCCUUCAUCUGGGGCCGUUGGAUUUCAAAGUGACGGCUCAGAUUAGAUCGCAGGGGGGGUUUCACGCCGGCCGGCCGGAGUUCGACGGCCGCGGCGGCUCCAUGGCCGGAGUUGGCCGGAGUUAGGCAAUCGGGCGCUAGAGAGCGGUAGGGAGCAAACCGAAUACACCGGGAUGCUCAGGAGCUUGUCGCGAACUCACCUGAGGCAAGAACCGCAACGAAGAAAGGCCGGCUCGGGCACGCGACGACGAACGGCGGACGGCGACCCCUGGAACGAGUUCGGCGAGCGUUAGCAAGGGAUACAAAACAGUAAAGCACAAAAGGAGGGUCUCCGCGACUUCGCACGAUGAAAACGAAGCCCGGCACGUCGCUCGCGGAGGCUCGAAGGCGCUGCAGCGGCGGGUUGGUGAUGCGGCGGAUCUCGGCGGCGAUUUAGGCGAGCUUGGACGCGUUGGCUGCGGCUCGGGUUGAAUUGGGGGUUAGCGGAGCUUCGGGGCGGUAUAUAAAGCACGGGAAUCGGGCGAAAUCGGGACUCCUCGCGCGAAUCGCGCGCACGGUUGCAGUGCCGCUCGUGUCCGGCUCGGACUCGAGGUAGAAGAUGAGCCCGACAGGUGGGUCCCACCUGGCAGUGACGCAAAGGCGCGGGACCCUGCGGUCAUCCACUGUGGCGAAGGGGAGAGGAGGCGCGCGGCGCUCAGCUGCUGGGCCGGAUGCUGGUGCUUGGGCCGAAACCGAGAAGAAAGGGGGAAGGGGGGGGACAGGCCGUGGGGGGAGAAAAGGAUUGGGCCAAGCCCGAGACAGAGAGGGAUAAAGGAAAUUCUUUUCCAUUUUCUAAAUUAUGUUUCCCUUUUUCUUUUAAAACAAAACACAUUUCAAAACCAAAUUUGAAUUCCUUUUAAACUUUAGUCAAAACCACUCAUCACAAUAAACCCAAUGCAACGGCAUGCAUGCUCAAACAAUUUGUUAACUCCUAUAGUAAAUUUUAAUUCAAAGAAAAAUAUUAUUUUUCCUAUAUUUCAUGGGCACAAAAAUACACAAUUUAACAUUUUAUCCUGUUUUGGAAAAUUGCAAAUUUUGGGGUGUUACAGCUGGUGACCGUUAGAGAUCGACGCGCAAAAGUAAAAAGAGGGACACGUGGCCAUUUUCUUUGCACUGGACGCAGGGCUUGAGCAUCUGGUGGCUCCCUGCAGAGCGUCCGGUGACCCCAAGCUCAGCCUAGUGAAAGAGCCAACGGCUCUAUUUAUUUGAGGGGCUUAUAAAUACGUGUUUGCCGGCUUGGGGCUCACUCUCUUGGCAUUCUAGUAUACUUGACAUUCUUGUGAGCCUAAGCAAACUCCUCCCACUCAUCUUCUUCAUAGAUUAUUCAUCUUUGUGAGAUUGGGAGUGAUUCCAAGUGUAUUUGCUUGAGUGAUUGCAUCUAGUGGCACUUGAGGAUCGAUUUGGCUGCGGUUUUCUUGUUACUCUUGGUGGUUGCCGCCACCUAGAUGGCUUGGAGCAGUGGAGGAGCAUUGGCACGAGUUGGUGAUUGUUCGUGGCCAUCUCCCGGUGAUUGUGAGGGGUUUGUGCCUACCCCGGUGGAGAGCCGUAGGCAACUCUAGUGGAUUGAGCGUGUCAUUGAGCUACCUCACUUGUGGGUAGGUUCUUGUGGUGUCAUAGUGAGGACGAGGUUCGUGCUACACCUCUUAGCCGCCGAACCACCAAGUGUUGGUCGACACAACGGGGACGUAGCGUGCCGGCAAGCAUGUGAACCUCGGGAGAAAAAUCGUUGUCUCUAUUGUGAUUGAUUGGCAUUUUCUCGGUGCUUGAUUGUUUAUAUAUUGGUGAUUGGUUCAUCCCCUACACGGCGGUAUAAACAUCUCUUCCUCUCCAUUUACUUACCGCAAAGUAGUGUAACUAGUUUAGUUGCUAGUAUUGCCUUUUGUAGCAUACUUCACUAGUGUAGCUUGUAGUGACAUAGUUUGUGUGUGCCUAGUGAUCAUAUCAACUAGAAUUGUUGUUUAGGUGGCUUGCAAACACCCCAUUAGAGUUAGAGUAAAAAGCUUCGCUUUGUUAUUUACUAACCUCUUGCUCUAGUGAGUUUGUAGAAUUUUCAAAUAGGCUAUUCACCCUCUCUCUAACCAUAUUAGGAUCUUUUAGAUGUCCAGAGAAUUGAUCUGAAUGCCAUUGUCUGAUGAUGAACACUGAGCAACGGCACCGGCACGAGGAAGCACCGGUCGGGCGGCGGCGAGUACAGCUCGGGAUGACUAGAAAAAACAGCCGCGACGCCAUCUGCUGGGCACGGCUCAGCUGGCCGCGAGAGGGGAAAAGAGAACGAUGGGAUCCACAAAAGUCUAGAAUAAUAUAUGAAACUAUGCCAUGAAAUUACACACUAUGGAGAAAGAUAUAUUUGAAGUUAAGUUUCACAUCUUGAAACCCGGAAGGUGAAACCUUUCAUUGAGACUGGUCUAAGAGAGUCUAUUUCAUUCGCAGUUACCAAUACUGUCACGUCUUGAAAAACAGUCGAAUGAAACACAGACUGUCCUUAUAUAUGACGACUCGCCUGUGCCCACCAGCCUGCAACCACGCCUCCUCACACGCGCAGCAAGGUCGUCGAGCGGCGGCCGGUCGGCCGGUGUCAUGUGCUGUGGUGUGUAGGGGGCCGAUCGAUCGAGACGGGUGGCUAGCUAUUAGCUUGUUGGACGACAACCGGCCAUGCAUAUGCAACGAGGUGGUCCAGGUCCAUCCAUGGCGAUGGCGGCGGCAACGACGACCGUGGUUGAUCGGGUGGUGUUCGCCCUGAACGGGCAGAGGUACGAGGUGGCCGGAGUCGACCCGUCGACGAGGCUGCUAGAGUUCAUCCGCACCCGGACGCCCUUCACGGGCCCCAAGCUCGGCUGCGGCGAAGGUACGUAACGUACAGUGCACGCAUGCUAGCUAGCUACAUGCAUAGAGAGAUUGUUAAAUAUACUCUCUCUAGUUUAAAAUAAAAGUUAUUCUGGUUUCUAAGAAGUUAAAUUUUUAAACUUUGACCAAUUAUAUAUAAAAUAAUAUUAAUAUUUAUAAUAUAUAAUUAGUAUUAUUAGAGAGAUUGUUAAAUAUACUAUCAUAAUAAAUUUAUUUAGAGAUAUAAAUGUACACGUAUUUUCUAUAAGUUAGUUAAAGUUGAGAAAGUUUAACCAGAGCAUAUCCCAUAACAUCAUCUAUUCUGGGGCAAUGGAGAGAAUAAUAUUUUCUACUAUGAUUAUAACUAAUGGUAAGUACAGCUAACGCAAUCGGAUAGGACGUCUCAUGGGUAAGCUAAAAUGUCAUGUAACCACAUACGGUCAAGUUAGCUUAAUGAACACUUAGAAUUUAGCUAAUGCUGACGAGUGUGGAUCUUCUCACUGUUUCUCAUCUUGCUUGCUUUGUUGAGGCCAUCAUUCAAACAAAACUUUAGAUUGUAAUCGGAUAGGACGUCUCAUAUAUAUAGGUAGGCUAAAAUAUCAUGUAACCACGUACUGUCUAAUCAUGGAUACAAAAUUUUAGAUUGCAAUAGAAUAGGACGUGUCAUGGGUAGGCUAAAAUAUCAUGUAACCACGCACCAUCAAUUAGUCCCCGCUGCCCUCGCUCUUGAACCCACAACGUCCUUGAUGUUGAUCGGCCAUAUGGAUAGCUAGCUAGCUGUUGAAUAAUGCUUGCUAGGCCGUAGAUAGCUAGCUUGACUAAUAUAAAAGUAUGUUUCGUUGUAGGUGUUAAAGUUUAACGGGUACUAUAGCAUUUUUGUUUUAUUUGACAAUUAGUGUCAAUUAUGGACUAAUAUAUUAGCCUCAAAAGAAUUUUCUUGCAAAUUAAAUGCAAACUGUGCAAUUAGUUAUUUUUUAUCUAUAUUUAAUAGUUGAUGCAUGUGUCCAAACAUUUAAUGUAAUAUGAGUUAAAGUUUACCGACACAAACCGAACGAAGCCGAUGACAAGAUGUUACAGUCCAGGAACUAUCUGCUUCAGUGUCACUCUCAUUGGACGACCCGUUGUUUUCAAAAAGACUAGUAGAUUUGAGUUUAGUCCAACUUUUAAGUUUAACUAAGUUUAAAAAACAAUAUUAAUAUUUAUAUCUCUAUAAAUAGAAAUAUAUUUCAUAUUAUGAGUAUAGCACGCUAACUUGUUUUCUAAGCAGCAUUUUCGUCAAAGUGUAAUUGUAGUGGGCUAACUAGUUUUAAGCAUCAUUUUUCUGACAAAGCCUGUAAACUUUCUUGGCCUGUAUUUUACAGCGAUUUGGGUUCCAAAGACCCUAAAACUUUAAUUUUUAUUAUCCGUUUACUUUCUUCGAUUGUGUUAUCAUUGAGAAAAUAUUUUACUCUGAGUUCAAACACGUACCGACAUACGAUCGUGUUGUGGGUGAUCAUAAAUGGAUUAAUACGCCUUAUUUGGAUGUAAUUAGAUUCACAAUAAUCCAUAUAUGUCGAAGUGGAAAGGUGUGUAACUACUUGAGCUAAAUUCUACACUAAUCCACUCUAAUACGUGUGAAUUGAGAUGAAUUCAAUAAGGCCUGAACGACACAUAUACGUGGAUAUGCCGUAUUAUGAGAUGCAAAAUAUGAUGUGGCCGGUGGUGGCUUGAUUUUGAGUAUUAAAUAACAAAACUAUCUUCGGAGAUAGCGAUUAGGCUAUAUAUAGUAGCUUACUUCAUGUGGCCAGCCCAACUCAAGUUUUAUAUAUAUCCUAUUUUUCUUGUUAUCAGUGCCCACAGAUUUUCUUGUGGGGUGGCUAUAAAUUUUCCUGUCGGUUCCUAUGACAGGGAUAUAAAUCUAAACCUGAUGCGGAUGAAUUCUCUUGUUGAGGUCAUAAGUUUAUAAUUAACUUAUUGCUCAUUUUGAACUAUUUACCUACUCGUCUUAUAAAAAGCUCUAUUAGCUAGCUUAUAAAGAGCUGGUUUGGAUCUAUUACACUAAUAAUUUACUUCCACCAUUCUAAAUUAUAAGAUAUUUUAUCUUUUCUAGAUUCAUAGCUGCGCACCUAGAUAUAAGUUGUGUCUAGGUACAUAGUAAAACUAUGUAUCUAGAAAUAUCAAAAUAUCUUAUAACAGAAUGAUGAAAGGAGUAGUAGCUAAAUUAGCGGUUGGUCAUCUAAAGAGGUCAGCUAAUUAUUACAAGUGGAGGUGCUAACAAUUAGUUUAUUAGUUGGUGAAGGGAUACCAAUAGGUGCUAACAGUUCAUAUACACCUUCCACCAAGUAUCCAACCACCUAUUAGUAGAUGGAUCUAAAUAGGCAACUGCUAAUAGCUUUUUAGCUAUUACUAGCUAACUAUCAACACUAAUGGACCCAAAUAGGGCCUAAGAAUCCAAAUGGGACUGAACCAAUAGGUUAGCUAAAAGCCCUACUAAGAAAAAGAUAUUAACUAUUUUCAUUACUAUGGAAACUAUUUUUUAGAUGUGUCUUUCUUUUAGUCUAGAGACAACUGCAUCAAGAAGUGUCUUGAAAUUGUUUUUUUCUAGCCACCUCUAGAAAUGACCUCUACUUUAAAGGUGGCUAGAAAAUCCAGCUACCUCUAAAAAUGCCUUUCUAGAGAGGCACCUAGACUUUACAACUGUAUUUAGAAACAGAUCUAAUCUAUUGAAAAUUUGGCUUGCCUCUACAACAUAGUCAAAUUCUUAUCUUUUUUCAAACCUAGUCGGAUGAAGGUAAACUUCAUAUCAUAGUUGUAGUACUUAAAGAGAUCUACAAUUUUGUGUUGGCUACUUUUCAUUUAAAAUCAAUUAAGACCUAGCAAUUAUGUAUCAAUUUUUUAGAAUUUAGAAUUCAAUGUUUUCAAAAUUUUAAAAUAACCUCGAAUGGAGAAGUGGCCCACACAAAAGUUAUAAUCCUCGAAGUAAUCUGGAACUUUCUAAUUGACAACUUUUCAUUUGGAAGCAUUUAGAGCCUAUAAAUCUUACUUUAGUUUUUUUAGAAUUCCAAAUCCAUUUUUUUAAAUUUUUCUAAAGAUAUCAGAUGGAGAAAUGAAAUAAACCAAAAUUAUAGUAUCCAAAGAUAUUUACAUCUUUACAGUUGAUUACGUUUUUCAUUUAGAAUCAUUUAGGACCCAAUUUUUUUAAGUCUACAACUUUUUUUUGAAUUUUUAAAAUGACAUCAGAUGGAGAACAAUCUAAUCUAAGGAAACCCAAAAUUUGUAGUUGACUACUUUUCAUUUGAAAUCAUUUAGGCCCCAAGAAUUAUGUUUUAAGUUUUUAGAUUUGGACUGCCAUUUGUUUGAAUUUUUCAAGUGACUUUGGACGGAAGAAAAAUAAACUAAAGCUAUAAAACUUUUAAGUUCAGUUUGUUUCAUUUAGAUUAGUUUGAUGUGUCUAGUAGUUACCCCUAUAGCAGGGGCAGAUAUGGGAGUCAGGCUAGGGGGUUGCAGCCCGGACUACAACCCAAAAUUCCUAGAAGUAGGUUUUCCGCAGCCCAUGAAAACCCCUGAUGUCUAGCCCAAUUUAUCCCAUCAGCUAGAAACAACCUUUACUAAUUAGUCCCCUCCCUCCCUUAUGGCGUUUCUAGAUCCAACCUUGCGCUAUAGUAAAUAUAAAAGCAUUGUAUCAACUACGUAGUUGUGAAUUUGAUCCCCAAGACCGCACGCAUCUGUAAUUUGCCCGGUGGACUUCUCCUAGGGGAAAUUUUUGCUAUUUUUUUAAUCCGUUUUGCAAAUUUUGUAAACAAUUUCUAAAAAGGAGACUUAUAUUAAAUCUUGCUAUAGUACAUCCCAAAUUACACAUAAAAAGUUUUGAAACAAAAAAUACAUAAUAUUGUAUCAAAUUCUUCUAUCAUCUUCUUCCUCACAUAGUAGCAAUCACUGAAGUUAUCACAAGAAACACGAUCCCGACCAAAAAUCAUCUAAUUUUGGGGGAAGAUUUAUUGGACUAAACCCGGAGAGGAAGAGGGGCCUAGGAGGAGCAGCAGCGGUGGAAGCAAGAGUUGCAGCCACAGCGGGUUGUUUCUUGGUGGUGUCAGCUUCCGUGAUCAGGGGCGGAUGUAUAUAGUGAACUCUGGGUGCGUCCUCACCACAAAAAAUUGAAAAAACAAUGGUAACGUCUAAAUUUUCACCAUAUUCGUAUGCUCACGAUAAAAGUGUAUGUGCCCACAAGGCAAGUGCACCCUCUUUGAAUUUGCUUUAGCUCCACCACCGUCCAUGUAAAGGCAAGUCAAAGGCUAAAGGCUAUAGGAUUUUUUACUACCACUAGAAAUUGAUCUCUAGGGUUUGUAGUGACGAUCUCUAAAAAUAGGUUAUGAACAAAGAAUAACUUACCAUACGAAGAAGAGAGGGAGUACCAGGCUCACAUUGACAGACGAAAAAGCAGCGUGACCACAUCUCAAUGUCACAGUUAUUCAAUCCAUAUAUCUUUUUCCAGUUUCCUUUCUAGUUUUUCCUUAAAUAAAGGAAAUUUAUUUUACAUCAUAUUUAGUACUCCCAUAGUCUGAAUUAUAAGAUGUUAGUUUUUCUAUGUAUCGAGAAAAGCCAAAACGUCAUAUAAAAUUACAUUCUAAAUUAUAAGGCAUUGUGAUUUUAUUUAUCCUAUUCUUCCAAAAAUAUGAAAAUAGCACGGUAAACAAAUAGCAUGGGAUAACAUUUAUUUAUCCCUCAAUUUAUCCAUGUGUAGGGUGGGGGAGUUGUUAGCACUAUAGUCCAUGGAUCUUCAUAGGCUAAAGACAUACGCAUAAGAGCAUCUCCAGCAUUGAAGGUUUAAGAAAUAAAAACACAGGUUUAGUUCACUCCCUCAGCCCUCAUUUCUAGGGACUCUCCACCUAGCCCCUACUUUGCAGUUGAAGCCGUUUCUCACCCAUGACUCCUCUGCUUCGGCAUGAGAUCUUGCUCUUCCUGUCUACACUACCCCACUUCUCGUGGCGAGCCUUUGCGGCAGUGAGGUCCUCCCCCGGUGACUCGGCGAGCGGCUCCCACGGCUACAGGAGUAGAUCCCUACAAGGUCACGGCGAGCGGCUCCCACUAUUGCGGGAGCAAAUCCCUAUGAGGUCGCGGUGAGCAGCUCAGCUUUCCUGGUGAGCCCCUAUCUCCAAUGAGCGGCUCAAAUCCCAGCAAGGCCGCUACAAGAUGUGCCCCAACACGAGAGGGUCUUACAAAUGGCUCCCUAGUGGGCCCCUGCGACUGUGGAUCCCGGCGAGGCCAUGCCGUGGCAUGCCCCUAUAGGAGCGGCUCCCCAGGCAUGGAGUGUCCCUGCGGCCUACGGGAGAGGGUCUGACAAGCAGCCUCGAUGAUAUUGAGGAUGGAGAAUGACAUGUAGAUUCCUUGUGUCAAUGUCCCUCAAAAAGGAUUUGAUGUCUCUAAUUUGAGGGCUUCUAUUAGAGUAGAUGAGAAGAUUAGGCCUUCAAAAAUGAGGGGAAGUCUUAAAUUCAAAGUAGGCUUUGAUUUGAGGGCUAGUACAGGAGAUGCUCUUGCGUAGCACAUUGUCUUUGAAAUUGUUUGGAUAUAAUCGUAUUCGAAUCAAUCCAGAUCAGGAUACAAACUACUCUCUUCAUUCUAAAUUUUAAAAUAUUUUAUUUUUUAGAUACAUAGCUUUAUCUAUUUACUUAAAUAUACACUAUAUCUAAAUGAUGAUGAUGAUGAUAGUAAUAGUAAUAGUAAUAGUAAUAGUAAUAGUAAUAGUAAUAGUAAUAGUAAUAGUAAUAGUAAUAGUAAUAGUAAUAGUAAUAGUAAUAGUAAUAGUAAUAGUAAUAGUAAUAGUAAUAGUAAUAGUAAUAGUAAUAGUAAUAGUAAUAGUAAUAGUAAUAGUACUAGUAGUAAUAGUAAUAGUACUAGUAGUAAUAGUAAUAGUAAUAGUAAUAUGUCUAGAAAACUGAACACCCUAUAAUUUAAAACGGACGAGGUACCUAAUUUUUCAUCUUAAUUGACUCCAAUAUAUAUGGACCAAGAUAAAUACAUAUACAUCCAAACAACGUCUCAAUUUAUUUAAGUUUAGUUUUAAAAGUAAUAUAGAGUUAAUUAUAUAGUUAGUGAACCUCCAACUUUAAAGCAUACUUAUUUAUAAUCGGAAGAGUUAAAUACACGAGGGACCUCUAAACUUAUCAAAAGCUGCCACUUUGGUAAACAAACUUUAAAAAACAUAUAUCUAAAUCUCUAAACUUGUUCCAGCCCAUUUGGUUUGCAUCGGGAAACUUUAACUCCUAUCAUAGCGAAUGUUUGGAUAUAUAUAUGAAGUAUUAAAUAUAGGUAAGCAAUAACUAAUUGUACAGUUUGCAUAUAAUUUUGAAGAUGAAUCUUUUAAGCCUAAUUAGUUUAUAAUUAGACACUAAUUGUUAAAUAUAAUAAAAAUACUAUCGUAUUUGUUAAACUUUAACAGAUCCAACCAACACAUACCCUAAGUGGUCGUUGUUAAAUGGUGCACUAAGGUCUACCUAUAUAGACUAUACCAACCUCUGACAUACCACUAGAGCAAGUAUGAUAGCAAAAAUGCUAAUGCGAAGAAGAGAAGGGCAGUUUAGGCAUAAGAAUCAAGAAACUCUGCUGAGAUGUAUUAAGAGCAUCUCCAACAGUUAUGCAAUUGGAAUUUGCCAUUUGUUAGAGUUUGCCAAGUCCCUAAACGUUUUGCUAAAGGGAAAAUAAGUUCAUCUCCAAGUGUUUGACAUUUUUGACUUGGCAUUUCCCAAACUAGUGGACUCAACUAUUUUUGUCCGGGAAUCUUUCAUCUUCGCGGCAAAUUUUCUCGUGCGUCAUGCGGGCGCCCGUCGCGCACAAUUCCUUCGCCCGUCGCCGCCAAUUGUCUCGUGCAUCGCGCAGCCGUAGCAGCGUCGAAGAUGGAAUAGCACGGGAGUUUUGAUCUCGUCGCUGCGAUCGAUCUCCUAGCCUCGCGUCGCUGCAACAAAACGAGGCGGCGAUGGAUCUCCUAGGUGGCGUAGCGUCGCAUGAAGGAAGGAGAGGAGGUGGCCAUGGAUCUCCUAGCCUCGCGUCGCUGCAAGAAAAGGAGGCGGCGAUGGAUCUCCUUCGUCCCCGUGCGAAGAAAGGAUGCAGCGCGCAAAAAAAAGGAGGCGACGCGUGGGGGAAAGAGAAUAGUCGUGCGCGAGGACUCGUAUCGCGGGAAACUACCGCGACAUGGGGAAUAUGGGCACGACAAGGAGUCCAAGAUUCUCGGGAUAUCAAAAUGCCAAACCAUUGUGCCUAUGCAAAAAUACCAAGUUUGGUUCAUCAAGUGCCAAGUUUGACAAAAUGCAUAAGUCAAAUGCAAAACUGUUGGAGAGCAAUUUUUAAGUUUUUUGGCAAAUUUUAAGAAUGCAAAGUCCAAUUGCAUAACUGUUGGAGAUGCUCUAAUGGUGAAAACUUACUAUUCUAGGUAAGCUGAGAGAAGGCUAAAAAAUACCUGUAUUAUUAGCCUUGCUCUAAUAAGUUUAGAGUUCCACAAAUAUUUCAAAGUUUAUGGUUCUAAGUAAAUUUGAGAGCUAUUUAUGUACUUUUUUUUUUUGCGAGCAGAGCUAUUUAUUGGUGAAGAAGAUUUGGCUUGACUGGAGGCUGGAGCCAAACGAACAUGGGCCAAAUUUUUUGGCAAAAUGAACACUGUAGCAUUUUCGUUUUUAUUUGACAAAUAUUGUUUAAUUAUAAAUUGAUUAGGCUCAAAAGAUUCAUCUCUCAAAUUACAGGUGAACUGUGUAAUUAGUUUUUAUUUUUAUUUAUAUUUAAUGCUCAAUGCAUGUGUCUAAAGAUUCGAUGUGACGAAAAAUCUAAAAAAUUUUGCAAAAUUUUUUGAACUAAACAACGCCCAAUUUGCACAGCACGACGGUUUUGACGCUUUUCGUCGAUAGCUUCCAAGCACUUUUUCCUACUUUGAGCGACACCGUCGCGCGAGAGCCGCCCGCCAGUCUCCACGCUCUCUAGCCGUCGUCAACGCAUGAAGAAGCCGCCAUUCCUGUGCCUUGGUUCGCCGAUGCGCGGCGGCAAGGGACUUCCCUGUCGAUGGGCCAUGGCGCACGAGUUGGGGUGGCCGCGGAAAGCGGCCACGAGAUGAGCUCGCUUCGGACAGAAUGGCGGCAGAGAUGCCGCAAGUAUCGAUCUCCUUCAGUGCGUUCAGUCUUGUGCUCUGUAGUGCGACUUCUGAUUCAGGUUAGGUUUACAUUUCUUGACAGAUAGGAAUUUUUUUCCGCCAGCAAAAUUGGGAGGGAGCCUAGUUCCCCAAAUUUUUCAAGAUUCCCCAUCACAUCGAAUGUUGCGGCACAUGCAUGGAGUAUUAAAUAUAAUUACACUGUAAUUUGCAAGAUGAAUCUUUUAAGUCUACUUAGUCUAUGUUUAAACAAUAAUUACCAAUACAAACGAAAAUGCUACCGUACCCAAAACUAAAUUUUUUUGCCAAUUAAACAAGGCCGAAUCUACAUAGCGGGCUAUCUGCCUGGUUGUGUGACAUUGCAGGUAUUAGGAAGUUGUUUGGCAAGGCUCUUAAAAGUUCAUGGAAAAGGUCACUAAAGUACAAUGUCAAAAGUAUCUAUUCUGAAAAGAAGCAUGCAGAUAUUGGUAUCCGCAUGACAGUAAUCCAUAAAAUUGUAAGAUUUUAAACUGAAUUAAUCUGUUACAUCUCAAUCACCUUGUUGACUAUAUUUAUUUCUUUGGAGCUUUAAAUUCAGGUUUGGAAUUAAAAGUCUUUACCGGACAAAUCAAAUCACAACAUAUUUGGUUAUUUUAGUUAGGUUCAGAUUCUUCAGUUCGACCUAUUCUUGCACAUCUGUGUGGUAUAUUUAGUAUGACUUGUUCUCACUAAUUCAUAUUGCAGGUGGUUGUGGGGCUUGUGUUGUCCUUAUAGCAAAGUAUAACCCAAAGACGGAUGAAGUGACUGAGUUUACUGCAAGUUCAUGCCUGACACUUCUUUACACUAUAAAUUUAUGUUCAGUAAUCACUACCGAGGGUCUUGGGAAUAGCCAAGAUGGCUUUCAUGCUGUUCAGAAAAGGAUGUCUGGGUUUCAUGCCUCUCAGUGUGGCUUCUGCACUCCUGGAAUGUGCAUGUCUAUUUUCACUUCCCUUAUCAAUGCUGACAAAUCCAAUAGGCCUGAACCACCAAAGGGGUUCUCAAAACUAAAAGUAUCAGAAGCAGAAAAGGCUUUCUCUGGCAACAUGUGCAGAUGCACUGGUUACCGUCCAAUUGUUGAUGCCUGCAAAAGUUUUGCAUCAGAUGUUGACUUGGAGGAUUUGGGCCUUAAUAUAUUCUGGAAGAAAGGUGAUAGGAACCCCGAUGUUAGUGACUUGCCAUGUUACACUCUUGGUGGCGGAGUCUGCACCUUCCCAGACUUUCUAAAAA
rnacentral:lncRNA from 1 species